UUUUUUUUUUUUGGUCUGAGGGAAAGAAAAGGUAUGCUAGUGUGCUAUAAUUUGAUCACAUUGUAUGCAUGUAUCACUUUAGUAACCAAAUGUUGUUGUUUUCAGGAACUAGAUGAGGCUGCAUUGGCUGAGUUCAGGAGCAAACUAGUGGAGGAUGGGAAAGCUGAGUACACUGAGCAAGUGGUGGCUAGGAAUAUUGUGGAGGGGGUGCUGGCAAUAGUACGAGGUGGAGAUCAGGACCUAAUAAUUGUAGGAAGAGGACGGUUCUCAUCAAGCAUGGUGGUGGAAUUGCCAGACCGGCAAGCCGAGCACUCCGAGCUGGGGCCUGUUGGUGACAUAUUGGCCUCUUCCGGCCAUGGUGUUGUCUCAUCAGUCCUUGUGAUUCAACAGCACGAUGUAGCUCAUGCUAGAGGAAGCUUCGGUGUCCAAGAUAGUGCAUGGUGAGUGCGAAAGUUCACCUUUGCAGAUGAAUCCUCCCCGUCUAUAACAAGGCUGCUGAGAAUAUUUGCAAGGAAUAUCAAUAUUAAUGAAGCCAUAUACAUGUGAUGUAUAAAUAUUGUUUCAAGUUUCCUCCAAAAAUAUGGUAUUGGUUUUCCUUAUCGGUACAAUGUACUUCAAACUUAUAAGAAACAAAAGAACAAAACAAAAACAAAACAAAAUUCCGAAUGAUGCUUAAAUUCCAAUUACCUAACCAUCACAAGUGGUUGAAUUGGUAAGAGUCUAGCAAAGUGUAGAACCCCCAUAUUCAAGUUUGAAACCUGCUGACGCUGAUUAAAGUUAAAUCUCAAUUUAUUCUUGGUAGCCACGAAGAAGGAACCGUAAUGACACGGAUUAUUAGUCUUUGCGUCUAGAAAACUUUUAAAGAAACCGUGUGAUCUCGAUUAAAAAUAAAUAAAUUUGGAUCACCUAAUGAAGCUAAGACCUUACUUUCAUUCUGACACAUGCUAAAAAUUAUUGGCUCGCUGAAAUCUAACUCUAUAACUUCUCAGUUCUAAAAAAAAAAAAAAAACUAAUAUAAUUUCUCAUAAUAUAUAGCUUCCUUGAAAAUAGCGAUUGGAUCAUCUGCAUCAAGACUGGCCUAUGCCUAAUGUGAAUCUAUGACAUUGCAUAGAUCAUCAUUAGCUCUAAAGUUCAAUGACAUUGUCUCCUCGAUCGACAAGGGGAAGAGGUGGGGAGAUAAAGAGGUCCUGUAUGAUAGAUACUAUUGCUAAUAUAAGCACCUGAAGAUAAUCGCACUCAAUGCGGUAAGACAUAUCCUUUAUUCAUGUCGAUCGAGUCUUGCCAAGUAGAAUGUAAUCUUGGAUUUGCAGAUCAAGGUACAAAUGCCUCUAGCAUAUCAGGAAAAUGAGAUAUGAAAGCAUAAAUAGCUUUAAUUGGAUUCUCAAGCACUCAUGGAAAGAUUUCGUAAGAAACUUUGCACAAAGCUACGAGCCUGAAGCGGCCAACACCUCUGAGUAUCUAGACCUUGGAAUAAGGUCUAGGUGUGAACCUGUGAACAGAAACACCAUUUUCUGAUUAGGAUUAGUUUAAGUUUAAUUUCACCGACCAAUUAAAGAAAGGUGUUGCGCAUAGAUAAAUCAAGAAAAGGAUUGCAAUUCUGUGAUUCUGGAAUAUUGAUAAUUUUAAGAAUGAUACUCCAAUUGAUGUAGACAUUGAUAUGAGCAUCUAAAGUAGCACUAUAUGCAAAUGGACAUCCCAAUUGAAAAGGUUUACCUGUUGAAAAAUAGAAUCCAUUAACCAAGAACUCGUCGUCUUGUGAUCUUGUCUCUCUAUUCAUUGCCUAUUCCUUAAUGAGGCUCAAAUCAACAUUAUACCUCGUUCGGUUUGCUGAAAGUGAGAGCAAGUUCUUUCUCUUUCACAUGAGAAGGGAAAGAGAAAUGAAAUGAAAUUUUCCAAAACUUUCGAUUCUGAUGGUUAGUAACAUAACAAAAGUCAUUAAUUGGAAAAGUAGUUAAAAAAUAUGUGAUUAUCAUAAUGACUUGUUGUAUUAACUUGUGAGUAAUAUACACGAGGAAAUAAGUUGUUCUAUUCGAUUUUGAAAGGAACCACCUCCCCUAUUUUCCCUUAAAUCACGAAAAUGUUUCUUUUCAUUUUGCAUCCCCAAAUGGAGAAAUGAAACAACAAAUAAUGCUUACUUUUCACAAAUCAAACGAGGCUUAAAGAAUACUUAACGGUAAACCAAUAAAAUGACUAAAGUACAUAUUCGAAUCAAUAAUCAUUACUUGCACUAAACAAACAAAAAUGGUGGGGAAAGCAAUGAUCUUCCUUCCUGUUGGAGACUUGUUUAUAUUUAUGCUCAAAUAGAGUGGUGGGUGAUUUACUUAGACUACUUUCUACCCUCUUAUCCUGCUAUAUAAGUAACAACACAGGUCUUCACCAUUUCACCAUUUGAAGAACAAAGACAUACAUAGUCAUCAAAGUUGAGCUUUCAGUUACUAUCAAGUAUCAACCAUGGAACCUAUGGUUCUGAACCUAACCAGCAUGAGAACUUCUUCAGAUGGAGCUUGGCAGGGUGAUAAUCCUCUGAACCAUGCCUUCCCAUUGUUGAUAGUUCAAACCACCCUCGUCCUCUUCAUCAGUCGCUUCUUUGCCUUCCUUCUCAAACCAUUCUGCCAACCUAAAGUCAUUGCCGAGAUCUUAGUACGUACCAUCGAUCCGUGCUCCCGACUUGAUCUUCAAUAUCUUCCUCAUCAAGUCAUCAUACUUCAAACUUCAAGUUGUUGCUUUGCACAUAACCAUGUCUAGCUAGCUUAAUUGACUUCAACUUAUGAAAGUUAGACUACUAACAUGCAUGAUGCAUGGUCUCACAUGUUAAAUUCUGGGAAGUCUUCAUUUUGAGACACAUCUCUAUCUCCCCAACUCUUGUCAUAUUAACCUUCAUAAUCGGGAUGAUCGAAAUUGCACAUAAAAUGGAAAAUUUGCUUGCUCUUGAUAUACAUCAUUGAGUUCUUGGAAGAAAAACUAAAACUCUGAUUCCAGUAGUGUACUUUCUAGUAAUUCAUAGAGAACCACCUCAUAAUUACUCAUACUUUUGGACGAACAUUUAUAUGUGCUUCUAACAAAGCGCUCCCAGCAAAAAUGCUACCCAGCAAAACAGCUUUCUAUACGUAUAUGAACACUUCGGCCUCAUAUUAUUUUCGUUUAAUUAGUAGUUGUCAGACACUAUGUGCAAGACAUGCAUGCAUAACUGACAUUAAUUAAUGCUUUUCAUUCUUGUGUAAUUUGAUCAGGGUGGGAUUUUGCUAGGACCUUCUGCACUUGGCCGGAUCAAAGAUUUCUCCCACAUUAUCUUCCCUUCAUGGAGUACUCCCAUACUCGAAUCAGUAGCAAGCAUCGGCCUCCUCUUCUACCUAUUCCUCGUGGGCCUCGAGCUUGACUUGAGCUCCAUCCGCCGCAGUGGCAAAAGCGCCAUCACCAUAGCACUUGCAGGCAUUUCCCUCCCUUUCCUUAUCGCGGUAGGAGUCACAUUCCUCAUGCGCAAGGCCAUCAACGGUGAGAACAAAGUAGGGUACCCUCAGUUCCUCAUGUUCAUGGGGGUAGCCCUCUCCAUCACCGCCUUCCCUGUCCUCGCACGCAUCUUAGCAGAGCUCAAAUUGCUCACCACACGCAUAGGUGAGACGGCAAUGGCUGCGGCAGCGUUCAACGACGUGGCUGCAUGGAUCCUGCUGGCCUUGGCCGUGGCCUUAGCCGGUGGGAACCAUGAAGGGCCUCUAGUAUCUAUUUGGGUUCUCAUUUCAGGUGUGGCUUUUGUUGCUUUUAUGUUCAUUCUGGUCCGUCCUAUGAUGACUUGGGUUGCUAACCGCUGCUCAUCUCAAAUUGAGGACGAAGCUUAUAUAUGCUUAACCCUAGCCGGGGUCAUGCUUUCCGGGUUCAUGACUGACCUAAUCGGUGUCCAUGCCAUCUUCGGGGCAUUUAUUUUCGGUUUAAUCAUUCCGAAAGGAGGUGAAUUCGCAGCCAAACUGACUAGGAGGAUUGAGGAUUUUGUAUCUGGUUUGCUUCUGCCUCUCUACUUUGCUUCAAGUGGUUUGAAGACUGAUGUUACUAAAAUACAUGGGAUCAAGGCAUGGGGUCUUCUGGCUCUGGUUAUAUCAGUUUCUUGCACUGGUAAAAUUUUGGGAACGUUUUUAGUUGCAAUGUUGUGUAUGAUACCAGUGAGGGAGUCAUUAGCUCUAGGUGUGCUGAUGAAUACUAAAGGGUUGGUGGAGCUUAUUGUUCUGAAUAUUGGCAAGGAGAAAAAGGUAUUUCACAUGCAUCGAUCAAUUUCACCACUUAUAUAAUGCCUGUUUCUUUGGAAACCAUAUAAAAUUUGCAUAAACUCGAAAAUUUUCUUAAAUUACAACAAUAGAAAUAGACAUUUCAAGAAAUCGUUAAGGACUUGUCAUCUGAAAAUUAACGUUUUUUAAUUAUUUCGAAAACAAUUUCCACCAUGUAAUCUGCAAAUUUACUCAUGAUACCGUUUCGAAUAACCAUGAAAGACAAAUGAAUUCCACUGCUUCAUAUAUAUUAUCUUUAGAAUAUUAUAAUUGAAACUUAGAAUUAUAUUAAUUGUAAUUGAAACCGUAAAUUUUACUAUCGAGUGUUAUCUUCACUUGUGGCUCACCUUUUGUCUUACUUAGUGCCACCAUGCCUCCACCAUCCAUGAGUAUAUAAUUAUAUAGAGAUAUGGUGGAAAUAGUACAUUCUAUUAGAACACAGCUUUUGAAUGGAUCAUUAACGAUUAAAAGGAUAUUAUAUAUUUCCAUUCUAAUCUUACUUUGAGUAGUGUAUGCUAAUCUUCUUGGUAUCUAUUUUCCAUUCUAACAUGAAUCUCUGGGUUUGAAAUUUGCCUAAAUUACAGAUUCUAAACGACGAGAUGUUUGCUAUUUUAGUGUUGAUGGCAAUUUUCACCACCUUCACGACAACACCAACAGUGAUGGCCAUUUACAAUCCGUAUGUCGUUGCUUCCCAAUCUGAGAGUACUUUAGAGAGACAGAAUUCUCCAAGCAAGAACUCGAAGAAACAGAAGGAACUUCGAGUCCUUGCUUGUAUCCAUGGACCAGGAAGUGUACCCUCCCUUAUCAACCUCAUCGAGUCGACCGGAACCUCCUCCGAGAACUCUGUUCUCAAAGUUUACGUGAUGCAUCUUGUCGAGCUCACUGAUCGUUCUUCUUCCAUUAUGAUGGUACACAAAGUUCGGAAGAAUGGCUUGCCCUUCAUCAACCGCUUUUGUCUAGGGGUGGCACAAGGCCAUAUCGCCUCCGCAUUUGAAGCUUAUGGUCAAGUCGGUCAAGUCACAAUCCGGCACACAACAGCCAUCUCCGGUUUGUCUACAAUGCACGAGGAUAUUCUCCAUGUUGCGGAAGCUAAGAGGGUGUCCAUCGUUAUCUUACCUUUCAACAAACAGUGGAACAAACAGGGUGAAGAGAAGAUGGAAAAUUUAGGGCAUCGCUGGAAGGGAGUCAAUGAGAGAGUUCUAAAAUGUGCUAGUUGCUCAGUAGCUUUGUUCGUGGAUCGUGGAUAUGGUGUUGGAGCUCAUAAGGGUGCAAAGACCUCAAGCACUGCCAAUCUGAAGAGGGUGUGCAUUUUAUUCCUGGGUGGACCUGAUGACCGCCAGGCUCUGGAGUAUGUUGGCGGACUGGCAAAUCAAAGUGUCGUAGUUACUGUCGUGAGGUGUCUGGAACAGAACGCUACUCGUUUAAGCCCCACUACAAACCCAGAGAGGGAACUGGAUGAGGCUGCAAUGGCAGAGUUCCGAAGGCAGAAUGGGUCAGCGGAAUACAUAGAGGUGAUGGUCGACAACAUUAUAGACACGGUGGUGGGCAUAGGCCAGAGCAAGGAAUACGACCUGGUGAUUGUGGGGAAGGAGCACCACCCUUCAACCAUCGUUGCAGAAUUGGCUCACAAUCAGCUGGAGCAUGAUGAACUGGGACCAAUUGGAGACACAUUAGCUUCCUCCUCCCAUGGGAUUUUGUGCUCUGUGCUUGUGAUACAAACACCAAAGACUAGCAAAUGAAAUCCGGGGUUGAUAAUGUUGUAGGCUGUAGCAGUGCUCUUAUGUAAAUUAGUUUCGCACUAGAUUAUAUGUAGGUUCAGGCUUGUCAGAAUAAAAUGCUCCUAUGUCGCGGCUAAUUUCAGAUUUCGGGAGAUUACACCAUUCAAACUGAAUUUGCCAUAUACAUAAUGAAAAGAAUGGAGGGCAAAAAAGAAGAAACUAUACUACUACACAUUUCUGUGCUCACAACCUUGCUAAUUAAAGAAGUAGCACACCCUGUUUCAAGAGAGUAAGGAGAUUUCCGUAGCCGCUAAUUAUCCAAAUGUAAACCAGAACUUUCCACAAAAGCGAAAAUUUCACAAGGCCGUAAAUUAAUAUUAUUAAAGUUGACAGAGAAAGAAGACAGACAUAAUGAAACAAAUUUAUUCGAUAAACUAGUACCAUUACAAAUCAAAAGAAAUUCCAUUUCUCAAACUUCACAAAUAUUUUGGAUCCUCAUUUGAAUCGGGUAAUCAACCCUUCUUGUGCACAAUUGUACAUAGUAUAAACAACUUGGAAACAACAAAUAUCCCCAAUAAAGUUACAUAAAAUCUUUGGAAGAAAAGAAAAAUAACAGUUGAUCAAAAUAUACUAACCUCAAGAAAAAUGUCUUUUCUAUAGUGGAUCCAAAUUCCAGUUUCGAUCACCAACUAAUCAGUCAGCCUGCUAACAGAUUUCACAUCCAUCAUCUUUAGCAUCACCAUCGGCAGCCAUCUUUAAACGCUCAUUGUCUCUGAUUACAGGUAAAUCAGGAAUUUGCUGAGACCAUGUCAAUUCUGCCUCGACAUACAAAAACAAACCAAAAAGAAAUCAGAAACGGGACUCUUUCUCAUACAUAGAAACCAAAAUCAUAAUUUUCAGGCCACCAGUAACAUUUCUGGCUCCCCCAUCCCAGGUCAGUUCCCAAGACAUACACCGACAGCCCAUUUUAAAGUCCAAAUUUUGAAGUUUGAAGAAACCAAAACAUAUCCCAAAAACUUGAGUUUUCAGUUUAAUAUCCUUGCCAUGAAUCCUUUUAGUUUCGCCGAUGGAAAAAAGUAAACUAAACCAAUGAAGGACAUCCAAACAAAUUUAGAUUAACAAUUGUAUAUUUAAGAAAAACUAACCUUAGUCAAAGCCUCCACCAGUCCACGUUGAAUCAGAUUUCCCAUUGUGACCGACACCUUUCGUAGGUGCACUCUGGUAGCCACUAUCAAAUCCAUCAUCUUUGCCAUCAUCCCAGCCAGCCCAACCAUCACUACUAUUGGAACCCCCUGUACCCUUUGUAGAGACUUCCUUCCUAUUGUCUUUGGUGUCCCAAUCAUCCCAUGAAUUUGAGUUAUAAGAGUUAAUAUGUUCGCUUGACGAGGACUGUCCCCGUCCAGAAGAAGAAUUCCAUCCUGUCUCUUGUUUAUUGAAGUCUUGAUAAUAUCCAUUUUGCUCACUAUCAUCUCGUUGCCAGUUGUCAGUCUUCCAGUUUCCUUCUUUAGAUAACUCUUCAACCUUCUGGGAUGCCAUUGCCAUGACACCUUUCAUAAUCCCCCAAGUUCUUUGUCCUAUCUCUGAAGUCUUUGCAGUAACGACAUUAACGGUUUCAUUCACCUUGUAGUCAUAGCCACCAUCUUUCACCUGGUAAAAGGGUUUAUUUGAACAAUUUGUUUAUCAAGAUCUAGAAAUGAUAACCUUUAGGUCCAUAAUACAGAAUAUAAGAACUAAAGUGAAAAUAUAGAAAUCAGUAAAUGACAAUGAAAGUGAUUAUACUAUCGGCUUGGAUGUCUAAAUCUUUGAAAGGGAAAAGGAGGAAGUUAGAAGUCAGUUGAAGUCACCAUAUGGUUUAAGAAUGUAGCUUUUCCAUUCCAGCACACCAAUUAUUUCCUGCUGUUACCCUUUUCCGAUUUUGAUCUAAAAGGAUACGUUGAAUAUGGCUUAUUUACAACUAUUGUUGAGUAUGCUAAACGAGAUAUUUCCACUAUAAGUUGUCAUUCAUCUUUUCCAUGCAAUAUAUGUUAAAGCUACCUAGCUACGGUUUAUAAAUAUUGCGUGAUUUGUGGAAUGCCUCAUCAAAAUUAACCUAUACUUUUCUAACCAUCCAAACUAAAUAAGUUCACACCUCAGAUUACUUCAUGGUGUAUCAGACACCUCGCCUAGUCCUACACUAGCUUCAACUGUCAACCAUUUAUCAUAAGUUUCGCAGUCUAGGAAAAAUGGAAAGGAAGGAGAGCAACAAUGAUGAGGAAAUAGACUGGUAAUGAAUGUUUGACAAUGUUAAUAGCUUCAUUGGGACAUUCGAAAGAAACAGAAGAAAUAAAAGAAUUAGUUUCAAUAAUACAUUUUACUAUCUUAUGCUUUAACUUCCAUUUGUUCUCCAUUUGUAGGUUGAUGAGUGUUGCAGUUUCAUGAAAUUUACUAUAAUGUCAUAAUUCAGUGCCACAUUCUGUCAACAUAUGAGAGGAACAAAACUAGAAGCACUGAUGAAUAAGAGUAAGUGAUUAUUUGCUUCCACAUUCCUCUCAUUUAUCGCAUUAAUCAUCAAUAUGUUAUUAGUGCACAGUGGUUGAAUCAUUUCAACCAGACAAAUAAAAUCACUAGCAGAAUGAUCAUCUAAUAUCGAGCAUACUAAAGAGUUACAGAUGAAGUACCUUAGAGGUGAUCUCUUUAGUGCCUGCCUGUACAACAGUUGCAGCUGAUUGAGCUGCAGAUGCAGCAACCAAAGAAAGCCUACCGAUUCCCUACAGAAAACAGAAAAUGUAUGCAUGCAUGUAUCAAUAUCAACGAUUACAUUGAAACUCACACAUUAUAGUAAACACACAUACAAAUAAUGCAACCUGAGACACAACAGAUAGCACAUCUCCUUGCGAAUUGUUAUUAUAACUAUUCUGUGACGGUGCCGGGCUUGACCCGAACCCGACAUACUUGCCACCUUUAGAUGGCGGGAGCCCGUCGGGCCUGGACUCAUUCUCCGCCAUCUUCCUGGCGAAAAAGCUCUCCUUGUUCGCCGCGGAAGCCUCGAAUUGCGACCGCGUGAUGUCCUCCGUCGAUCUCGACCUGGACGGCAUCCCUCCGCCGUUUCCAUACCCUCUAACAUCGCCGGCGGACUGAUUCCGCCUUAUAUCAUUCGAUCUGAACCCGUCGUCGUCCCAAUUAUCCCAACCGCCUCCGCCGCCGCCGCCGCCGCCUCCCCUGCUACCUCCACCUCCGUGAGCCAGAGGCGGCUUCGUCUUCCCGAACCCGCCGCUCUCCUUCACGACCGGGGGGUCCCGCCAGGGCCGGCCCUCGGCUAAGGCUUGAAUCCGAUCCCGGUACACGCUGGCAGCGUUGGUGUUGUACUUGGUGACGAUAUCGGUCUCUUUCGAAACGCCGUAGCCGGCGAGGAAGGCGUUGAGGCGCUCGUUGCCGCCGGACUCCAUCUUCUUGAUCUGGAUCUCGGACCAGGAGUCCAUAGUCACGGAUCGGACGAAGGAGAUGUGGACGCCGAGGCCACGGUGCUUGCCGGAGCACUCUAGGCACAUGAAGACGCCGUAGGAGACCGAAGCCCAUUGCGGAUUCUUCUGCGAGCAGUCCACGCAGAUCUUGUUCCCCGGCUGCGAUUGCAGGUCCCGGAGCCUCCUCGAUGCCGCCAUUUCUGUUUCACCUCCGAUCCGCUCCGAUCUGAAUCGGAUCAACGAUCCCGGACCAAAUUCUCAAAUAAUAUAAAUAAAAAAAUUGAAAUGUUCGAAUAAAUUGAAGGAAGAAUGAAACUUCUAGUCUCUCUCUCUCUCUGAGCGAUGUGUGUCUGGGUUUUCGGGGAGAGAGAGUGGAAAUUGGGAGAGGAGAUCACCGACACCGUCAAUUCGGCCGAGGCUUUAUUUUUUAUUUUUUUGUAUUUUUUUAUAUGGAUGGUGGGUUUGAAACAGAAUGGAAACAGAUGGACUAAACUGAUCCUCAACUAUGCAACUCGCACGUGGGCGGCACGUGACUUUCUUUUUAGUUGCGGUUUCAUUUUCUGCUCCAAUGAAAUGCGAACCAAUGAAACAUGCGUUUCUAGAGGCAAUUAAUUUUGAUUUUAACGUAUUUUUGGGGGUGUUAAUGUUUCCUUUUUGAGGUAUUGGUUAAGGUUUUGAUGAAUGGAUCCAACAUGUUGGGGAAGAAAAGAAAUGGAGCGUUUAAAGUUAUUAUUUUCGAUUUAGAGGGAGAAAGGAUCGUGAAGUAAAGAUCGAAGAAACGAGCCUAAUCAUACAUAAUGCAUCAGAUGGACAUGCUCGCGCUAAGAAUAUUAUUGAGCAAGACUGCAUGAGCUAGCUGGAUCAAAUAUCGUUGUUUGAAAUGAAGUUGAGAGUUUAGAUGGAAUGACGAUGGGGAUCUUUGCACUCGAGGGGAGAUGAGAAUUUUAAAUGUAAAACUCGAUUGGACACAUAUUUCAUCUCAUUUGAUUAUUGAUAACAUAUUGUAAGAAGGUCCUUGUAAGAAUUAAAUAUGUAAGCGCAUGAAUUACAACCUACAAGUUUACUCGGUACGAAGGAAAAAUAUUCAUAAAAUCUUUUUAAAUAGGGAAAGUCUCCUGAGAAAUCCAAUUGGAACCCCAUCCAAUUAACCAUCACAUAAGAUGUCUCUCCAAAAAAAAAAAGAAUAAAGGACUGAUGAUGAGGACGAUUUGGGCCUCAAGAAGGGAGAUCCAUCAGGUACUGUUAUGGAUGAGGUAGUAAAGAUGCUCUGAUACUAGAAAUCCACAAUUGUUUAUCCACCAAGAAGAGCUCAAGCCCAAGUAACAAUUUUUCUAAGAGAUUAAAAAAACCCAUGAUUCUCAACAAAUAAUUAAAAAAAUAAGAGAUUAAAAAACCCACCAAGAAGAGCUCAAGCCCAAGUAAAAUUGAAAGUCCAUCCACACCAUGCCUAAACAAUUUGCAGAGAGCAUUAGAGCUAAGGGAAGCGGCCCAAGCUAGAGAUGUACAGUUUCAAUGUCGUGCAAAGUAUUUUUAUUUUCACAUAGUCAGCAACUGAAUAAACAAAUUAUGUAUAAUCACUCUUAGACAUCUAAGGGUACAAAAAAUAAUUGUUGAGUUGGGUUGUUUUAAUCUCCGCCAUUGAUAUCAUUUAAUGUAACCUUAAAGGCAGCAAUUUCUGCUUCUAUGGUGGAAGGACAGUGUUCUCCCGUCGAAAGUUGACCGGUGACGAUUACGGACGGCAGAACUCUCACGGAUGGGACGGCUGGCUUGGAUGGAGAACUUUGAUGGGUUUUGGCAGUGGGCUGUUUUGGCUUCUGGUUUACUGGGCUUCGUAUAAAGGCUAGUGGAUUUGGCCAAUUCCUCUCCAUUCUCUCUUACUUGGGCUAUGUACGGUUUGGGCAUCAACAUGGUCCCUUUUUGAAGAUGCCUAAAUGCUUAUAUUAUAGUCUUUGAUGAAGGAUAAAGUGUAGAGAGAAAGAGAUAGUAAGAGAAUCAUCAUCUUAUUCAUUGAUAUGAGCCAUUUAUAUAGGGAAUUACACAAUACCAAUAUGAUAAGGAUAUAAAUACAUAGAUCUAGUCUAACUACAUAUCCUAUUAACAUAAGGCCAAGACACAUAUAAAAAAUAUCUAGAAAGAUACAGAAUAUCCUAGAACACUCCCCUUGUGCCGCGCGCUGAUAUGCCGAUGGUGCUGAUCUGUUGCCUCGUCAAAAACCUCGUCAAGUCACAAAAACCCUGAGGGAGAAAAACUGAACCUUGAUCGUAGGAGAAAAAGAGUACAACGCACCCUUCAUAUUUGAUAGUGACAUGUAUGUAUGUGCUAGACUCCCCCUGAAAUUUGCACCUCCCCCUGAUCUUUACAUCAAUCAUAGGGUUUUUCCUGAUUUUUACUAUCACGGAAGUUUCAACAACUUAGCAUGUCAAUGCUCUUUAACAUGUCUUCAAAUGUGGCAUUGGACAAUGAUUAACUAAAUCAUGUCGUAUUGUCCUCAAAUGAUCUUUUACACUUAGAUCUUGAGGAGAAGGCCGCUUGUGAACUCAAAACAUAAGUUCGUGCAGGAAAUCAGAUUUCUGCAUAGCAUGACCUUCAGUUACUAGAACAGCCGUAACUUCCUCUAGGAAAUACAUAUGAAUGAACCGUAAAUGGUUUUGGAAACUAGACUCAUUUAGCUUUCCAACAUUACACACGUUCUGGUUCAUCAGGAGCUAUUCACAAAGUCCGGUCGAAGUUGACUGUUUUGCCAAAAUCAGAUUCUCGGACAGAUUCGUCCUACUUUAUGAAAAUGGCCAUAACUCACUCAAUAUGAUAGGUAUAAUCAAAUUAUUGGUGUCCCUGGAAAGUAGACACAUAGACCUUUCUAAUGGUACCAAUUUCACCAUUUUCCAGUGAGUGAGAGUUCCUGUAGGUCCCGUGAAAGUUGACCUACAAAACUUGACAGAUUCUGAUUUCGCUUUUGAUGUGUCUUUCUUAUGUAGGGAUAGAAUAAGCCUCAACUUUUCAUACCAUUAAGUAUUGAAAAAGGAGUUGCUGCCAUUACAUUGACAUUGCGUGGGCGCAUAGCUACACUUAGCUUUACAACUUUUCAUAGCGAAUGAGAUGUCAAGUCUUUCGUAUUGUGUUGAGUACAUUGAUGCGUCUUAUUGUAUUUAGAUGGGAACUCCUUCUCUUAACACAUAUUUGUCAUCUUGCUUUAGACAAAACAACGGAUCUCUCUUUAGAGUAAAGACCUUGGCUAAUCAUGGGAGUAUAUGUAUAGGCCUCACUAGUUAUAAAGUGCCUAAGUCGAUUGAUGGAAAAUCAUCAUCAAUAUAGUCAUCGAGUGCCUUAUCGAGACUGUGUCUUCCCAAGAUCUUUUUCUUCAGAUGUUGAUACAUAUUGGCAUAUCUUGAUCCAUCAAGAGUCCAUGUAAAUCCGGAAUGAACACGCAAAGGCAUAAUUCACCAUAUCCUUUCCAAAUCAAGUAGAGUCCAUGUGCGUUUCAAUACAUUUAGCAAAAUAGAUAUAGAUGAACCGCAAAAAGUUCUGAAAAUUAGACUUGUAGAGCUUUCCAAUGAUAUAAAGCUCACUGUCUGGUUCGUCUGAAGCUGUUCACAAAGCUCAAACGAAGUUGACUGUCCAGAAGGGACAAAUUGUUGUUUUUCACAGAAUUGGCAUGUGCGAAGCUGUGAAGCUUGCAGGUGGCGUGUAGGCUUUUGCCUUAGCCAAAAGUGAUGUGUGUAUGAUCAAAACUAAGUCCUUUCGGUCGUAAACUCCAUGACUAGUUAGCAAAAGCUCCCUGACAUGAACAUAAACUAACUCAGAGGACCUAGAGGAUUCGAUCAUAAUGAUAAUUUUCCGAUUUUGAUAAGUCUUCAACGUCUUUUGCAAGAUGGCAAUUGGUUUAAUAACGUAGGGGAAUCCAAAAUCAAAAGCUUUCGGUAACUCCAAGUCAGUAUGACCAAGCAUGUCCGUGGAGGGUUAGUAGUUCGAGGCACACUUGAAACCAUUAUCUCUUUAAUUUCAGACAAUUCUAAGACAUCACACUGAGUUUGGAUGAGCCUAGUUGAACAAUUGAUGAUGGAAAAUCCGCUAAAGGGUAGAAGACUUAACCGGAAACACGUUAGCGAUUCUUCUUGAGGAUGCAAGGCCGUGCGUCAUCUUCAUUUGGGAGAGACCAAAACGGCACAAUCUAACCAUGUAGAAUGUAAAUAUGCCAUGCUUCUAAAGACGAUGUAAAAAUGUACAUCUUGUUUGUAAAUCAAUACGACCAUAAGAGGAGAAUAAUUUCAUAACUUCAAAAAAAUUCUCAAGGCAUUCAUUAUUGCUAAUGUGAGUACAUCGAGGUCUCAAAUAGACGAAUGACGUCGAUACAACGCCUUAGUACAUAUAGCUUGGAACAAAAAUCAAUGUCUAGCCAAUGGCGUCAAAGUCAUGGGUAGCUAGAGUAUGAUCCGAAUCUUUGAUAUUCACGAUCAUGAGGAUGACGUUCUUGUCCUCAUAUUGAUUUUUCGUACCUUUUUGUAUGCAUUCACAAUUUGAAGGAGCUUGACAAUCUUGAAUCAGUGAUCCGAAGAUCCACAACGGUUGCAUUGUCAUGAGCUGACGUGAGUAGUUUUGAUAAAAUGGUGUCUAGACCGAGAAUGUCGCUAUUAGAGCCGGCAACACCUCCCCCUCUUUUCUAGACAUUGGCACAACGUUUUAUGCCAUGGCCAUGACCCAUAUUGUUGUCCUCACAUUAUGGGAUAAUCCCAAAUAAGUUUAUCACAUUAGCGUAUAUACAAUUCUCGCUUGUAUGUAUGAUCAAAAUCAAGUCUCGUUGGUAAUUCUAAACCAACUUGGAGGACCUAGAGAACUUGAUGAUGAUCGAAUCCGCUAAAGAUUAUGGAUCAUGAUGCCACAAAAGAUCAUCGACAAUAUGUAGUCAAUUAAGGUGGUAAGCAAUUCACUUGACUAAUAACUCAACAAGUAGAGUUAUAUGAACGUUUCGAGAAACGCUCCAUGAGUGCAUUCCACAGUACUUUGUGGUCAUUACUUUUUGCACAGAUUGCCAUUGAAGACUUUUGUCGAUGUGGCGCUUCAAAGAUUUUGAGCGCAUGAGAUGUGAAAUCUCGGCAUCUAGGCUUGUUAGCCUGGGGGUCAAAACAUAUGGUUUAAUCAUUUCCAAUGAAAGGUUCCACAGAUACCAAGCGAAGAUCUGCCUUAAGCAUCUAGUACGUCAAAACUCAAAGGAGCAGAAUGUUACAUUGCUCUUGCAUACAAAACCAAGUUGUUAUGAGACUCGAUAGAGGUCACAAACAAUACUUUUAAUGGUUUGUCAUUCAGAUUGAUUACACACAAUCCGGAAAAUCCGCAAAUUGAUCAAACACAAUUCCGAAAAAUGCCUUGAAUUGAUCAAACACAAUCCAGUGAUAGAUCGGGGUUGAUCAUACACAACCCGGAUAAGGAAACAAGAGUGAUCAAACACACUUUUGACCCGCGAAUAAAAUUCUGGGAUUUUUGGUACCUGCACACACAAAAUCCUAAGUAUAGAAAGGAGAUGGAGAAGGGAGAAAAGAUUUUAUCCCCCCGAGUUAUUCCAAAGUAAAUAACUGUAAUAUUAAAGCUUAGUUGUUUGUUUGCCAAAUAAACUGCGUUUAUAGGAGCUCUGAUGAGUUUGAGUCGAUUGCAGGCUUCGACUGAGGGUUUGGAACCUUUCUGGCUUUCCUUGGAAGACGAGCAAUCUUGAAAUCUUUGGUUUCUAGAGGUUGCCGAGAGGAGAAACAACGUUUCGCCUACUUCUACUUCGAAUUUAGGGCUGAAAAUUUUAUAGUAGGAGCAGCUCUGGAUGGGGAAGCUGCUAUCAAAAAUUCAGGUUGAUCUGAGAAAGGGAAGGUGGUGAACCGGUGGUAGGUAGCGGCGGCGGUUUGGAAUCUUCCGGCUGCCGGUUCGGAGACUUUCCGGCCGGUUCUCAAGGUGAGGCCGACGGCGUUGGAUCCGGGACGGAGAGAGCUUUCUGGGGAUAUAAAAUUCCGGCGGAUGAAAGUAGGAAUUUUGGUCGGAAAUCGGGAAAAACAAGGCUGCCCGAUUUUAGGGUUUUGAAAAACAAGUGGUUAAUAACAUGAUGAAGAAUAAAGGGUAGAGACAAAAAGAGAGCAAGAGAAUCAUCAUCUUAUUCAUUGAUAGGAGCCCUUUAUAUAGGGAAUUACACAAUACCAAUAUGGUAAGGAUAUGAAUAUAUAGAUCUAGUCUAACUACAUAUCCUAUUGGCAUAAGGGCAAGACACACAUAAAAAAAUAUCUAGAAAGAUACAGAAUAUCCUAGAACAGUCUUUUCCUUCAACCAUAUAUUUAAAUUCCAACGUACUUCAUCCUAAAAUAAAUAAAUUCUAUGUACUUAACCUUGAACUUCAGUUUUGAUUAGGUAAUCAAUCUUGAACUUCAAUUGAACUCAACAACAGCCUGUCCCCCUUGUAGCAUAGUGGAUGGUGCUAUAUGCAUCAUCUGCUGGCUCGUGGGUUCGAUUGGCAUCAAAAUAUUUCCAAGUCAAAAAUAAUAUUAUUAGUUAAUUCAAACGCAUACUAUAAUGACACAAAUACAUUCAUGCCCCCUGUGAUUAGCACAUGUAUUAAGACGAUGUAUGCUAAGAAAAAAGAAUAUGUUCUAGGAUAUUUCAUAUCUUUCUAGAUAUUCUUUAUGUGUGCCUUUGCCUUAUGUCAAUAGGAUAUGUAGUUAGACUAGAUCUAUGUAUUCAUAUCCUUACCAUACUGGUAAUGUGUAAUUCCCUAUAUAAAGGGCUCCUAUCAAUGAAUGAGACACAUCUUUCACGAUUCUCUAUUCUCAAUUUACUUUCACUUCAUCACGUUAUCAGCCCUUUGCUCAAACCCUUGAGCUAAUAGUUUUUCCCAAACCCUAAAACCAAAAGCCGAAAACCCUCGGCCCUUCCUCGGCCGCCGCCGCCGUUGCCCCACGACUGCCGCUCCCCGGCCGUCCGCUCCACUGCUUCCUUCUCGUCCGAUCAAGCAUCCAAGUUUUACGGUAUGUUUACUUUACAACCCUAAAACUCUUCAAAGUUCAAUAACCUCGGGGGAGAUAAAGUGCUUUCUCCUCUUCUUCUACUCCAUUCUAUGCUUGGGACGGUGUCUUUGCAGGUUUAAAAAUCCCGGUUAUCCUCCCCGGGUCCAAAGUUGUGUUUGAUCAACUUUGGUUAUUGCUAUUUUGAAGGUGUGUUUGAUCACCUUCACACAAGUUUUUUCCGAGUCGUAUUUGAUCGACUCCGGACAUUUAGGGUUGUGUUUGAUCAACCCUAGAGAGACAAACCAAAAGCAUCGUAUUUGAGUACCUUUUUUCAAGGUCUCCAACAGAAAACUAAUACGACUUGUUCUCUCUUGUAUGCAGAUGGACAGAGGCAUUGAAUUUGACGUCCUCGACGCCCAUGGUACUGAGUACCAUCGUUGGGUCUCGGACAUAGAACAGACCUUCAUCGCUAAGGAUCUGACCGAGACCAUAUUCCCUGAUCCAGAUCAGGAACCGCCUAGCAAGAGAACAAAAUCUCAGGCACUCAUGUUCCUUCGUAAGCAUAUCGAUCCCACACUGCGCAGGCAGUAUCAAUCCAAGCACGAUCCAAAAGAUCUGUGGGAUGCCCUUGCCGAACGCUUCGGCAACAUUCACUCGACCUUGCUCCCAGAACUAAUUGCUCGCUGGGAUGAAAUUCGACUUUUGGAUUACAAGAAGGUUGAUGACUUCAACAGGGAUAUGCUUUGCCUACAAGCUCAACUGAGCUCAUGUGGAGUCGAGAAAAGUGAUGCCGACAUGAUCGAAAAGACUUCUCGACCUUCCCUUCAGCUGCUAAGAUCCUCAUGAACCAAUAUCGGCUUGAGUUCACAAAUAAGAGGAUUACUACAUUUAGCGGCUUAAUGACGCAACUCCUUAUGGAAGAAAAGAAUAAUAUGAUCAAUGAUCAGCAUAAUUUGCGUCCUGUAGGCACCCGGAAAAUUCCGGAAUCUAAUUACAAUUGCAACCGGAAUAAGAAAGCUCCGAAACGCAAGGAUCAACAUAGGAAUGAACCUUAUGCACGUGGGGAUCAACACCACCGUGCCUCUAGUUCUCGGGGACAAGGUAGCGGCUUUAGUGGCCGUACCAACUCAUGGCGUCGAGACACCGGUGCCGCCGGCCCCAAGGGCGGCGCCGCUCCUCCUCGGAAGCAGCAUGCUCGCUCUUCUUCUGCCUUUGAUGGUCAAUGCAAUAGAUGUGGGUCCAAGGACCACUGGUCUAAAAGCUGUCGCGCUCCUGCAAAUGUUGUUGCCGCAUACAAGAAAUACAAGGAAUUGAUGGAAGUCAAUUCCACUGAAAACAAUGGAGUUGAACAUAAUGUUACCUUCAAGGUCGCUGACCCUAAUGGACAAUGUUCUGACUUAGAUGCCCCUGACUUUGACGUCACCGGCUAGAUUGUUUUCCCUUUUACAAGUCAUGAUGUAAUAAGGCAUCGUCAGCAUGUCAUGCUUAGUUUUCUUCUCUAAUUUCUUUUUUGAGACCCUUAUGUACUCUUUUCAACGCAUUAAUUGAAAGUUUAUUUCAUGGUUCUUCUUGUCUCUACAUGGUUCGAAUUGAUUUACAUCUACCUUAGAAAACAUGGCAUCAACGCCGUCUUCGGUCCCUCCCUUAAAGGAGGUGACAUACGGCGCCGUGACUCUCAAGGAGAGUUACUCACGUGUUUUCCAGUCCAAGUCUUUUACCUAUAGCGGAUUUUCCAUCAUCAAUUAUUCAACUAGGCUCAUCCAAGUUAGUAUGAUGUCUUAGAAUUGUCCGAAAUUAAGGAGAUAGUGGUUUAAGUGUGCCUCGCACUACCGACCCUCCACGGACAUGUCUGGUCAUACUUAAUUUGGAGUUACCGAAAGCUUUUGAUUUUGGAUUCCCUCUACGCUAUUACUCCAAUUGCCGUCUUGUAAAAGACGUUAAAGACUUGACAAAACCGGACCAUCAUCGAAUCCCCUAGGUUCUUUGAUCAUCAACACGUCCCUGUGGCUGAGUUUUCGUCUCCAUGCCACCAGCAAGCUUCAAAAACUUUGCUAAUGCCAAAUCUGCGAAAAAACAGUAAUCUGUCCUCCCUGAACAGUCACUUCGUUUAAGCUUUGUGAACAGCUCCGGACGAACCAGACAGUGAGCUUUAUAUCAUUGGAAAGCUAUACGAGUCUAGUUUUCAGAACAUUUUGCGGUUCGUCCAUAUCUAUUUUAACGAAGGAGUUAUGACUGUUUUAACGCGCAAAGGUCAUUCUGCGCGAGAAAUUUUUAGCACUCUCGGGAUUGUUGCAUUUUUUAGCUUUUUCAAUCCUUCUAAAUAGCUCAAUAUCGACCUAUUUACUCAUAUAUUUACUCUCUUUUGUAGGUAUGUCUCUUGGAGAGAUCGAGUGCCUCGCAGAUAGUGGAUUAACCCACACAAUUCUAAGGAACCGGCAACUAUUUCUUGAGUUAGUGCCUUGUAAAUCAUCUGUGACGACAAUGAUUGGAUCUUCCCCUGUGAUCCUUGGGCGUGGAACCGCUCGCUUUUUUCUGCUUCAUGGCACUAUGAUCCACGUCACGGACGCUCUUUAUGCCCCAAAAGGGCACCGAACCCUGUUGAGCUUUAAGGACAUUCGCGCUAAUGGUUUUCACUUGGAAACUCAUUGUGAAGAUGGAAUUGAGUUCUUGUGUAUCACUUCUCAUGAAUAAGGACGCAAACGUAUAUUGGAGAAACUCAUGAGUCAAUCUAGUGGUCUUUACCUUACUACGAUUCGGAUUAUUGAAUCCCAUGUAGUCGCCAAACAGGAUCUUUGGGACUCUGACUCAUACAAGCUUUGGCAUGAUCGACUUGGUCAUCCUGGAAGGGACAUGAUGAUCCGAAUUCUGCGUAAUUCUCAUGGACUUCCCUUCUUCAAAUCAAAACGAAAAUAUCUGGGAAAUGAUAUCAUUUUGAAUCAUGGUGGUGACGCCUCAACUGGUCACCACGGCCCAAAGGGGACUUUGACGUCUUCCGGGCUCGGCACCAACUUCAUGGCUGCCGCUCGGCCGCUCCCUCAAGCAAUUGAGGCGCGCCGUUCUUCCCUUGAUGUGUCGUUGACUCUUUCAAACGCUCAUCGUUCGUUUUGCAAAGCUUGCUCUUUAGCGAAAGUAGUAUCGAGACCGUCUUACGCUAAAGAUAACACCGGGAACAUUCCAUUUCUAUAUCGUAUCCAAGGUGAUAUUUGUGGACCCAUCCAUCCUGAAUGUGGACCAUUUCGAUACUUUAUGGUCCUGGUGGAUGCUUCAACGCGUUGGACUCAUGUCGCGCUCUUGUCCACACGUAAUGCUGCAUUUCCAAAACUCCUAGCACAAAUUAUUAAACUUCGGGCUCACCACCCGGAUUAUCCAAUUAAGUCAAUUCGACUGGAUAACGCUGGAGAAUUUACAUCAAAGACUUUUGAUGACUAUUGCAUGUCUAUCGGGAUUGAAGUCGAGCAUCCCGUACCCCAUGUUCACACGCAAAACGGUCUCGCCGAAGCUACGAUUAAGCGGCUUCAGCUUAUUUCUCGAGCGUUGGUAAUGCGCACCAACCUUCCAAUUGUGUCAUGGGGCUAUGCAAUAUUGCAUGCGGCCUUACUUAUUCGUUUCAGACCCACUGCCAAACAACCAUUCAGUGCGUACCAGUUGGUCACUGGAUAUGAGCCUGACAUUUUGCAUCUACGCAUUUUCGGUUGUUCGGUUUAUGUGCCAAUUACGCCUCCACUGCGUUCUAAAAUGGGUCCUCAGAGACGAUUGGGUAUCUACGUUGGUUAUGAAUCUCCAACGAUUAUCAGAUAUCUCGAGCCAUUAACAGGUGAUCUCUUUACCGCAAGGUUUGCGGAUUGUCACUUUGAUGAGACACUCUUCCCAUCGUUAGGGGGAGAUAUGAACAAACGUGUUCAUGUGGAACGACAGGAAUUGUCGUGGUUUGUCCCCACUCUGUCUGAUUAUGAUCUCCGCACCUCACAAUCUGAAUGUGAAGUGAAACGUAUUCUCGAACUUCAGAAAGUAGCAGAUACGAUGCCUGACUCUUUCUCCGAGAUUGCGAAAGUGACAAGAUCAGAUAUACCAGCUGCAAAUGUUCCUGCUAGGCUCGAAGUCCCUAGAAAGGGCACGGCCAUCCCCGGGCUCGGUACUGCCGCCAUCGGCGACGCCGCCCAUGAUGGAGGGAUGGAGGUCGUAGCUCCCCAAAGGAAAAGGGGGAGGCCACCUGGUUCGGUUGACACGCGUCCGAGAAAGAAACGGACCGACAAGGCACAAGUCAAUCCUUUGAUCAUCGAUGUUUAGAAUCCUUCUCACGAGAUCAUCUUUGAUUACAGUUAUGUCCACGAGUUGAUAUUAGAAUCCAUGGGAGACGCCUCAGGGUCAAUGUCAACAUCAAAGAACAUAGAGAUCUCCAUGUGUUAUGAUAACACUUAUGAAUUGAUGAACCGGUCAUCAACCCAUGUCGAUGAUAUAUUUGCUUAUUCCGUGGCUCAUGAAAUCAUUGAGCACGAUGACAUCGAACCACGCUCUGUUGCAGAAUGCCAAAACAGAGCAGAUUGGCCUAAAUGAAAAGUUGCAAUCCAGGCAGAAUUAGACUCUCUAACAAAGAGACAGGUCUUCGGCCCAGUAGUNNNNNNNNNNNNNNNNNNNNCGUCAUAACUUUCCGCUACUUAGUCAGUUUGGUAGUGUCCGAAAAACUUGACAUGCAGCUCAUGGAUGUGGUUACGGCAUAUCUCUAUGGGGAUCUAGAUUCAGAGAUAUAUAUGAAAGUGACCUGAUGGCAUUACGUUACCUAAAUCAAGUGACUCUAAACCACGGAGUGCGUAUGCUAUAAGGUUGCAACGCUCACUUUACGGAUUAAAGCAAUCCGGGCGAAUGUGGUAUACUCGUCUAAGUGACUACUUGAUUAGGAGGGAUAUAAGAACGAUGAACUAUGCCCGUGCGUGUUCAUAAAGAAGACAAGUUCCGGAUUUGCAAUAGUGGCCGUUUAUGUCGAUGACAUGAACAUUAUCGGUACUCUUGAUGAAAUCAAAGAGACCGCGGCUUAUCUGAAAUCCGAGUUUGAGAUGAAAGAUCUUGGGAAGACUCGUUUUUGCCUAGGUCUUGAACUAGAGCACCGAGUCUGUGGGAUUCUUAUCCAUCAGACUGCAUAUGUCCAAAAGAUGCUCAGGCGAUUUAAUAUGGACAAGAUGCAUCCUGUUAGCACUCCCAUGAUUGGUCGAAGUCUGGAUAUAACUAAAGAUCCAUUCCGUCCGAAAGAGGACGACGAAGAGGUCUUGAGCGCAGAGGUUCCAUACCUUAGUGCAAUAGGCGCGUUAUUGUAUUUAGCUCAAUGCACUCGACCAGACAUUGCAUUCUCAGUCAACUUGUUAGCUAGAUUUAGCUCAACGCCAACCCAACAUCAUUGGACCGGAGUUAAGAACAUCUUUCGAUAUCUUAAAGGUACCAUUGAUUUGGGACUGUUCUUUCCCUACACUGAUUCAAGGACAGAAGAUGGUCCUAUGGCUCAUGGAAGACACGGCACCGAUCCACCAAGGGACCGGACUGCCGCCAUGGAUGCCGCCGGUACGACUGCUGGACACGGGUCCAAUGCCGUGCACGCCACCGCCGCCUUGUCCUAUGUCGAAACACCCAACAAUACGUUGGUGGGUUUCGCCGACGCCGGAUAUUUAUCUGAUCCUCAUAAAGGACGUUCUCAAACUGGUUAUGUUUUCACCAUUGGGAAUACGGCGAUAUCUUGGAGGUCUACUAAGCAGACUCUAGUGGCGACAUCUUCAAAUCAUGCAGAGAUUAUAGCUUUGCAUGAAGCUGUUCGAGAAUGUGUUUGGUUGAGAUCAAUCAUUAAGCACAUUACAGGAACUAGUGGAUUAAGUUCUACAACUGAUAGACCUACAUGCAUUUAUGAGGACAAUGCAGCUUGUAUUGAGCAAAUGAAGUUAUGUUACAUCAAGGGUGAUAAUACAAAGCACAUUUCACCUAAGUUCUUCUACAACCAACAGCAACAGGCGUUUCUCAACAUUCAAGUGAACCAAGUUAGUUCCGAAGGAAACGCAGCAGACUUAUUUACUAAGUCCUUACCUAAGUCUACUUUUGAGAAACAUGUGAAAAGUAUAGGCAUGCGUCGGCUAUCAAGUCUCUCUGAAUAAUGUUCACAUCAGGGGGAGUAUCAUCUCAAUGAAGUAGGCUGGUGCGUUGUACUCUUUUUCUCCUACGAUCAAGGUUCAGUUUUUCUCCCACAGGGUUUUUGUGACUUGACGAGGUUUUUGACGAGGCAACAAAUUAGCACCAUUAGCAUAUCAAUGCGCGACACAAGGGGGAGUGUUCUAGGAUAUUCCAUAUCUUUCUAGAUAUUCUUUAUGUGUACCUUUGCCUUAUGUCAAUAGGAUAUGUAGUUAGACUAGAUCUAUGUAUUCAUAUCCUUACCAUACUGGUAAUGUGUAAUUCCCUAUAUAAAGGGCUCCUAUCAAUGAAUGAGACACAUCUUUCACGAUUCUCUAUUCUCAAUUUACUUUCACUUCAUCAGAAUAACAAUUUUUGUAAGAGUGACCAUAAUAUAUACUCGAUCAGUCUUCGUAAAUCAACAAUCGAAAAUUACCACAAUUUCUCUUUUGUGACCCUACAAUUAAUUCUUCACAAUUAAAACAAAUCCAUGUGCAUGAGCAUAUAUACAUGCAGUGUUUUGAAAGUGACCAAAACCAAAAGAAAUAAAUAUGUUUUGUUUUUAAAAGGAAGAAAUAAAUAUGUUUUACAAAGCACAAAUGAAGUCAAGUAGAAACUCAAAGGCUGUCAUAUUCAAAACUUAAGGACUCACAACUACCCUACUUAUAGAUACUAUUGGUUGGUUGUCAGAAAUUUGAUAUAGUCUUAAAAUGUGAGCAAUGUAUUAAUAACAUGCUAAGUAAAUGUAUAUGACUUUACAUUUAAACUCAUUCAUCAUAUAGUACUUUCUUACUUUUUUUUCUCUAUACAUUAUCGUCUAUAAUGUUUCUACUCAUAGCCAACUCAUGCUGUUUCGCUCAUUUGAUUUUCCACCACUAAAUUUAGAUUAUAGGCUUUGUUUGUGACAACUACUUCCAUAAGCCAUAGAAGCCUUUGUAUGCCAUAGAAGCCUUUUAUACAGAAUAUUUCUUUCAAAACAUUUGGCGAGCCUCUUUAUACAAUCAUCAUGUUACUAGAUAUAUUAACUUUUUAUUCGACAAUAUAAUGUACGAAUUAUCAUAUGUCAUUCGACUAUAGUAAAUAAAUAGACAGAAUAUAUAUAGAAAUGGCGUGUUCAAUUCAUCAAUUAAAGCUUCCAAUUAUUGGAGUGCAUACAUUGUAGAACGACAAUUGAACUAUAGUAAUUCAAAUGUGAGUUAGAAAAUGAAAGCUUCGAACUCAAGAGUUUGGAGAACGAGUGGGAUCGAUGGAGCUUUGAGUUGGAGUGCUCCGCUGGACCAAGACAAGAAAUAAGCCAAGGUUGGGAAGCAACAUCGAUCAUGGGGAUCAAAUCAAACCACCUCACAAUAUAUAAAUGCUGGGCUGGUUAAUUUGACGUUCGAUCUCCCUCAUAUCUAUAUAUAUUGAACAAUUUCGAUCUCCUCCCCUAGACCACAGGUCCCGACAGAUAGGGUUUCUAACAACCAAAUCUCGAAACAUAGAGAUACUGCUUGGAGUCUGGGAUCGACAUGGAAAGAGCCAUAUAGAUCAAUCUAGAAUGUCCAUGAUGUGCACGUACAGUAACUUGUAUAACUCAUCAGACCAGCUAGCAAGCUUUGCCCCCGGCCGAACAGUAGUGCAAAUUGCUCAUGCAUAAACGGAGAAAUUGACAGAAACAAUAUUAAUAUUAUGGAUUCAAUAAAUACUCACCAUGCUUGUGUUUAAUUAUGGUCCUUAUUAUGGAUGCAGACAUCGAAGAUUCAAGAGAGUUUGUAUCAGAAAAAAAUAUCAGAAAGUUUUCAUAGAUAGAGUCAACUCUCUUUUAGCCUUUUAGGCAUGGGCAUGUAUGCCGUGCCUGAAUGUAGCUAACAAAUCUAGUUAUACGCACACACACAGAGUAUGUAUAUGUAGCAGUUAUUGUAAACCUGUUUUUAGGUACAUAGGAGUGAUACCCAUCAUCAAUAAUUUGCUCUAGCUAGAUUGCAUGCCUCGUACGUAAAUUAUUUUCAACUCCUAUUGCUAGCUAUAGUAUGAUCAGAUCGAUCUGCCCGGCCAACAUACGUAUUCGUAUGCAAAAAAUAAGGUAGUACAAAGUCAGUAUAUAUAAUAGUAUAUACGCUGUAUGUCUCCACUCGGCACUCGAUCAUCUUGGUAUGUAUCCCAUGUGGGUAUAGAGCUUACGAUCGAGGAUGUACGUACGUAUUUGGGUUGAUCUGUCUAGAUCGAAACUCAGAAAGGUCAAGAUAUAUAUAUAUAUAUAUAUAUAUAUAUAGACAGGAUGUAGAGCGGACAUCCGCACUCGGCUUAAAGUGCGGACGUCCGUCCGUUCUUCAUCCUCCGGUGCCGGCGACGGCGCGCCCCCACCCCAAAAGAUUUCAGCAGCGUCCCUGACCACUUUCUCUCCCCGGCGAAUCCGUUUUUUUCCAGUUUCCGGUGAGAUCGACUUUGUUUGAAGUUUUGGGUGAUCUCGCCGGCAAACCGGAAAAGAAUGGAUUCGCCGAGGAGGGAAAGUGGUCGGGGACGCUGCUGGAGUCUUCUAGGGUGGAGGCGCGCCGUCGCCGGGGCCGGAGGGUGGAGAACGGACGGACGUCCGCAGGACGUCCGCACUUUAAGCCGAGUGCGGACGUCCGCUUCAUAUCCUUCCUGUGUGUGUGUAUAUAUAUAUAUAUAUAUAUAUUUAUGGCGAGUCGAUCUCCAGAAAAUUAAUGAUCGUCAGAAGUAGGGGCUCCAUCGUUAGUUUGCAAAGGUUUGUUUCUAGUUAGAUUCAUGAUCACCAGAGUCGAAGAAGGUGACUCAAGUAGAACCCACUUAUUAAUGAAAACCUGACGGGUUAAGUUUCUUAAUUAACCUCGAUCUGUUAAAGACGUCUUGGAGAGUAAUAUUACCAAUUGGAUUGUUAACCCAGAGAGCGCAGUCGGUAAGUAGUCCCGUCCCUUCGAUCGAUCGCCGUCGGGUAACAGAGAGUAGCUGUAAAUGGUGUACGUCGGCUCGUUAUAAUUGGAUGUGGGAGCUGCACUGCAUGUGGAGAUCAUCUAUAUGAACAAGCAACUCAUCGACGCCAUGAACGCAGGCAAUAGUCGGACGACGACGACGUCUGCGUCUGGCUGUGUUUUCAAAGGAUUGAAACUUGGGUAUUGAAAACGAAUAGCUAGCUGAUAUUCUAAAACUAUCAUAUCAAUAGUAAUCAAGUCAAAUCACAAAUGCCGGCCGGAUGUGAAAUAAUUCGAAGACAAAGAUUUAUGACGUAUAUAUCGAUCGAUCUAGCCAGAUGAUGAGACGUGUAUUUUUCUUCAUUUUAUUUGUCUGAUGGGAAACGUUGGACUACGCCUACGUACGGUACGCUAAGGUAGAUCCCGAUACGUGACAUCGUUUUGUCCACAAAUUUUGAAUUUUAAAAGUAUAAAAGUAAAUAUCUAACUUAACUUCUGUAUCAUCCGUCAUAGUUAAUUUUUACGGGCGUUUAGGUCAAAUCUCCCAUAAUCUUAACCCUAAAGUGCCCCAACCUUAACCUCUUUCUGGGUGCUUGUCGAACAUGACGGCUGAGGUGAAGUCGAAAUCGGAGAUCAAAUAGUUGAGGAAGACGACGAUUGGGCCGACACGCGGCAGAGGAAAUUGAUCAAUUUCAAUUUUGAUCGAGACCCGCCAGAUAACCCGUGCGAAAUUGGCUCUGCAACAUAUGGGUAGGACUGUAAGAGGAUGGGCUAUGCAAUAUCUGUUUGGAGGAGUGAUAUGAAUGUGAAAGAAAAGCUGGUGCGGUGCUUGGAUUGGUAGAAUUUGGGGUUGAAUCAGACCCUCUGUCGGGAGAAGAUUGAGGUUGUGGAGCUUAUGUGAUACUAUUCGUAGUCCUCUAUGUAUAGUAAACCCAUGUCGUAUACUCUAUUCGACGAGGGAGAGAAGAGAGUGGUGAAGUGUGAAGAUCAGAAUCAGAGAUGGGUGUCAAGUGUCAACUCAAACAGAGUUAAGGACCUUCAAUUCCUUGCCACCAUGAUCAUCAUCAAACCACCACUGUGAGAACACCAUCAUAUAUUGAUUCAGAGACAAUCCACAUGGUCUGUCUGCCACAAAUACAUAGCACCUCGCAGAAAUUUAAGCAUAGGCUUGGUGAGAUCUUUUUCCCUGAAAAGUGGAAACCCACUUCACAGGUUCAAGAACCAAACUCUACGUUGUCUGGGACUUUGGGUAUUAGCUAGAUUUAUGGCAAAAUUAAAUCUCUAUUAUGUCCUUCGGCCUCGCAGUAAAAUAAAUUACUUACCGUGACGAUAGGUAAUUACAGCAUUGCUCUUUCGUAACAGAAUCGGUUUGGCGUACGCCUACUUUUGGCGUUUUCCAGCUUUUGCCUUGUCUGAUUUGAUUAUUCAAAUUCAUUUUCUGAUUUUAUUUUAGAAUUAACAGCUAUUGGAGGCGCCCCCUAAAACUGUUUGCUUACUCGAUCUCUCUAUUAUUAUCUGGUUCACUUAUUUUCUCAGUAUGGUCCAUGCAACAAAAUUAAAUCGCAUUGAAAGUGAUCGGUAGACAGCAGCAGCCACCAUGGGCCGAGCUAAAGUCAGGUCCGAGAUGGUCCAAGACCCCCCCUAGCUUCUUGAACAAUCUAACCAAACUUCAUUAGUUACCUUAAUAAUAGCUUAUUUCAAUGAUCCCCUAUAAAUUGACAAAAAGCACAUCUGUACAUUGCAAAAUAGGAUAAGAGAUUAGUCAUCAGUUCUUUCCAUUGAUGUUACAUUCAGUUAAUUAUUAUAUCAAAUUUGAAAUUGUUUUAUCUCUAAACAUUCCUUAAUAAGCAUGAUAGUAUUUGUCUUUCGUUUUUUUGAAUCAUAGUUUGGGUUCAAAAUACAAGUUUAAUUAUUGUGGAGAACAAAAAUAUUUUGAAGCCCCCUCCCCCAACACCAAAAUCCUGGUUCCGCCACUGCCGGCCACAUAUCGGAGUGAAAAGUUAAGAUGAACAUAUAAGAGAGCUGAUGAGUUAGCUACUGCAAGCUGGAUCAACGUACUGGAGCUAGCUUGGAGAGAGAACCACUCAUAUUAGGGGUUUGCUGGGUUCAUGUGAUCACAUGACCAUACCUGUCUCGUCCACUCGGAGUAAUAACUAUGCGCUCAUCCACCUCCAUUACUGGAUGACACAAGUGAUCGUUUGGUAAAUCUGGACCAUUUUCUGGGUCUGAAUGAACUUUCAUUCAUCCCCUUUUUAUCCAAAAUGAAUGAAAUGUACGUGACAUUUGAUGGUGAAAAUUAGAAAGAAAAUACAGUACAUGUUUCUGACUAUCGAUCUGUUGUGAUCGAAUUGCUCGAGAGUCUCUCCGUAGGUAGCUAGUUGAAUGCUAGCUUCAUCCAGUAAUGGUUCAAUACAACUUAAUUUAAUUGAGAAAUCAUGAGCUAGAGUAUUUCGAGUAAGUACACACAAAAACUAACAUGACAGUGUUUCAGUUAUAUUUGACCUAAUUUCAUGAAACAUUCGAGUGGUACCCUGCCAGCAAUAUCUAUUUUGUAAAUCAUUCAAGGCACUGUUUAAAUAUAGUUUAAGAAAUGUGGAUUAAAGCUCGAUCAAAACACAAAUUCAAAAAAAAAAGAAAGAAAGAAGAAGAUCAAUUUACUUGUUCCAAUCUAAUCAGUUUUCUAACAUAAAUUGAAAUAAAUAGGUGUAGAGAUUAAAAUACUAUUGAUAAAUAUCGGUAAAUAUUGAUACACAAAAACUAAAUUUGAAGGUAUCUUGAAUAUCACUGGAAUAUUUUUUAUUUUAUUUUUUAAAAUCUAGCUACUACGAUCAAGUAGUAUUGAUAAUGAUAACAUCAUAAGUUAAUUUUGACUCCGACUCACGAACUAAUUAUAUGACCGGUUAAUUACAUGACAUGCGAAUGAGAAUUAAGGUACGGCUUAUGGUGUACGAUUUUUCCUUCGUUUACCAACAUGUUUAGAUAUGUGAUCUGAUUUUGGCUUGUGUUUUCAUGCGUUUACUUACCUGUAUGCUAAUUAGGAUGGGCGUAGCUAGAUUAUUGAAUAACUAUUAACUUGAUAGUCAAGAGGGGCCGGAGUAUAAAUGAUUCCAUACCCAUUAAUCCUUCUCUGGAAGUCCUCCUCUUCUUUCAUUCUUGUUGUUUCCGAUUCGUAAGUUUUUUUAUUACAAGUAAGCGACGUGCCGAUACAUUAUAAAUGAUUAGGUUCUCAAAGCAUUCAUCCGCGGUGAGUACAUAAAAAGUUCACGGUUGAAAGGUUGGUUGAAGCUAUUAACAGCUCUUCACCGGCGAGCAUUUAUUUCUCUCCAUAGUCCAUAUGGGUAAUAGGUCAGAAUUGAAUCCCAUAAUUGUUACCUACAUUCAACCCACCACACUCAUAUUUAUUCUCAUGCAUUUCUUUCCCGUUUUCUCAUUCCUACGCUAUCCUCUCCUUCUCUUCCUCUCACCGUCUUUCUCUUUUCUCAAUGCUCUGUUUCCUCUGAGCAAUGAUAUAAAGAAAUCUGGGAUAGGUCAUUGACAUAGCCACUGAACCUUCUGGGGAAUUUGAUUGGUCAUUUCUGUGUGUUUUAAAGAAAUGGGGUUCUUCUCAUUGGUGACAGGAAGGCCUGGUGCAAGUGGGUUUGGAUCAUCUUCAACUGCUGAGCAAGUCACUAAUGGGAUUGAUGCAAGAAACCUCACCGCCAUUGUCACUGGUAGCUAGCUUCAUUAAUUUUCAUUUUCGUCUCUAUUAAUAAUGUUCUUUGUGUUUUUUCCCCUCUACUAGCUUGUCGCUGUGUCGGAAAUUUCGUUAGAUUAAUUUAUUGUGCGAAACAUGUUAGAAAUUAUGUUCGUGAAGUCGAGAACCCGCCAAUCUGUGGAACACGGUGUUUGUUUCAGAUGUAGAGACUAUAUAGUAAUUUCUAGUUUCCUACAACAUAUAUAUUUGCUUAUUAUUGGUAUAGACACGAAUGAGAAUUUGCAAUCUCAACUCCGGCCAAAAAUAGGCAGGCCAUAACCCACCACCUGGCUUGCAUUUGAUUUGUGGGGUUUUGGGGUUAAAAAAAAAAUUUGUACGUUCUCAUUUUCUACUUAUAUCCUUCGUGACUGUUCUUGAAGUCUCUCCUUCUCCAAGAAAGUAGGGUUAACCAGAAAGAGCAGUGCGUAGUGAAUGUUGUUCAGUUUUUUGUCUUCACAAACCUUAAAUUCAAAGUCUUACUCUUAUGUGUGAUGGACUUGAGUAAAAAGUAAAAACAGAUACUACUCAAUGAAUCGAAUAUGAAUCUGGGUUAUUUUGAAAUGAAAGUUAAUUUGUUCGAACCAGUAGUUGAAAGAUUGCUGAUCUUGGAUGUGAAAUGCAGGCGGGGCGAGUGGGAUUGGACUGGAGACGGCAAAGAUCUUGGCUCUUCGAAGAGCCCAUGUCAUCAUUGCUGCUAGAAACGUUGAGGCUGCAAACAAAGCGAAACAGCUCAUUCUUGAAGAGAAUGAGAAAGCACGAGUGGAUGUGCUACAGCUUGACCUCUGCUCAGUCAAGUCUGUUAGAGCAUUUGUUGAUAGCUUUAUUGCACUUGAUCUUCCUCUCAACCUCUUAAUGUGAUCAUCAUGAUCUCUUACUCUCUUAGUUUCCCUCUUUUUGAAAUUCAUGUCCCUUCAUUUUCGUUAAGUUGGUCUAUUGUUGUUGUCGCAGAAACAACGCUGGUGUUAUGUUCUGCCCUCACCAGCUUUCAGAAGAUGGGAUAGAGCUGCAGUUUGCUACCAAUCAUCUUGGUAACUAUAACUUUCCUCAGACAAAUCAUUUGUGCCACAUUCACUAUUUCCUUGUGUCUGCUUCAAUAAGCCCCACUUGUCGAAAUUUACUAUAAUGGGGUACUCUUGUGAGUCUUGUCUUAAUUUUAUCUGGUGAUCGAUAUUGCAAUCAACUCCGCUUAUGCUAUUAAUAAAAGAAAAACGAAAGUACAGAACAGAGAAGGACGGACGGUAGGUUUCCGGUUGCGAUGGCUCCGAUCCCUUUCGUUUGAGAUUGUGUGGGUGGAUGUUAGUCACCACAAUUCAGCUGUCACAGCUAGAGGAGUUAUAUCGCUUAAUCCACUCGCGCGCAAUUAUGUGGAAAUUGUUGUCAACAAUAUGGCCAUACUCUUUUCUUCUAUAUAGAAAAAUGAAUCAGUUUAAACAGCGCAUGACCUAAUUAACUUACAGGUCAUUUUCUCUUGACCAACCUCCUCCUGGAGAAAAUGAAGAACACGGCUAAAACCACCGGCAUUGAAGGCAGAAUUGUGAACCUGUCAUCGAUUGCUCACGUACACACCUACAACAAUGGGAUUCGAUUUGAAAGGAUCAAUGAUCGAAGUGGGUACGUAAUUAGUGAUUUAACACAAAAAUAAUACAUCUCUUUCAUCAUUAUAAUUAAGCAUCUUAUCUAGCUCAUAGUAAUUCUUCAAAUCAAUGUCUGUGUCCUCAGUUACUCGGACAAAAGAGCAUAUGGCCAAUCCAAACUAGCCAACAUACUCCAUGCUAAUGAGCUCUCUCGUAGGUUGCAGGUAAAUUGUUUUACCUUCAUUUCUUUCAUUUUUUCAAAGUUUUUACCUCUUGUAGUACUCUGCAGAAAAGAUCAAACUUGUUAAAAAUGUUGAAAGUACUGUUGUGCUGUGACAUGAGAGUUAAGAGAAUUAUAUUGUUCUCAAUUUUCUGCCACAAAUUUGAUCACUGGUGGUUGUGGUAGAUAUAUAAUGUUUCGUAGUUCAUCAAUCAUGUCCCAUAGACAUGCGCCCCAUAAAGAAUGACUUAAAGAACAAAUGAAUGAAUAACGGAAUAAGUGGUCACAUUUAGAGAAUUUGAUUUGAAGUUCAUCACUGUCUUAAAGUGGGUUAAGUGUCAACAGAGACAUGUGUAAUGCAAGCCAUAAUCACAAAUCAAAUCUAGUGAUAGUCUGUCGUCUAAGUAUUAAUGAAAUGAUGAUGACUCUUUCUUAGAACUUCUAAUAGUUAGACAUUCAAAUGACUUAAUCAACACAUUGUGUUUAUUAGAUUUGUCAAUUAUGAUUUCGUUCGAAUCACAAAGCCGUUAAAGUGGUCAGACACUGUGCUGCAAUUGAGCAUUUUGCAUGUGGGCUUAACCAGCAUUUGGAAUACCCUAUUGGAACCUGAAAGAUAUGAUGCAACUCAUUGUGUUAAGCUAGACUUUUCAUGUGACUUUUAGAUUGUGAUCAGUACGUAAGCGUCUGUGGUUAAAUUGUGUAUCAAAUUGCUCGCCUUGCCUUGCAGGAAGAAGGUGUGAACAUCACAGUCAACUCAGUCCACCCAGGAAUAAUAAUGACACCUCUCAUGAGGCACUCUGCUUUUCUAAUGAGUAUGUUCCAUUCAGAUGCAUAAUCCAAACUACAAAUGAAUAUUUACAGUGUUUGAUUGAUUUUAAUUCGCUAUGUUAUUUGCAGAAACUUUGAGGUUUUUCACCUUCUGCAUUUGGAAGAAUGUUCCUCAGGUGAUUAAUCCCCACCAAAUGCUUCUUAUACUUACACUUUCACACAUAACUUCUUUCCAAGGCCGGCCCUGAGAUUUUCGGGGCUCUAGGCGAAAACGAAAAUGGGGCUCUCAAUCUCUCACCUUCAAAUAUAUUUUUAAUUUUUUUCUUUCUUUAAAAGUAAUUUAGUUUAAAUACAAUUCACUAAUAAGUUUAACAAUACAGCAAUCCCAAAAUGAUGAUGGCAGUGUAAUGCAUAUCAAAGAAGAAAUCUAAAAAGAAACAGAAAAAAAAAAAAAACUUUUAUGUAUAUGAGAAGAGAAAGAAUAAAUAAAAAUAAAAUACAUGCACACAAAAAAUAAUUCAAAGAAGCAAGCGUGUUUCGAACCAGGAAAGUUUUCCAAUUGUAACAUCCGCCUUUGCCACUACGUCAACAACAAAUAAUAUUUCUUCAGAGAACUUCUAUUUAUAAAACGUUUUAGCAGAUUUUAAACAAUCAGAAAACUUGAUUUUAUUUUUCGAGGGCCCGUAAGUCUUGGGGGCUCUAGGCACAGGUCUUCUGGGCCUAUGGUCAGGACCGGCCCUGCUUCUUUCUCACAAUAUACAGAUGAUUUCCUACCGAUCGAUUAAUUACCUAAUUAAGCACAUACUGUUGGAGGCAGUAACUAAAUUUGCAUAUACUGCUUAAUGAUCUUAACCAGGGAGCAGCCACAACAUGCUUUGUAGCACUGCAUCCAAAAAUGAAGGGCGUGACCGGAAAAUACUAUGUGGACUGCAACGAGAUGAAGCCGAGCUCCUAUGCUAGAAAUGAGAAGUUGGCGAAAAGACUGUGGGACUUCAGCAACAAAUUGAUUGAUGGAGCUUCUGUUAAAGGUUGAUGAUCAGAAACAGCUUCUUCUAUAAGUACGUUGAUGAGAAACACCCUGGGAAAAUCUGUGAUCAAGUAGUACUAGUAUCAUAUAUGAGCCCGCAAUGCUGGAGUGAGUUGUGGGAUUAAUGUGAGUGUGCAACUGCAAUGGUCCAUGCUAUAGGACGUCGUUGUUUGGUUACUGUUUGUUGAUAGUUGUUGUAUUGUUUCAUUUAUUUAUUGUGUGCUGUUUAUCAUAAUGAUACUGGACCUCCUUGGUUUUCAGUUAACAUAAUAUGGUUGAUCUUUAGCACUCGGUUCACAUUUUCUAAAUACAUCUCUGCUGCUAGUGAUGGUAAAUAAUCAAAUAUGCAUUAGGGUGUGAGAAUUGUGUUGUGGUGGCUCGAAUAUGAGCCUGUUAAUUGUUAACGUUUAUCAGCCUGAAAUUCGAGUACAUCAGCCUUAAAUGCACCACCUGAUUGUGUCAUGCAUGCGCACUGACGUCUGAGCAUAUAUGUCCCCUGUCAUUUUUUUCGGGAUUUUUCACACCAACAAUGUCUGAACACUUGGGUGACUGACAAUAUGGUAUCCGAACUUACAAAGUUAUCAAAAUGGUACCCAAACUCAAUUUUUAGUAUCUACAUAGUACCCACGGCCGAUUUUUCGUCACGUCAACGUUAACAUUGACCAUAAGUGACAUAUGUGUGUUAAAAUAAUGAGGGUAAAAAAGACUUUUGACUCUGACAAACCCUAAAAUAAAUAUAUUGAAAAUUAAAAUAAUAUUCACCAAAAAACUCUCUCUAGUUCUAGCUCUCUUUCUCCAUCUGAAAUAUUAUCUUUCCCCAUCUCAAAUCAUACCGGCACUGAGAGUCCAGCACCUAGAACUCUAUAAGGUAGAUCGACGACAGAGAGAAUGGAGGACAAAUAAGUCUUUUUGCCUCAUUUAACAAGUCCGUUGACGGAGAUUAACCACAGGUAUUACGCAGAUACUAAAAAUCGAGUUUGGGUACCAUGUUGAUAACUUUGUAAGUUCGGGUACCAUAUUGUCAGUCACCCAAGUGUUCAGACACUGUUGGUGUAAAAAACCCUUUUUUUCGAUGAAAAGAUUGAGGGCAGCAUAUACCGAGUAUAUAAACUGCUGGACCAGGAUUAAUUAAGAUCGUUACCAAACUGAAUAACAAUAUCAAUCCAUUUUAAUUGCUACCCAGAUUUUACCAUUAGCCUCAGUGAUCCUCAUAUCCUAAAAGCUUUAACCCUCAAUGUUAAAACUUCAGGUUAUCAUGUCCUUGAAGUAACCCAACCUUUAGCUUUAAUUUAUAGGAUCCAUUAUAAAGUCAUUGGUACAAAUAUGAAUUUCCAAGCCAUUAGUAAAAGUCCCAAAAACCAUACUCUUUUAAUUCAAAGUAGUCAAGAAAACGCCAAUAUUAGCGUUCCUCACAUAAUCAGAUGGUCAGAUGUCCAUCUUCCUUCUGAAUGGUCUCUCACGAGUGAGAAUCAACCAUCUAAUGCACAACAUAGUCUUUCUGAUUUAGACUGUAUUCAACAGUUUAAUGAUGGCACAGUAAGAAUUAAUUUUCAAAACUCUAGGAUAAGUCAAAACCCAAGAAUUCAAGAGGUAGGAAACUCCUCUAGACAUUCUUUUGCUACGGCUAGACAUUCAUUUGCUGGUUCCACUACAGCUGAAACAAUGUCUAGACGAGAUUCUGAUCUAGAUAAAGAAAUUAAAAAUAUUAGAAUUAGAGAAUUAGAAGAAGAAUUGCAAAAGCUCAAAAUUAAAAACAUCAAAACUAUUUCCCAAGUUAGUUACCCAAAUUAUACAGAAAAUGAAUCUCAAAAUAUUUCAACCACAGAUGAAGAGCAAACUUCUCCCACUGCUUCUGAUGUUUUAGUUACUCCUCCACUAAAUCCUCACUUAAGCACACUUACCCAACCUUUCGUAAUCAACUAUUCCAGAUUAGACAAACAUCUAGAAUCAAAAGAAAAUAUCCUUAGGAGAAACCUCUAUAGGAUGAAGUUCCCUUUCAUGGAUCAACGAAAGCAAUUAUUUCAUGAUUAGCAAGCAUUUAUGCUUGAAAUAAGAUCUGAAAUAUUUUUCUUGAUUUUAUAGAACAACUAAACAACUAAAAAAUUCAAACAUUAACAAAAGCAAGAUGGAAAACCUUCAUUAGCUCAGUCCUUUCCAGUCAUCCUCCUGUUGAAACAAUAAUAAUUGAUCAUCUUAACAGUCCAAUCACAGCUUCACCUUUUAAAAUUGCUAUAGAAGAUCCAGAAACUAAGAAAAUUAACCCAGAAACUAAAAAAAUUAUUGAACAAAAUAAUUAUACAAACCAAAGCCUGAUAACCAUAGGAGCCCAGUUAGAUAAAAUAGAAACAAAAGUUGACAACAUAUCCUCUAAAGUUAGUAUUCUACCACAACCUAAACCAGAGACUCCUUUAGUUCAUUUCAGUGAAUUAAAUAAACCUACCCUAAAUCCUACUUCUUCGAUUCAAAAGAUCGAACGAAUGUUAGAAAAAUUAAAAACUGAAACACCUGAACCUAGUAGGAUUGCUGUAAUUCAUACCCAACAAACUUCUUCAGAUAGCGAUUCUAGUAACACUAGCCAAAUUAAAGAAAUAAACCAAAUACUUCAGACUUUAAAUAUCGAACCUUCAAACCUAGACCGAAUAGUUCAUCCAAAAAAGCGACCUUUCAAAACUUGGACAGAACGUCCUCUCCCCUUAGAUAUACAACCAACUAAUCACAUUACUAAUCAAUUCUCAGUUUCUUCUGAUAAAACUUAUGAAUGGAAUAUUGAUAAUUUAUCAGAACAAGAAAUCUUAAACAAAUUACAUCACAUGUCUAUGGCAGCCAAUAGCUAUGUCACUAAUCAUAAUUUCAGCCAACCUGAAAUUAUUGACAUACUUUUCACAGGAUUUACAGGAAUGCUUCAUUCCUGGUGGGAAAAACAUCUCACUCCUGAUUCUAGAUCAUCUAUUAAACAUGCCAUUAAACGAGAUGAAGAUGAGACUCCCAUCUUUGACAAUCGCACAGGAAUGAGAAUUUCUGAUGCUGUUAAUACCUUAUUUUACACAAUAAUCCAACAUUUCAUAGGAACCCCUAGUCAUAUUACUUCUAGAAUUCAUGAUCAACUCAGUAACCUUAGGUGUCCUACCCUAAGUGACUUCAAAUGGUAUAAAGAUGUAUUCAUUUCUCGAGUUAUGCUUAGAGACGAUAGUAACCAACCAUUUUGGAAAGAAAAAUUCAUAAAUGGUCUUCCAAAAUUAUUUGCUCAUAAAAUCAGACAAGUUCUUAAUAAUGAAACAGGUCACAUAAACUAUGAUUCUUUAACUUAUGGAAACAUAAUUACAGUUAUCCAAAAAGAAAGAUUAAAAAUGUGUAUAGAUAUGAAACUAAAUGCUCAAAUGAAAUCAGAUAAGAAAACAGCUCAAUACGAAUUAGGAAAUUUUUGUGAACAAUAUGGCCUACCUCCCUUAUCUCCUUCAAGGAGAAAAAAGGCAAGCAAUAAAUUUAUUCCUUACCAUUCAAAAAGAAAAUUUACACCUUACAAAAAUAACUUUGAGCCACACAAAUUUUAUUCCAAAAACAGAUUUCGCAAAAAUUGGUCUAAAAAACCAAAUCACCAACUAAAAAGUAAACCUUUCGAUAAAAGUAAAACCAAAUGUUUUAAACUGGUCACUUUGCAAACAAUUUUCCAGUUAAAAGUACUAUUAAUCAACUCAAAAUUAGUCAAGAAGAAAAAGAAAAACUUAUACAAACUUUAGAAUUACGAAACACUGAUUUAGAAAAUAAAAUGAGUGAAGAUGACAUCACAUUGAUGGAAUCUUCUUCCUCUGAAUCCAAUGAACAUUCUUCCCCAUAUAUUAAUUUGGGGUGUAAGGAUGCUUGUAAUUGUAAAACAAUAAAUGUUCUUUCCAAACAGGAAGAACAAGAUGAACUCUUAAUUGAUUUAAUAGGUAAAAUAGAUAACCCUGAACUUAAAGCAGAAUACCUCAAAAAAUUAAAAAAAUUAAUUACCCAAGAAAAUAUAGUUAAUCCUCCCUCACAAAAAAUUAGCCUUACUACAACUUUUGAUAAAUUCUCCACUAGUAAAAAGGAAAUAACAAUCCAAGAUCUACAACAUGAAGUAAAAACAAUCAAGAGUCAAAUACAUGGUUUACAACAAACACAUUUAGAACUUACGAAUGACAAUAAAGAAAUUAAACAGNNNNNNNNNNNNNNNNNNNNAAGAAGAAAUUAAAUUUCAAAAGAAAUUGAAAAAUCAAACUCCAAAAACUACUUUUCUUCAAGCAAAAGAUCAAAACUUUUGAAGAAAAGAUAAUCAAAGAAAUAUGUUAUGAUAUUCCUACUGCAUUUUGGCACAGGAAAAAACAUAUUGUCUCACUACCCUACAUCAAAGAAUUCAAUGAGAAAAAUAUCCCUACUAAAGCUCGUCCAAUUCAAAUGAGUCACGAAAUCAUGGAUUUUUGUAAAAAUGAAAUUAAUGAUUUACUCAAUAAAGAUAUUAUUCGCCCUAGUAAAUCCCCUUGGUCUUGCCCAGUUUUCUAUGGUCAGAAAAAUGCUGAACUCGAACGAAGGACUCCUUGUCUAGUUAUAAAUUACAAACCUCUUAACACAGUUUUAGAAUGGAUCAGGUAUCCCAUUCCCAAUAAACGAGAUCUCAUUAACAGAUUAAACAAAUCUAUUAUCUUUAGUAAAUUUGAUAUGAAAUCAGGAUUUUGACAAAUUCAAAUUAGUGAAGCUGACAAAUACAAAACUGCAUUUGUCACACCCUUUGGUCAUUAUGAAUGGAAUGUUAUGUCAUUCAGAUUAAAAAAUGCCCCUAGCGAAUUCCAAAACAUAAUGAAUAACAUAUUCAAUCCUUACAGUCACUUGUCCAUUGUCUACAUUGAUGAUGUUCGGAUCUUUUCUCAAUCAAUUGAUCAACACUGGAAACAUCUUCACCAAUUCUUUUCAAGAAUAAAGAAUAAUGGUCUAGUUAUUUCUGCCUCAAAAAUCAAAUUAUUCCAAACCAACAUUCGUUUUCUUGGAUUUAACAUUCACCAACUCCAAAUUAAACCCAUUAAUAGAGCGAUACAAUUCGCUGACAAAUUUCCAGAUGUCAUUUUAGAUAAAAAUCAAUUACAAAGAUUCCUAGGAUCUUUAAAUUAUGUAGCAGAUUUUUACAAAAACCUUAGGAAACAUUGUAAACCUCUAUUUGAUAGAUUACAAAAAAUCCUUCCCCUUGGACUUCAGUACAUACAUCCUUAGUCAAAGAAUUUAAGAGUCAUGUCAAAACCUUACCAUGCUUAGGAAUCCCUCUUCCCGAUUCCUAUAAAAUAGUAGAAACUGAUGCCUCUGAAAUAGGUUAUGGAGGUAUUCUCAAACAACAACUUUCUCCUAAUCAUCCUGAGCAAAUUGUUCGUUUUUAUUCUGGGAUUUGGAAUCCAGCCCAAUCAAAUUAUGGUACUAUUAAAAAAGAAAUUUUAUCAAUUGUUUUAUGUAUCAGUAAAUUUCAAGAUGAUUUAUUAAAUCAAAAUUUUUUAGUCCGAGUUGAUUGUAAAAGUGCUAAAGAUGUUUUAGAAAAAGAUGUUCAAAACAUUGCUAGUAAACAGAUCUUUGCCCGUUGGCAAGCAAUUUUAAGUAUCUUUGAUUUUGAAAUUGCAUUCAUUAAAGGCAGUGACAAUCAUAUCCCCGAUUUCCUAACUCGUGAAUUUCUACAGGGCGCCACAACAUGAAGCUUAGCUCAUCCAAAAGGAGAAAUCCCGAAAAAUCAAAAGCCACGGUGUCCUCUCCAGUUAAGCCAGAAUCACCUGAGUCAAAAUCAAACAUAGUUCCUUUUACAAGUCAUUCUUCUGUUGCUUUAGUUAACCAGUAUAGUGCUCUUGGUAGCACUCUCAGUCAAAAUAAACUCAGUUACCAAUCAGCUUUAGUCAACCAGUUCGACCCUUACAAAUCAGGCUCCUGAUCUAUCCUUCCAAUCAAUUAUAAAAAAUCCUCCCCUUACAUUAUCAGGAUUGAGCAUGGCCUAUUUUACAUUGAACCCAUCUUGAGUCAUCUAAAAAAAUCUUGUUUCUUUAGUAAAAAGUUAUUUUGGUCCAACCUCUCAUUACCCUCCAGGUAAACCCCCAUUAGCAUUUUAUAAAGACAUUUUGUAUAAAACUGAGUCAAUAUUUAUUAAACCAAUCCUUGAUCCAAAAGACCAAUCUAAGAUAUUAUAUCAUUCCCUUUAUAUAAUCUGAAUCAUGUCACUAGCCCAAUGGGGUGAUCCCCCCUCUACUCCCCACACAUUAGACACAAUCACAUUUACCUAUCAUGAUUACAUCGAAGCAUGGGAUAAAAUAUUCCUCCAUCAAACCGAGGAUUUUAGUCAUUCGUGGUUCCUCAAUUUCGAUAGAAGAUUCAACCGCCAAUUCCCUAUGUGGUUUGGUAAUUGGUGGGAUAACCAUGGUUGCCCUUAUGAUCUUCUCCCAUUACAACUUCAGAAUGCAGUCACGAAAUUUACUACAGUUAUGACCUUUUCAAAAUAUGAGAAGAGGUUUUCUGCCACUCUUCAUUUCAUGGCCAAAUAUAAAAUUCCUUGGAUUAUGAAAUGGCAAUACAAAAUUGAACCUGAAGAUUACAUGGUUAUAAGACAAUACCUAGUAAAAUGGUGGGAUAAAUUCGACCCUGAAAGAGUUUUAACUCAAUUCAGUGAAGAAUUCACAGUUGUUCCUUCGAGUUCAAAAGCUCCGGUUUCCAUUCAGCCGGCCCCUCCGAUCUCGCAGUUAACAUCUCCAACUCCUCAGUCACCAUCUUCUUCCAAGAAGACAAAUCAGUCACCAUCUUCUUCUAGGAAGAAAAAAGCCUCCAGUUCAUCUUCAUCUUCCAAAGCAGAAGAAUUAAAAGAUCUAGCUAAACAAUUCCUACAAAAAGCAGCAAAUUUAUCUACAGAUGAUGAAGAAGAACAUUCUCCAUCAGAAUCAUCAUCACACAGUCAUCAAAGUUCCCCCAAUCAACCAAAAAGAUGGGCAGAUUAUGAAGAUAGUCAAGACCCAUAUGCUGAGUUUGAUUAAUUCCAGUCAAGACCAUCUCAGUCAGCUUUUCACCGAAAUCAACAGUAAAUCACAUGACAGACAGUCCACUAUUCAUCAACAGUAAAUCACAUGACCAACAGUUACUCAGUGGCAGACAAGUUACUAUUCACCAACAGUCACUUUUUACUAUUCAUCACUUUUGUAAUUUCUAUUUAUAGAGGCCUCCGGCUUCAUUGUAAGACAGGCUUCAUUUUUCUCUUCUUCUCCUCUCCUCUCCUCUCUUCCCAUUCUCUCUCCAGUAAAAUACUCGUGUAAACAGAGCCCUUGCUCUUACAUAUGCAUUAAUUUAAAUUUGUAAGUUUGUAACUCUGAGUUAUAUAUAUAUAUAGCCUUUCUUGGCUGCGGACGUCUGCACCGAAAGUUUCGGUGCGGAUUUCUAUUUUUGCACCACUUUCUGAUCAAAUUUUCUCAUCUCCACCGUCCAGUAUCUAGAUAAUAUUGUGUAAAUCAUCUAUGCAAAAUUUCAGCCAAUUUGGUGAUCGUUAANNNNNNNNNNNNNNNNNNNNNNNNNNNNNNNNNNNNNNNNNNNNNNNNNNNNNNNNNNNNNNNNNNNNNNNNNNNNNNNNNNNNNNNNNNNNNNNNNNNNNNNNNNNNNNNNNNNNNNNNNNNNNNNNNNNNNNNNNNNNNNNNNNNNNNNNNNNNNNNNNNNNNNNNNNNNNUAUAUAUAGUUCAUAUAUAUAUAUAUAUAUAUAUAGUUUAUAUAUAUAUAGUUCCAGGAAGGAUAUGAAGCGGACGUCCGCACUCCGGCUUAAAGUGCGGAUUUCGUCCGUUCUCCGCCGUCUCACGCCGGUGACGGCUUCUCUCCUUCCCGGACAACAGCACAAGCUUUCAGGACUGCUUCUCUCCUUCCAGGACUGGCCGGCGACAAGUUUUCCGGCCAACCUUGAUCAAUCAUGGUGUUUUCCGUCCAGAGCUUCAAUCCGGCCGGAAAACUUAUCGCCGGCCAGUCCUGGAAGGAGAGAAGCCAUCCUGGAAGCCUGUGCUGUCAUCCGGGAAGGAGAGAAGCAGUCGCCGGCGUGAGACGACGGAGGUCGGACGAAGUCCGCACUUUAAGCCUGAGUGCGGACGUCCGCUCUACAUCCUCUCUGUAUAUAAUUCAUAUCCAAAGUGAAGCUUCGCUCUGAAAUUAAAGUGUGAAGUUCCUUAUUUGACACACUUUUAGGUUAUAUUUCUACAUCUCCACCGUUCAGUUUGUAGAACCAAAUGCAUAGAUCUUUUCUGCAAAGUUUCAUCGAAUUUGAUGAUCGUUUGUGUGUUCAUAAUCGUGAUUUACACAAACAGUUCUGAUUAGACAUAUUUCUGGUCAGUUUAUUGAUUUAACAUAAUUCGGUAUAUAUAUAUAUAUAUAUAUAUAUUUUUGAAGGCAGUCGAGACGUACUGUGUCUCGACCAGAACCAGUACUAGUACGUACUUUGGCUAAUGUGGCCACACAAUGACUCGAAUCACGCACCCAAGUCGUCAGAUCGAUCAAGUGAUUCAAGUCCCCUACCACCUAAAUUAUUUAGAUCUUCCUCACCAUUCCCGUCUUCCCGGUUAGUCUUGUUAAUUUUUUUAGUGCUCGAUCAGUAAACCCUGGAGAAUUGUUAUAGUCCAGCAACUCAAUCCUUCCCCACUUUAUAGAUAUGAGUUUCUACAUGUAGUAAAUCACUUUUACGAUCUACAAAAUCAAGAAGGUAUCGGUUGAACCAAGACUCUCAUCCAUGAGGAGUUAAGUAGUUUGGUUGAGGUUUGUAUCAUAACGCUUUUGAAGAGCUUAAAUGUGUGACAUGUAUUAUACAUAUCGAUCUAACACUGCAUGUAUUUGUAAACCUAGCUUAAAAUUGGAUUAAAGCAUACAUCAAGUCCAGCAUUAAUUUUACACAACCUAUGAGAUGCCAUCACCAACAAAACCCAACCUAUAAAAAUGGCGGGAACCCCAAACCCUUCAAUGGGCUUCGUCUGCCUCCCACAACCCCAGGGCUCGGACCAGAAACGCCGAGCCGGCCACCACAACCGCCGCGAAGACCGGAGGAACGAUGAGAUCAAUCUUGGACUUGCUGAACAGGUUAGCCGGCAAGCAGAGAAUAUCUCCCGGCACGUCAGCCAGCACCCUAAUAGACGCUUCCGAGCCGCAUGAAGACGACGAAGAAAUGGCCGAGACAAACGCAACCUCGGGGGAGAAGGAGGCGAGAGCCACCGUGAGAGUGAGGCAGGCUGUCCACGUGGCGGCGAAGACUAAGACCGGCAGGCGGGGCGUGAGGCGCGUGAGGGUGGAGGUGAAGAGGGAGGGGAGCAUGAUGGGGUGUCGUGAGGGUUUGGGAGGGGUGUGGAGUUUUAUAGGGAAUGUGAGGGAGUCGAAAGUCAAGAGUGGGAUGGAGGGAGAGGACCUAAUUUCAACGACUUCACAUAUUUGGAGUUUAGGUGGGGGGAGGAUGGCAAACUUGUGACUCAUGCAUCUUGACUAAAGCGUCUCAACGAAUUUUUUAGGUCUACUUCUUAGUUCAUCUACAGUGAAAAACUGUUCAUCUACGGUAAAAAAUAGUUUUGGGCUCGGGCUGCGUUUCGUCGCUUUGUGUAUCUCUCUCGACCUCUCUCGCCGCUUUGUAUAUCUUUUUCUUGAUGUCUCUCGAUCUCAUUCAACCAUAUCGCGUCAACACCUGAUCUCUCUCUCUCUCUCUCUCUCGAAUCAUUCCGGCUUUCUCUCUGUCGAAUCUCUCUGCUUCAAGAACUUGCUGUCGCGUCAAGACAAAGGUAAGAAUUUCCCAACUUUGUUGUUUUCUUUUCUCUACGAAUUGAAGGAGUUGAGAAAUAUAUAUUCGAUUCAGCUGGCCUCAGUUGUUUAGCCGAUAGAGCAUUUGUCUGGGUUUUCAAAGGUUUUCCAUUUUCCUUUUUAGUACUAAAUUUUCAUGUUUUGGUUUUUUGUAAUCUUGAAUUUUGGUCGGCUUUGGAGGGUAAUCAGUUCCUCUAUUUCUGAGAUCUGGGUAAAUUGGCUCUUGAUGAAGAGACUGCCGGUGAUUUCUUGGCAUCUCUUCAUCUACAAAGAAAUUAACGAUAUAGGGCCAAGAAAUCUUAUAAUUGUCUCUAUGGGAUGGUCUUAUAACCACUUAGUAUAUGAACACAGUAUAUUUUUAGCAAUGGGUGUGCUGUUUUGUUGGAAACACAUGCUUCACUGCAUGACAUAUAUAAUAAGCUUAAGAACCCUUUUCCGUUCUUAAAGUUUAACCAUUGUGAUGGAGAGUUGUAGCAUUUGAAGUCUUCUGUGUUUUAAAGUUCGUAUACUUCAUAUAAUUCUUCACAGACUUUCUUUAGGGAAAUUUGAAAGUUGAAAUUAGUUGUCGUGAAUUUAAGUUUGUUCCAAUUCCAUUUGAGGUUCUCUUAAAAACAGCUUUCCACUUUGAGCAUCAAUGUCAGUGCUAAAGUCUAGUGAUCUACUGAUGAUGCUCUUUGUUACCUGGGCUACUGACCAAGGACAUGUGUAUAUCCUUCUAGGGGCAGCCAUCUUAAAACUUAAAAUCUAAGCAAAGUGAAAUGAUUUUCUAUGACAGGGAAGGUAGUCUUUACUUUCAGUUGCACUUCUAUCUGAGACCAUUAUGGCUGGUAACAUGGAUCGUGGCAUAAGAGCAUUACAUAGCGUGGGCAGUUAUUAAAUUUGUUUUCAUGAAGUGCUUCUUUAGGAGUUAAACUUCCAUUUGUCCAGUUGAUUAUAGUUCAUAUGAGCAGAUAUUAUGCAUCUGAAAUUAGCACAGGUUAACCAGAGAGUAGAGAGUUGAAUCAAUCUAUUUGCUACUGGGAUAAUUUUAUGUCAAUGGCAGAUACUAUAUCAAUCAAGACACUUUCCGUGUAACAUUUGAGUUUGAGUUCAUUGCUAUAUAUUAUAAAGAAUGAAAAUUUUCACUCAUAAAAAUUUCCAUGUAGCAAAUGGAUUGAUUCUACUCUCUAAUAUUAUGUUCCAAAUAUGUGUUCCAAGUAUUGUGUUCCAAGGAUAUAGUAGAAAGAACUCAAGCUGAAAUAUGAGGCAAUAAAGUUUUUGAGUCUUUAAUUGAGUGUGAUUAUAUUUAUAAUUUGUAAAUAAUUAACGAACCAGCUAGCUUAGUAGUAGGAGUACUGAGUCAACUGAUGCUUGAAGCUAGGUUGGUAUAUAUUUUCUUUUCUUCAGGAAUCAGAGAGUUGAUCAAGGAAUUGCAUAUGCUUAUCAUAAUGAGCUCAAAUCUGGUCAUUUACUUCAACCAAUAUCUGCACCUGAGUAACUAAAAGCAAAGCAACUUUAGUAUCAUGCCUCUUUCAGUAGACAUGAUACUGGAAAAAUCAUAAUGUCUUUUUAUAAGUAUUUUUAUGUUUGUUGUAGUUCGAUGUCAGUUUCGAAAAUACCUUCCUGAAGUAUGUUGAUUUGGGAUAUCUGAUUGAACAUCUUUACAUUUACUUUAGCAGUAUAGUAGCAUGGCUAAAGAUCUAAUAUCUCUGCAUUUAUUGAUAAAAUACAGGCAUAUAACAACGCUGCAGCCACUUGCUUGGGAAAACCAGUGAGAGGAUUUAACAUAAAAAAGAGAGGUAAACUUAGGUGUUCAUGUAUGCUAGAACUUUAACAUUUUAAGUUGCAAAAACACAAGAUAUGGGGGUGAUUAUUAAAAAUUGUUAAUUAGUUAGUUUCCAUUGCAGUGACUCUUUUAUUCUUUGUGUUGAAUAUUUGAAUAAUCGGAAAAUUAAUCUUAUAUUAAAGAUAAACUCUUCUUUCAAGUUGAUUUGAUGGGCAAGGCGCGAUGACUCCAAAAGGGUCUUAAUCGAAUUACAGGACCUGUGAAUACAUAUACUUCAAAGGGUUUGAUUAGCCUCUUCCCAUUUGAUUUUGAUCUUAUUUUUUCAUAUACAGUAUAUAUCUUUUCCAUUUUCUUUUUUUGGUUUAUGGUUCGGCUACGUAUAUGAAUAUGUGCAGCAAAGUGAUUUGUAGUUCUGCUGUGGUUUUUAGUUAUUUGGAUUGCUGCCUUUUGCAUUCUUGGUAACUGUUAUCACUUCCAUUAAAUUGGCAAUCUUAUAUAAUCAGUAUAUGUUAUUACUUCUUUGCUGAAUCUAUUAUUUGUUGUUGCUAACUAUUCUACUCUUAGUGUGGCUUAUUAAUGGAUGCCUAUUAUGUCUACAUAUCUUCAGGGCAUGGAUUGAUUCUAGAACCAUGUCCAUGGCCAUGAUCAAAUUGAUUUCAGAACCAUGUUCAUAUAACAACAAUUCUGUAUAGUGGGGUUUGACUAGCUUACAGCUAAAAUGGACAACAAUGAUAUUCCUCAUGGGUAGAUUUUAUUAAUUACAUUAGGCAAUUUGCCACAAACAUUAUAAAGGAUGUUGAGGAUGAAAGAUGAUCGUCUUCUAUAUUUUUCUGUAGUAUCCUUAAAAACAAGCACAACAGAUGCUAGCACAAUGCAACAUGUAUCAAGGUAGAUGUAUAUAUUUUUGCUGUUGUCUAAUUAGUAAUUUGCAAUCAACAAGUUUACAAAUCUUUGUAAUUAUAGAAUGAUAAAACAAGAACAUUACAGUGCAUUGUCAUAGUAAAGCUAAGAAUAGGGAUUUUACUCUCUGUUUCAAGCAAAGUUGAUAACUAAUACAGCAUUUAUCGAUCAUAAAAAAUAGCAUGUUACAGUAUCGAAAGUCCCGCAGCAGCGUGCGGGCUACCUUUCUAGUUAGCUUUAUAGAAUUCAACUUUAGAUUAAACAGAUUUUGAAUAGGAAAUCAGCUCGAUAUAAUCACUUUCAAAAUGUGGUAAAAUCAAACAUUUUCAUGAAUCAUAUGGAGAUAACACAUUCAUCUAAGAAGUACGUAAAUUAUGAUCAUACAUGAGUUGGUAUAAAUAUAAAAUAUCUAACGGCAUACGUCAAGGGUACCCUAGAUUUGGUAAUCUCUUUAUUGUUAUUAUUAUUUUUUUUUUUUGUGAUAAUUUGUCAUGGUACUCGUUCUUUAUUCCACAUUUAAGCUAAGUAUAACUAAAUUUACGCUCAAACUCGAUAAACAUAUUAAAAAAUAUCUCGCUUGGUUAGACGUAUUUAGAACUUAGAAAAAACAUAAAAAGUAGAAUAGGUCCAAUUGUCAGAUAUUCACAUGAAUUAUUUUUAUAUAUAUUUUUUUUCCGAUUAGAUAUCCACAGGAAUAUCAUUGAACUUUUGACAUUUGCAUUACAGAGUUCAGCAUGGAUCCAGAUAUGCCAACCAGCAAUUUUUGUUGAUCUCCAUGACCAACCAAUCAAUCAACUCUCUCUCUCUCNNNNNNNNNNNNNNNNNNNNCUCUCUCUCUCUCUCUCUCUCUCUCUCUCUCUCUCUCUCUCUCUCUCUCUCUCUCUCUCUUGAUUGGAUGGUCAUGGAGACCAGCAAAGAUUGCUGGUUGGCAAAUCCGGAUCCGUUCAGCAUUCGUAUAGGUAUGCAUUUUUUCUUUCCAAUAACCGAUUUGAUUUGACAUAAGGAUCAUUCGUAUUGGUAAUCAUGAUAUCCAGAAUAUUUAGCCUGUUUUUUUUUUGGGACAAUGAUAAUGUUUUCAGGGCCUCACAAAAAAAUAUACAAACAAAAAGAAUUUCAGACAAAACUAUUCUCCAUAUAUAAAUGUCAGAAUCAAACUACAAGAUUACAGCUAAAACUACUACACAAGAACAAGAAAGAAAGAAACUAGAGGUGGACUGGAACUAGUCAAUGAUAAUAAGCUCGUGGUUUUCGUGCAAUUCAUAUUGCCUUGGCCCCAAUGAAUCAAUCUGCAGUACUUUAGUGAAUGUAUGAGGAUCCACCAUGAAUUGCUGAUCAUGAAGAUUGCUAGUAUACUCCGCCUCGAAACCUAUUGGAUCUGUCUGGCCUUUCCCGGAUUCACAAGGAAAUGGAGUACUAGUACAACCGAAUGUCCCUGCAGCAUCUCUUAGAUGUUCCUCUAACAUGGUCAUCCUCAUCAUCUCACGAUCAACAUCACUUUGACCCAUAAUACUGAAAAUAUCAGUACCAAGAUCCCAGGUAGUACUAGUCCUAAUACCACUGGGAAAACCAGGGCAAUGGUUAUUUUGGUAUUCACAAGCUUCCCAUGGCCAAAUUGGAUCUCUUAACAUUGUUUCACCCUCAUCAAAACACGCAACCAGCGGAUUUUUCCAGAAUUCUUCUGUGAUGUCUAGAGGGGAAUCAGUCUGAUCAGUAGAUUCUGGUUCCUCAGUCGAGUUGAUCUUGUCGUUUAAUUUUCUGUCCUCGACCGCCAGUUCAUCAAUUUCAUCCAGCAAUGAUUGUUGAGAAAAAUCAAUUGGCUGUGAUGAUUCCUCAAACUCAGUACUUUCCGGGAUCAAAUCCUCCAAUUCAUCAGCCCACGAUUCUAAAUCAUCGACCUCUUCUCCAGCAUUACCAUGUACUUUUUGUUUCUUCAAUUCCGGUGAGCCAAGAACAUCACCUUCGGAAUGGGAAUCAAGCUCCUCUGCUUUUCUUUUUAGGGUCAGAAACUGACCCGGUUUAGGUUGAGUAUUCUUGCUCCUCAUAACUUCUCUGGGUCAGGAAACCGAAUGAGUUUUGCUCUGGGUUGCUAAUUAACAGGGUAAGACGAACAGAGAAGAAUGAAAGUAGAAACAACUUCGAGAGGGUUAUAUAGGCAUCCAUUUCCCACUGUUUCCCUCUUUGGUGAGGAAAGGAUAACUUUCCUAAAACAAAGCGGAAGAAUUAAAUCCCCAAUUCAUUAGGUUACCUCAAAUUGGUUUUACCUAGCUGAAGUUGGAAUGCCUCUAAGGGCCAAAGUUUCUAUUCUUUUUUUUUUCUCAGUAGUACCCACUACCCACUAUCCAGUCUCAUAUCAUCAUGAAAUAAUCAAAGGUAUAGUGUGACGGAUGCAUGUUAGUUUUACAUGAAACUUUUCUAUCAUUUAUUUUUUUUUUUUGUAGAAUAAAUUUUCUAUCAUUUCAUAAUCAGGCAUCAUGAAAUUGGACGAACAAAGUUUAUUGAAGAGCCCAAAGGGCACAAGCAGCAAGCCUACAGCACAGGCCAAGCAGAACCAGGCUUUCAUAGUCACUUGACCAAAAAAAAGACUUUCAUAGUCACAAGCCCAAAUGAAAUGGGAGACUAUAUAAGCCCAAAAAUAGAAAACUAAGACCCAAGGACAGGAAUAUACAAGGGCCAGUAUUGUCUAGGACUCUUUGCCCAAAAACAAAAAAAACAAAAUAUUGUCUAGGACUCAUGGACAUGCAGCACAUGAUCAAGCAUCAUCAAGAAAAUAAGAAAGCAAAGACACAUGAGAAGCAAGUACAUGAUGUGAUGCAACCAAAUGGAGUUUCAUCCUGGAUUGCACAUUAUUUUAAAGCUCAUGUCCACUUUAUAAUUGAGUGAAAGAUGCAACUUUAAUCAAGACAAAUCUCCAAUCUCAUAGGUACACAUCACCCAGGGCCAUUGAUUUAGAUAUGCAUCAAAUUGAAUAGAAGCUAGAUGAAAUAACCAGAAAAAAAGAGAGGACCCAAUUGAAGAAAAAAUGAAAAUGCCAAGGUGUUUAUACCAAACAUCAAAAAACUAGAAAAGCACAGAUUCAGACACAGAAAGCUACUGAGCAGAAGACUGACAAGGCCAAAGACAAGGCUUGCUAUGUUGGUUAGAAUGACAGGUCAUAUGUAAUUGGGUACCUAGGGGUAGUAGUUGCAGAACAGUGACCGGUAAUAGUCACUGCAGCACAGACUAGAAAUUAGGGCCACUAGGUUUUACUGUGAAGAGGCAUUGAAGAUGAAGAACGUGGAGGAGAUUGAAUAAGCAUAUGCAAAAAAGCAAAAUGGCAUUGAAGAUGAAGACAAAAUAAAAGAGAACUGGGAAAGGACCUCCCACAUUGCCUCCACUGGAGACAAACCGGUUCAGAAGGAAAAAGAAAACCCUUGAUUUUGACAUACCAAUGGACACCUCUAUUGCCCAGCUCGUCUUUGGAUCCGUGCAUUGGCUCUUAUGGUUUCACUUAUGAACCUUGGUACUAUUUGUGACACCCACACUACUGAGCUCAACCCAGAUCGAAUUUGAAUUUUACAGUGAUGGUAAAUAUAUCCAAAAACCAGAAAACCUUGGCAUAGCAUAGCAUUGGCACACAUUUUCUACCCUUGAUUAUUAGAGUUGUCUGCCCUUGAGUAAAUUAUGGUUUACCAUUCUGUUUAAAUACAGAGUUUGAGUUUCACCAUGAUGGUUUAGUUACGGAUAAGUCAGGAUGAACAAACUAGAUAAGAACUUUUAACCCUCUACCUUACUGAUUCAAGGCAUACUGAUUUGGUUUCAACCGUUGUAACCAAACAGUAAAAAUUGAGUCUUGGUUAACAGGAUAGUAGAGUCCCUAAAGGCCUAAACCUCCUCUAAAUCUCUAAUUGCAGAGGCAAUAGGGUUUAGGAAACAGCUAACUGUUGAGAUUUGAAAUAGCCAAAAGCUAAAGACCAAGGAAAUAGUACACACUUAUGCCACAACCACAUUCUAUAGGGAAAGGACCUUAGUUGGCUCACUGCCCACUGUUCUCAGUCUGUUCUGUAUCUGCUCACUCUCUCUCUCUCUCUCUCUCUCUCUCUUCUCUCUCUCCUCUCUUUCGAAUUUGAGCAUCCCAAUGUGGUUUUCCAAGGAAGGGAAAUAAAAAGCACUGUUGGAUUGCAGCCGAAGCUGCCCCAACCAUUUCUCGAAAAGGUUCUUGCUUUCUUUUCAUAGCUUUCAAUUUCAAGAACCCAUUUUCAAGCAGAGACUUAGGCUUCACUAUUCCAAGUCCGUGAAGCUCUGUUUUCAGUCUCACAAACCCAUCAUCAGAACCUGCUUAUAAAUAGAGAAAGCACAGCCAUUAGCCACUUGCCAAUUGGGUUUUGGGGUCUGAGAGCACUAUGAGGUUUAUGAACAUGGGUUCUGUGGGAAGCUUGAGUUGGGUGAAUGCCAUUGGGAGGAAGAAGUGUAGGAGCUUGUUCUGGAGGAUGAGAGCUGCAUUGAAGAAGGCUAUGAAGAAUUCUGGGAAGCAGAGGAGGUUCACGUUCCAGUAUGAUCCUUCAAGCUAUGCUCUGAAUUUUGAUGAUGGGCUUUGGAAAUAUGGGGAGGGAGGAGCUUGUGCUUUGAGACGACCUUCAGAGCUUCAAGAGCAUCCAGAUAUCAACAACACUCUCUGGGUUUGUGUUCUUUUGGUCAAGUCUGAAGGAUGUGGUAUUGUUUAGGCUUUGCUUGUGCGUGAGAGUUUUGUCACUGUGACAAGAGAUGAACGCUUGAGAAGUAUAGAUUAUGAUUUCACUUCAUUGCUUUCCAAGUUCUUCCUAUUUUGUUACUAGCUUGUAUAAAUUGUCGAUCUUUACAAAUUGUCUUGUUCCUGUUCAGUGAGAUUAUGUGAUUUCAAUUUUCCAAAACGGUAGAGAGCAAUUCAUGAAUGUUAUAAACCUGGAUAUAACUUACGAGUACUUCUCAAAAACUUGGCAGGAUCGCAACUACUUUUAUGCAAAAUCGCAGUUCAAUGGCUUUGAUAAUGGUGUGGGUUUCGGUAUACUAAAACUUCAAACGUAAUAUUAUGCCACAAUCUCAAACAAUAUGAGUAAAGAGAUGUUAUAGACAAGCAUUUGUACAAAGGUAAUUGGGAAUGAAGAUCCGAACAGAGGCAACAUUCAACAUGAAUGCAGUCAUUUGGCAAUAAGCAUACAUACAUCAUUAAUCAUUCCAGGAGGACCUGGAACAUUAGACAGACACUAGCUAGGGUCUUCUAGCUUGGCAGUGGAUAGAUCAUUUAUCCGAGGAUAGUGAGCUUUCUCAUCAAGCUGGUUCUGGGCCCAUAUGAGCAUCUUCAACAAGCUUGGAAGCUUCGGGUCUGCAGGAGAACAUAUGAUACAAAAUUAUCAACCCCUUUCAAGAACAAAGGAUAAGCACUAACUAGAUAAAAUUGGUUAUGAAAAUCUCCCAAACGAUAUCUCCUCUUGAAGACAUCCAUUAAUUAUCACCCAAUUUACUGCUAUCAUUCAAUAUCUCGACUGGCCAAUAGUGCAGUUCACCAGUUAUUUAAGGGGCUUAACCCUAUUUAUUCUGCUAACCAACCUUGUGCCCGUAUGACACGACUUCUCUUUAAGAUGAACAAUGCUAAUAGUACACAAUAAGAAGGUGGGCAUCCAGUUUGGCCAUCUUUUCACCCACCCUGGUUCCAAAUAUAUUUCCUGAUCUACUUCACAAUACAGACGUUUUCAUGUUAGAUCUAGGAAAAAUAUAACUUGGGAAACAUGCUAACCUUUUUCAUGACUCUGGCUGGAGAGGAUGGCAGCAUUCACUUCACUAGCUGUCUUUAGGCGCUGUGAUAUGUCCAGAAGCUCUCCAACAGGACAGUUGGACACAUCUUCAAAAGCUAGAAGGGCAACAGUCCUCUCCAACUCUUCCAAAAAGCUUUGCUGCAUAUAAUGAUGACAUUAAUAAAAGUUGCUUAGUACCACCUAACAAGUAAAUAAACAUUCAACUAUAUGUCACACAACAAAGUUACAAGGAGCAACAAUUACACACAUCAUAGUCAACCAAAGCAAAGAUACAAUAGCUGAAUCUUACAUUUUCUUCUCCUCUUGGUGCUAGCUCUUCCUGAGCAAAGUCAAGAGCCUCUUCAACCUUUCCAUUCCUAAUUAGUUCUAUCAACCUUUGCUGUUGGAGAUGGAAAAAUAAUUGGGGAUUUGUGUCCAGAAUCUGCAGACAGAAUUUUCACAGAUAAUCAUAUAAAUUGAAACAGACGGAGAUAUAUUUUCUAAUAUAAUACGCUAAAUCAAAAAAUAUUAUAAGGCAAAAAACUACAUGUAAAGAUCUCAACAGAAACACUUUCUUUAUCGAAGCAAUGAUGGACAGAUUGACAAUGAACACAGCAACAGAAUCAUACUAGUAUAGAUAAUUCAUGUCUAUUCUUGGAAUCCAAGAGUUGGUCCUAAAUAUUUUGUCCAAGGCACACACAGCAAAUUCUGCCAAGAAAUACCACUGUGAUGAGUGCUAUGGUUACUCACAACAUUGAUAAUGUGUAGUCAAGAAGAUUUCUAUCUAGAGCAUUCUGAAUAAAACCAAACACUACUACUAAAGUCAGGAGAAGGAGUGAAUUCUUUCACCCAUGGUUUUGACAUAGCACCCUGCCUUUCUCUUUGUUUAGUUUAUUUCUUUUCAAAGAUUGGUUGGCCUAACUGACGAGUACAAGAUGAACUCUAUCACUCUAAACUCAAAACACAUGCACUUAAUGUCUCUCUGGUGCUUCAGUCCCAGAAAGGAAAAGGUAUGGAAUCACAGCAACAUAACCACAAGAAAAGUAAUCAUGUCAUGGUUGCAGAUAUGAAGUAACAUCCUAGCAACUGUUACUCUAAUAAUGUCAGGUGAACUCAUAUCCGAAAAAGGCUAAGUAAUCACGUAAGAGAAAAAUAACAAAUUCAAAUUUCAAUAUUCAAGAUACAUGAAUGGUUAAUUGGUUUGAUUCACAACAUAAGGGAUAACUGUUUGAUAUUGUUCCUGCCUCAAUUCUAAGCAACUUCAUAAAGGUGGUUAACCUUCAUAUCAAAUUUGCACCAUAUCCAUGACUAGGGAUUAUUUGCAUCAAGAUGACAGGUUAACUAAAUGAGAAUAGUGAGACAGCACUGAAUCAUAACUAUAUGCUACCACUAAGGGCUCACUAAUUAGGGAAUUUUACCUCCGGGUUUAAGUCGUUCACUUUAUCGAUUGCAUCCUCCACAUUACCACAUUGUACUGCCUUCUUGACCGCCAUGCGUUCCGUGAUUGUUGCAAGAUCAAUAUCUGCUAAACACUCAUAAGGACAAACACAUACUACAACACCACCAAGCAUAGCAAUGCCACAAACACAAUUCAAAUCGAACAAACUACACAAACAAAACAUGACAUCAAUAACAAAACAAAAAAGGAUACGUUCAGUUCCAGACUCCUUUCGGAACUUCUCCGCCGCAUCCACAUAGCCCUCAGUCACAAGAAAAUUCAUCACCAACUUAUUCAUGUCCUCUUUCUUGAUUUUCACAUCACUAAGCUUCUUCUCCCACUCCUCCCUAGUUAUCACUUUCUUCGAUCCAGCCUAUAUGCACCAAAAAUUCACAAACCAAAAUCUCAUUGCCCUAAUCGAAACCGAAACUACUCAAAUCAACUAAAACGAGUUCAAAGGAGAAUCAGAGUCUGGAAAUUUUACCAUUGCUGCUUGAAGUUGUGCUUGAAUUUCUCGGAGCUGACGAUGAGCCUGAUCAAUCGUAGACGAAAAGAAAAGUGACAUCAGUGCUCCGCCUCAAGGCUCAUUCUCCCGUAAAUUUCACAGAAUCCUAAUUGGAAAUACUGAGAACCCGAAAGUUUCGAAACCCUAGCUCUGCGAAAUCGAGACAGGAAAACGACGACGUAUUAGUGGGAGGGGUGUGUUAGGUACCUUCGGAGCGGUGAGAUUAGGAUUCCGGCGAUGGCUUUAUUCUGGGUUUUUGUUUUGGUUUGUUUUCGGGUUGGACUUGAAUUUUGGGUCCUGAUCUCAAUUCGGGGCGGAUAUCUAUGGGCCCAUUUUUUCAUUUUACUAGUCUUUUAUCAGUACAUUCAGUCAUUGACUCUCACGAAAAUUUCAUCUAAGUCAUAUUUUCAAUAUUUUCUCUCACAUAAGUCCAUCCUGGUUUUUUUUACCCCCAUUUUAUGGCCCAAAUCCAUUAUGUUAGCUUUAGACUAUACCUAAAAUACCCCUAUCUCAACCAAAACCAUCUCACAUAUUCUGCCUCUCUCUCUCUCUCUCUCNCUAUNUCAGUNUCAUNUCUAGCUGUAUCUCUAGGUAACGUUACCCUACUACUCGUCGUACGUACGUACGUACGUAACGUACUACGUACUACUUACUACUACGUACUACUCUACUACGUACUACGUACGUACUACGUACGUACGUACUACUACUACUACGUACGUUACGUACGUACGUACGUACGUACGUUAACCGUAACGUAACGUACUACUACUACUAACGUACGUACUACGUACGUUACGUUACGUUACUACGUUACGUACGUACGUACGAUUACGUCGUUACACGUACUACGUAGUACUACGUACGUACUACUACNCUUANACUCNCUUAANACCUUCUUAACGUAUACUACGUUACACUUCGUACUACUACUACUACUACUCUACUACUACUCUCUCUCUCUCUCUCUCUACUCUCUCUCUCUCUCUCUCUCUCUCUCUCUCUCUCUCUCUCUCUCUCUCUCUCUCUCUCUCUCUCUCUCUCCGCCGGCAACCUCAUCCUUGCCUCUACCAUCUCCGGCGACCUCAUCCUCGUUUGCUGCUCUUCUCCGCCUCCGAGCACCGCCUCCGAGCACCACACCCCGAUUUGCUGACUCAUCUCAAUUUCAGAUCGGAACCGACAUGGAGGUCACGAGCCUAGUCCACAACAUGCGCGGCUCGCUUUUCCCGGCGAGGAUCGUCGCCAUCUCCGGAGUCGAUGUCGUCAAAUCCGAUUUGGAGUUGUCUCACACUAAACGUCGAUCUUCGAUUUCCUCUCCGACGUUGAUCUCUGAUUAGGAGUUGUCUCUCUCCGACGUCGAUCUCCGAUUUGAAGUCUUUUUGUGUUAGCAAAAGCAUAUCAACACUUACAAAGCGUCAAUGAAGUUGGUCUGAGAGCUACUACUACACCUCUGCAUAGUGAUUUUUGUAUGGACAUUGAAUAAUGUCAGUAUAUUUUUAUUGAAGUGAUAGUAGCUUUUAAUGUGUAUUAGUAUCUUUCCAACGCUAUAAUAGUAUUUUUCAAUUUCUAUGUUAUUAUCUUUCUAAACCUUUGGUAGUAGAUUUUGUUUUACUUGUUAAGUAGCUUUUGUUCUGUUUGAUGGUAGAUUUUAUCCUCGGUAACAGUAGCUAUUAUUUUGCUUAAUGGUAGUAGUUUUUGUUGGUAACAGUAAUAGCUUUCGUUGUCAGUGAUAGUAGAUUUUGUUGCUGAUGGAUGUAUAUUUUGUUGUCAGCGGUAGUAUCUUUUGUUGCUUGUGGUAGUAUUUUUUGUUACUUGUGGUAGUAGUUUUUGUUGCUGGCAGUAGUAGUUUUUGUUGUUAAUGGUAGUAGUUUUUGUUGCUAGUGGUAGUAGCUUUUGUUGCUUGCGGUAGUAACUCUUGUUUAUGGCAGUAGUAGCUUUUGUUGUCACUGGUAGUAGCUUUCUUUGCUGGUGGUAGUAGUUUUUGUUGCUGUCGGUAGUAUUUUUAAUCGUCGUUUGUAGUAGCUUUUGUGGUCACCAAAAUCCUCACAGGAGAUCGGCCAGAAAAUUCGUCGGUGACCGGCCGGAGACUUUUUUAAGGAAGAGAGUGGUUGUUGACUUUUUACUCUAGUGACAUUUUUGUAAAUAUAAGAGAUAUUCUAAUUUUUUGGUUGGAUGACAGUCUGUAAUUUUGUUUAACUUCAAUACCUAAUAUAAAACUCUAUUUAAACUUAGGGGACUUAUAUAGGUAAAAAUGCUUGGGUGGACUUAUAUAGAAAAAAAAUGUCUCCAAAUGGACUUAUAUGUAAUUGGCCCUUUAGUUUAUCAGGUACCCGAUGCUACAACUAAUUUUUCGAAAGUCAAACUAACAACUUCCUGUUUAUUAAGGGGAGACUAUGCCACUAGACUAAAUAUUACUGGACUAUCAAAUAGAAAUUUUGAUCGAUAAACGCGCUCAACCACAAACUUCCUAUUAUUCUCAAUUGUCUCGAUAUUCUAUUUGAUUUUGUUUAUUUAUUUUGUUACUCGCUAUAAUAACAUUUGUUUUUAUUUAUUUUAGACUUUUAGUUGGCUCAUUAAAGUAAUUAUGAAAGUUCACAAUUUGAUGCAAGCUUUUGGGACAAGCAAUCUUCAAACUUUGCGAUUAUGUGUUGAAGCAGAUAAAAAUGCUGCACACAAUAGAUUUCCGAAUAUAGGGACGGCAACAAUCAACAACAAUACCUGCUUGCAUACACAAGCUGUUUUUCUUGCACAACUCUUCACUCUAUACACAUUAUGAACUUGAAUGGGAGAGGGCUUUCUCUCGAAGAGAGAGAAAAAUAAAGCCACCAUAUGCAAUGGAGAUUGUAACAAGCAUAACCACCAGCAUUGCCUGUAAUGAGAUGUAAGCACUACAAAAGAAUACAGCUGCAAUUGUACCACUCUGCCAGACCUUGAGCUGUGCAAAUGCUCCUUCCUGUGAAAAAAAAAAGAAGUCCAAAAGAAGUUGUAGUUAUAGAUUUUAUUAAGGUCCAAUUCUCAUAAUAUAACAAGAACUUAAAGAAACACAGUAGGAAAAGGUUAGAUAAAUACAGUAUCAUGCUUGAAGUAUAUCGCAAGCAAAGCACUGAGCUGUGUAUUUAAGACUCCAUCACCAAUGCCCAAGGCAGCUGCCAUUAUAAGAGGGUAUACAGUGCCAAGUACCCCGCUCACUGGACUAUAUCAUAACAAAGUUUGGCAAGAAGUUAAGAUAACAAUAGCUUGAAAUUACAAAUAAGGCAGUUACAAUAACAGUUUCACUAUACAAAGAUGCUUUACAGAACUUGUAAAUACUGCUAACCUGUAUAUUAGAAGAAGCCAGAGGAAUAUAAUGGUUUGGAUCAAAACUCCAGCAGAAACUAUAAUAGUGAUGGACUUGAGACCAGAUGUAAAUCGACCAGCAGCCAGUGAACACUGUCAUAUGUUCCACCCAAAAGUGAGAUCAGAAUGCAAGAGACUAUAUAUAAACCAAGUCUGCCAAAGAAGAAUUUAUGCUGUCCAGCAAGCAUGGAGUUUUCAAUUUCACUUUUCAGUUUACAUUAUCACUAAAUAUCAAGCAUGUGUUAUGAACCCAGAAAGUUCCAUGACUUCCAUAUCGGUAUCCCUUUAGGAAUUUAUAUGUAACUAUUGGUGAAAUAACCCAUGACAAAUAGAAGAAAUUAGGUUAUGACAGCAAGAACCAAAGUAUUGAUUCUGAGAAAGAAAAAAUGUUCUUAUACUUAAGGUUCUAAAUCGCCCCCCUCCCAAAAGGAAAAAUAAAAAAUAAGAAAGACAAGAAAAAGACGCUUAAAGCAAAUACAACUCAUAUGAACCAAGGAAGAAAUUGAGUUCAAUGGUCUCUCCACUGAACAAAUAAUUGUACAAACUCAAUGUUACUGAUUACUUACUAUUGCAUCACAUGCCCCAUAAACUGCCAUAGCACCACCAACACCAGACACACCAAGUGUUGGACUAACAAUAUACGCAGUAUAAUCAGCCCUGGUAGUUGAAUAAAUUGUGCCAUAGUUAAUAAGGGAAGCAAAAGAAAAAAAAAGUGAUCGUGUGUGGCUUUAAAAAUAUGCAGCAAUACUUUGGUUAAGUAAUUACCAUACAAAUGCUUGUUGCAAUCCUGAAUACGCCAUAAGGGGGAUGAUCAAUAGCAUCCUCACAUCAUACAAAGGUCUAAUGACUGUCUUCGACAAAGAUACCACAGAAGCAUAAAAGGUGAGAGAAGGACCUUGGGAGUCCUCCUCUUCUUUAAUACCCCUUUUAUUCAAGAAGCACAUCAGUAUGGUACCUAAGGUCAUACUGACAAGAAACACACUGAAUAAUAAGGUUGUGCCAUUAGUACUCCCCCCCUGUCAUGAUCAGAAGAAAAACAAACUCAGCACACAUCAUAUCCCGACAAAAUGUUUCUAACCCUGAAAUUAUACAAUAAAUGUAUGUGCAUAAUUAUGGCAAAGAAUCAAAGAGUACAAACAAACUUAAUGCAUUAUGUGCCGAUCACCAUUCUGAAUCCCAAAAUUAGAAGAUAUACUAUGACACCAGUUUCUUUUAAGAAAUUUUACAGAUAUAAUAACAUGAGAUCAAAUCAAUUUGAUCAUGAGUCAAUGAUUUAUGACUCAGAAGUCCCAAGAGGGUACGAAACCACAACCCACGCUUGCACCUCCUGACACUGCUGAUACUUGUCUAGACUGUGAGGACAUUCAGUAUCAUUUAAACAAAUCAGGUUCCAUUUCCACAAAAUGCAAUUAGUUAGGAUAUAAGAUUAGACACCCAAAGACCAACUCUUCUUUAAUAGGUUUAUCAGAUCAGUGGGCUAGUAAGAGAAAAACAAAACCGCCAGAAAGAACAGGCAAACACAAGUUUACUUUAGGUAUGAUACUUACUGUUCCAUCACUUAGCAAGGCGAGAGAUAUAAGAUUUCCCACAAACUGCAGAACAUGACAGUAGAAUUUUUAGACUAUUUGAUAUGACAAGUUUGAUAAAAAAUGAUAUACAAACUGCUUUGUAAACAAACAAUAUAAAAAAAAAAAAAAAUAAGAUCUAACAUAUUCACCUGGUGACAAGCAAACAUCCCCCAAAAUUCUCCAUUGAACUGGCCAAUAACAGUUCCUUCAUGUAAACUGUUAUCUUUGGCAUGACUACGCGCAGUAGAAGUCAAAUAUGUCCCCUAAUGGAUCCACAAUAACCAACAUCAGAAACAACAUCUUGUCAUCGUAUACAAAUAACAGAACUCAAAACAAAACCCGAAACAUAGGCUAGUACAGCAUUAUGCCAUCAAAUUCAAAGCUGAAGCAAAACCCCAAAUCAUGGUCUAGUAUUCUACCUGCCCAACCCAUAUUAUGGAAGCAGCAAAACCCAUGUACAAUGCAGCUGGAACCAUAGUAUACCUACACAAAAUCAUCACUUGAAUCAAAUGCAUUUGGAUACAAAAAUGUGUAUAAAGUUGUACACAAAAGUGGGUGAGUCAGUAAGAUUACCAAGUAGGCUUCAAAUUAGCAGCAAUAAACAACCAAUAUCCACUCGUCCCAAGAAUCAAAGCAUUCUUUGGUCCCAGCUUCCUAACCACCGGAGACGCCACCAGAGAGAAAAACGUGAACGACAAAUACAAUAUCCCAAGCGACGUCGUUCCCAAAUCCCCCACCUGACACCAAAAUCCACAUCAAAAUUUCUCCACAGUAUUUUUUCCAAUUCGAUAUUCGAAAAUUGAACUCACGUUAUUGACAGUGCUCUCCAGAUUCUGAGCUGCACCGUAAGCGAGGAAGACCAGCAGAAACGCGGAGCUGAGAAUAUGGACAUCUCUGGUGUGACUCCUCCCCUUCUCGGCCGGCGAGUCGUCUUCGGCGGCGGCGGCGACGAGAGGGGUCUCUUCGUCGCGAGGGGGAGCCAUAGUCUGGAGUUCUGAUUCCAGUGAUUGGGGCUUUUGUUGGCUAUAAAACCCUAGACAUGAGUGACAAGGGAGUGAGGCCAAAACGCCGGCGAAGAAGAAGAACAAGAUUGGAGGAGGUACAAGACAAACGGAGGGGGCCGAAUUAUUGGAAUAAUUUAGUUGGAAGAUUCAGAAUUUGAAUUGAUGGGAGAAGAAUCAGAGGAAAUGACGAGAGGUGGUUGGGGAAUACGACUGAAUUGGAAUAAUCUUAAUCGUUUCGCGUAUAAUUGCGAUUACUGUUGCCGCCAAUAUUUAAUUCUUCACGUAUAUAUAUGCGUAAACAAUGAGAACAUAAAAUAAAAACAUAGUCGUCCGAUAUAAUUAUUACAUACGCAAACGAUUAAAGAUUACACCGUACAUUUAUACAUCGUUCACAAAAAUUUAAUGUGAUUACGUGGGUGAGAAUGUCCGGUAUUAUUUAAUCUAGUGGCCAAGUCCUUUUUUUUUAAAUGAAAAGUUGUAAAUUCGAAUCACAAAUUACAUUCAUCUGAUCAGAGAACGUACCUGGUAAUGUGCAUCAGGACUCCGGACUAAGGAGUUGGGCUGCAGCAGGGAAUAGUGUGCAAGAGAUGUAGUAAAUUUGUAGUCUCUAUGAAUUUUUUGGUAAGCCUACUUCAGAAGUUUGUUUCAUCGGUAAAAACAGGGUCCCGGAGUAGCUUAUAAAUGAGUUGGUUUAAAAAUCUUCCAUCUUUCUAAACGUUGGUCCUUUCCGUUCAAAAUUUGGUCAAAAUUUAUCUCGUACAUUCAAAAGGUAGUAUUUAGCUUAAGACAGUGGAUGGAUUAGAAUUCUACAUACAGUAACAUAGUAUACAUCCUCUUGGCUCUUGAUUCUUCUUUCUUGGAAGACGAUGCUUUCUUGCACGCAAAUCACAACCUCAAAGAUGACAUUGCUUCCUCUCCGUGAAGACAUAGAUACACGAAGACGCCAUAUGCGAUACAAACUGCAGUAAGCAUAACCACCACCAUUGCUUCUAGCGAUAUGCAAGGACUAAUAAAGAAGACCACUGCAACAGCACCGCUCUGCCACACCUUGAGCUGUGCAAAGGCUCCUUCCUGCAAAUCAAGUAGUAACAAACACAUUUCGCUUUAAGAAAGAACAUAUAUAACAAUUUUUUAUCUUCAUAAAACUGAGAAGAACUUAAACAACAAAGGAACAGGUUAGUCAAAUACAGUAUCACACUUGAAGAAUAUCCCUAGCAAAGCACUGAUCUGUGUGUUAAAGACUCCAUCACCGAUUCCCAACAGAGCUGCCAUUAUAACAAUGCUAAGUAGUCCACUUGCUUGGCUGCAUUGUAACAUCAAGGUAAAGUCAGGAAUUAGAGGUGACAAGAGCUCCAAAUUAGAUAUUACAAUAACAACUUCAGACUCCUGAAACUGUUGUAUCUGACACUCGCUAACCUGUAAUUUAGAAGAAGCCAGAUGAAUACAAUAGCCUGAAGGAGAGCUCCACCAGAAACUAUAAGACUGAUAGACUUGAGACCAGACGUUAGUCGACCAGCAACAAGUGAGCACUGACGGAAGUUUUACACAAGUAUGAGGUCACAAAAUUACGAAACAGAAAUCACAUAACACAUGAUCAACACAUCUGCAUAAAACAGAAUCAUAUAAAACAGAAUCAUAUCCUGUCUAUCAAGCACAGAAUCUAUAGAUUUUAGUGUGUGAUAUAAAAAUAGCUUCAUGCCUUCAUCAGCUGCAGAGAAAAAGCUUUAACAAGAAAAGAAGGUUUGUUGCUUCUCGAUCUAAAGCAAAUGCCAAUAUGAUUAUUGCAAAUUCUAUUCAUCUAACCAAGACUUAAUGCCAUUUCACCAAAUGCUAUCUCUACCAAAACUGCAACUGCUACUUCAAAAUUUAUGUCAAGCUGUUUCUGGAUACUUACUAUUGCAUCAAAAAAGCCAUAAACUGCCAUCACACCACCCACACCAGACAUACCGAGCGUUGGAGUAACGACAUACUUGGUGAAUUCAGCCCUAAAUUGACAAGAAUAAGAAACGUAAAACAAGUGGUAAUGGUUUGACCAUAAGAAAACAGGCAGACAUACUAAUUCCGGUAAUACAUUACCAUACAAAUGCUUGUUGUAACCCUGUAUAUGCCAUAAGGGGGAUGAUCAAUAGCAUUCGUACAUCAAACAACGGAGUGAUGACAGACUUCAAAAAACAUAUUAGAGAAGCAAAGAAGCUGUGAGAAGAGUCCUGAUAUUCCUUUUCUACAUUAUCCCUGCUACUUAAGAAGCACAGAAGUAUGAUCCCUAAAGUCAUACUGCAGAGAAACACGACGUACAAGAACUUUGUCUGCCCAGGAGUUCCCUCCUGGGGUGAUAAGAAAGAUAAAGAUUAGAUCAUAUUUCAAAGGUAUAACUUUGUUCCACACACAAAGGAAAUGCAAAACACCAAAAUUUUAACUACAAGGAUUAUUAGCACAUACGCUUCCAUCUCUUAGGAUAGCAAGUGACAAAAGAUUUCCAACAAACUGCAGAAAAUGUAGAGCAAAGAUUAGUAAAUUGAUUAACAAACACAAUCUCAUCAAUAUACAAGGAUAAGCAAUUAUUUAUUGAGAAAGAUGCAACAGAUCGAUUCACCUGGCGACAGGCAAACAUCAUCCAGAAUUCUCCAUUGAAGUUGCCAAUAGUUGUUCCUUCAUGUAAGUUAUUAUCUCUUGCAUGACUACGCGCGGCAGAAGUUAGAUACGUCCCCUGAUGAACCCACAAUUAAGUCAGAACUAAAAUUUACAGCUUCAAUUUGGUACCAAAUACUAAGAUUCUUAAGGAAUUGAAGCAAAUAUGAGGAGUAUUACUAGUUUGUACCUGUUCGACCCAUAUUAUUGAAGAGGCAAACCCAAGGUAUAAAGAAAUUGGAUACAUAAUGUACCUACAUAUAUGGAAAUAGUUCAAUUCAGAAGCUAAAAUUAAUGUUAUAUGCAUUGUGAAUAAUAUUGUUUUACAUUUGAUCAUGAAAAUUUUCAUGGGGGAUCAAAAUCUAAACAUUUGCUUCAAAUCCCAUAAAAAAAUGUUGCCUUCUAAGCAUAGGACUUUAGUCAAACAGCAUGGUGAACAUGGAUUUAAUUUCAUUGACAGUUAAUGGAAAAUUAAGAGAGAUCAGAUCAGAUUAGAUUGAGUAGCAAUACCAAGUUUGUUUGAUCAAAUGUACAGCUAUGAACAACCAGUAGCCAGUAGUCCCAAGCAUCAAAGCAGUCUUUGAUCCAAGAGCUCGAACCACAGGAGACGCCACCAAAGAGAAGAGUGCAAAAGACAAGUACACAAUCCCAAGAGAAGUUGUCCCCAAACCCUUGUCCUGCACAAUCAAUCGACCCAAAAUCAAAUAAAAUCAAAUCAGAACAACAUAAACGUAUUUUUUAAAUUACAGAACACUCAAGUAACCCAACAAACACACUCACAGUGUUGACAGAGCUCUCCAGAUUCUGGGCGGCGCCAAAAGCAAGAAAUAUCAGCAAGAAAGAAAAGCUCAGAAUAUGCACAUCUCUAGUAUGAGUGCUCUUCUUCUGGGUCAUCAGCACCGGCGAGUCAUCGCCGCGGAGCAGUGGCUUCUCUAUAUCAUUACGAGAAUCCAGAGACUCCAUAGCUACAGCCAGCAAAAGCUUCAACUUUGAGUCGUUUCUAUCUCUAUCCUCACAACACAUAUAAAGCUACAUAUAAGUAUAUGCCAUUACAUAGUAGAGUGAUUCUAGAAAGGUGUGGGUGAGUCACCAAAGAGAUUAAGAUAACUUGCUUUGGAAAUAGAAUAAAUGAUAGUUAGAUAAACUCUAAACUCUGUUUGUUAGUCCAUAAAAGGAUGCAUGAGAGUAUGGUAAUGAUUCUGAGCUUCUUAUCUGAGCUAAUAUUAUUAAAGAAACCCCAGAAGCGCCAUGCAGUGGCAGUCACAGUUGAAAAUGGAAAAUAUAUUUUUACGUAAUAAUGUGGACUGUGGCUGUGGCUGUGGCAUUGACAGAUACGAAUAAUGAAUAACUGACUACCUGUUAUAUGCGGUGUCUCGACCUCGUGAAUAUGCAUGCAGCAGCUUUGUUUUACUAUUUCGCCCUCCGCAUUUCAAGCUGUUUUGUUGGACUGUUGCUCUCAGACAUGGGCAUUUUAGAACCUUCACAGUUAGGUCUUGGCUUUACGACUCGUAACCAGUUUGGUCGUUUUGACAUGUUUUUGGCAUUAAGUUAACUUGGUAGACCACUCCAAAAAUGCUUGUGUUGUUUGGAUCAGAUCAAAGCACCAUGGAUGCCACCUAGCAAAGCUUAUUUGAUUCGAUAGAAUUUCAUGUGGGGGUUCUGAACUUUGAUCCUCCUCAGUGGAUGAUCAUGAAUUAUUGGAUGUGGACAAUCACACUAAGUUGGUACAAUUUCGUUCUAAAUCAUAUCACUUUUGUUUUUGGGUAAAGAUAAUGUGCAUUGAAAGAGUGAACUAUAAAUCCCACGAGUACAAACACAAUUAUAAUUAUAAUUUUGAGAGUUUGGACAAGUUAUUCCAAUCUGGUUUGCAUGAGAGUAUUUGCUAAUUGUUUGAUUAGCUAAAUUUUGAUCAAAGUAACACAUUUCUUAACAAUACAGUAAAAAGUAAAAACUCUAACCUUGAUUAAUUUAUAUAUGGAUGCGUCCAGAGACGGAGCCAGAAAUUUAAAAUUCUCUGGGCUAACUUUACCAUAAAUUUUUUUUUUUAUAUUAUAAAAGGUAUUUUUUUUCUCUCUUUUCUUCAACAAAAAAUUUUAAAUGUGGUAAUGGUAAAAGUAUGAACAAAUUUUUUAAAAAUAUUUCAAAUGAUAUGAAUAUAUUAUAGCAUUAUACAAAUGGUCGACUAUAACACGAGUAUGAUAUAAUUAAGACAUAUGUAUAUAGAUCUUUUUUUAAUUAUAUGAUAAUUAUAUAAAUAAUUGUAUUUAAUUGUAGAAGUUUAUCAUGACUUUCAAUCCAUUCAAGUCCGUUAAUAACCAAUAGUACGUGGGUUAUCAAGAAAAUAACUAAAUAACAUAACAAUCCAAAGUAAAGAGGGAAAAUUACAAUGAUAGAAAGUUAGAAACGUUAGUUAAGAGAGGGAGAGAAAAACUGGCUGGGCUAUUUACUAUUUUUUUUGUAUAAAAUAUAAUUUGUACAUGUAUUAAGUUGAUUGGGUAUAAAUUUUCCUAUGGGCUACAGCCCAGAGAGGUUAUCACUAAGAUUCGUCUCUGGGUGCGUCUAUUGUCACCCCGCAUUCUUUUCAUACUCCACUUAUAUAAUUUUAAUUGUAAGUUUACUUUGUUCACCCAUUAACAAUACCUAAAAUACUCUUUUUUUUAAUUCUAUUUUGUUCAUCCUACAUUCUCUUCUCACCCUACAUAUAUUUUGUCAAAUUCAAAUUUGCUCAAAAUAAGUAAAAUCACCAACUGAACAAAAAACAUUCACAUUAAAAUAUAAAUCCCGGCCAGUUAAAGAACAAGAAAAAACUCUCAAAUUUAACAACUCAAUGAUUUCAUUCGAUAUCAUAUAUAAUGCACAAUGUCUGUCAAUGUAUCUCUAAUAGCAACGCCUUCCAUACUUUUGAGUUCUUAAACUACUCUAUGUGUUGUUCAUAAAUACGGUACAGUAGUUCUCCAUGAGUAUUUAGAUACAAAGUCGACAUAGGAAAUAAUGAGUAAAAGGAGAAACAAAUCACCAAUAAAGAAAAAAAGAAAUACAAACAGUUUAACUCAUCUUCAGGUUAAAAUACUAGUGUCUUCAUCAGACUCUUCAGGUUAAAAUGCUAGUGUCUUCAAACUCACGACAGAUGAUAAAUAUGAGUUAGAGUUUAUGAAGUUUGUGUUCAUCUAAAACAAAAAGAUAAAAAAAAAAAAAAUUAUAAUUUGUAGCAACUUAUUGUCUCUUGCUGUAAUUUUAUAUCAGGGUAUUUUAAUAUUUCAAUAAAUCAACAACAUGUGGGGUGAAUAAAGCGAUUUAUGAGGUGGCAAUAGACACACCUUUUAUAUAUAUCAGAGUAAUAGGAUCAGCAUGCAAAAUUCUUAACUUUUCUCACUUCUCAAGUUGUGUCAUCUUAAGUUGCUGUUCCAUAACCGAGGUUAUGAUACUAUAUAUGUAAGAAAAAUUGCUUGCAUCAGAAGUUUACUGUCAUACCAACAAUGCAUAGCAUAUCUAUGAGAUCCGAUAUGCGAAGAGAAUAAGCUCAAUUACAAGAAAAUUAGACAUGUCUAGCUUUAUACAACAACAUGGCUUGAAGGGUUCUCCCAUUUGGCUAGUUCUUGAAACUCUUUCUCCAUCUCUAGUACUUCCCUCAGCAGACUAGUGAUGCAGAAUCCGAGGCCACCCAAACAAAGAACCACCUGGCUUUUAAGCUUCUCAUCUUCCUCCCCUUCACCGGUACCAAUUCCAUCCGAUAAAUCGUUGGAAUGUUGAAGAAAAGAACCUAAAAUGGAACACUCAACAUCUUCCUCAUAUGUACCCGAACCCCUACACUCAUUUACCUUCUGUGAUGUUCCUAAUUCAAUGUCAUGCUUGUCACAUACUGCAAGAGACUUCUUGGAAGACAACUCUUGAAGGCAUAAAAGUGAGGAGAAGACUUUCUUCUUGAAAAGAUCUAGAUCAUUCUUCAUGCCCUUGAUUUGGCUUUGGAGGUCCUCUGAAGCAACUUCAAAUCUUUUUAAUGCCACAGAUUCAACCUGGCAAAUGGGCGGGUUGGACGGUUAGCGGGCGGGUCUUAACGGGUUGACGGUCUUAGCGGGUUCAACCCGUUUAACCCAUUAUCUUAACGGGUUAUAACGUGUUGAGCCCGUUGGGUUCGCGGGUUACCCAUUGGAACCCGCUAAGACCGCUAAGAAGUUUUUUUUUACUUUUUAAAUCAUUUUCCAAUCAAAUACUUAAUCUUCUUCUUCUUUUUUCUUGAAACAUCUUCUUUUUUUCUUCUUAAAUUGGUACAAAAUUUUGUUUCUAAUUUCUGCACCUGAUAAAAAUAAGAAUUUUGUAUAAAAAAGAAAAAAAAAUAUGUUCUUCGUUUGUUGAACUAUAUAUUUCUAAAUAAAUUAAAACUAUUAAAAAUUAUAAUGAUUUUCAAGUUAAUCUAAGAAGUCUUUUCAUUCGUUUAAAAAAAAAAAAAAAAUUACUUCAUUCGUAGAACUCUGUUCUUUUUCCCAGAAAACCCAGAAAAUUUACCAUACAAUUACAUGGUGAAGAACUUGUUCUUCAUCUUACCCAAGUACCAGAAUAUACCAGUACCAUAACCAAGAAGAACUCUGUUUCUUCCUCUUCCCAAUACCUAGUUCUCGUCGGGCAGAUCUCCGGCGAUCCCAGACGAGAUCCCCCAGAUCCUUCGACCUCCGACCAUCACACUGCCUUGGCGUAGCCCCAAACCGUCCGUCGUCUAUCUCAUACUGCUGCGAAUCUCACUCGACGAAUCUCAGACCUUGUAUUACACAGAUGCGAUGAGUUAGGUGGUUUUUUUUCCGUUAACGGGUUAAAUGGGUUCCGUUGGGCAACCCGUUUCCGCCCUGUUAGUUAGCGGGUUGUUAACGGGUUGUCGCCCGUUGGCCUAGAACCUUAAUGGGGCGGAAAUGGGCGGGUUUUUAACGGGCGGUUGGCGGACGGUUAACGGGUAGCGGGUUAAAAUGCCAGGUUUACCACAGAUAGAGAUUCUACUUUGUUGGACAUAAAAAGUGAAAGGUACCUCAUUUUUGAUACAGACCUGAGGAGCUUCCGAUAAUAAGCGCCAUUGAAAGGGAUGAACCAGAAAUUUGGCUCCAACUCAGCUUCGACAACAAACUUCUCCAAUUGAUCGAGAUGGGAUUUCAACUUGUCCUGUUUCAGUUUCAGUGCUGGAAAGAUUGAAGCUUGCCGGUUGCUUUGGUUAUUGUCAAAGGGAACUAUUUCUUUGAUGCAUUCUUGAAGAGCUCCCAAGUUUUGCUAGAGUUGCUGCUCUUACAGGACAUGAGAGAAUCUCUAUGGUGACAAAACAGAUCAAUCCAAUUACAGCCUCUGUGAUUCUAGCAAUAGCAAAAUCGAUGGGAGAGCCAUAAUUUUUCCUACCAAGCAUUAGUAAUGCCCCAACAGCUGCUGAUAUCCUGCCAGCUUGACCAUACAUCCUACUGUGCCUUAAAAAACUUGUGAAUAGUAACCAAGGAAGCAGAGGCAAGAAGCUUAGAUCCUCAAAUUUUUGGAAAAGAAAACAGCACAAGACUCCGUAGAUUGAUCCCAUUGAUGUUGAUUGUGCUCGAGCAUUAGCAAGUGUAAAUGUCGCUUGUCUUCCUGUGACAAAACUUAUUGCAAUUGUGAGUCCUGCCCAAUACGCUUCUUUUUCAUUGUAAAUCAAACCAAAUAGCACUGCAAGACCUAGAGAAAGCGAGCACUUGAUUGCAAAAAGUAAACUUGCUCUGCUUGGUAUAAUGUGAUCUAGAGUGCUCCGGCUCCUUUUGAUACUGAUAUUGCUUUGGUUUUGUGGAUCCACUGAAACUUUCAAUCUUAGUGUCCAGCUUGCAUUCUUCAAUAGCCUCUGUAUUUUGUUGGAGAAGUUUCAGACAAUCAAGAAAAAAGAAAGCCGACAAAUCUUCAUGACAAAGGGUUUCGAGAGUCCAAAAAGACCUGCCUAAGGAAUUUCCCCCCUUCUUUGUCAUGUAUAAUGGUGAAAUGUGCUCAAGUUGCUUCAGCUUGUGGCAUAUGACUCUUUAGGUCGGUGAAAGCAUCUUUGUGCACUUUCUCAAUCAUGGCAACAGGAAAUGAAGGGCAACAAAUUAGAGCUACUUCCAUUCCUCGCAAGGGUACUUCUAUAUCCUGCAAUUUCUUUUCCAAAUCAGUGCAACUUGGUCUAAGGAUUCUGAUAUCCGGUCUCUCCCACACCAAGGCUUCCUGUUAACAUUAGAGGAAACACUUUGUCAUCACCAACACUCGGGCUACAUCAAAAUAUCGAUACAGAAACUCAGAAAGUGUAGGUAUAGAUGUGUGAACUGUUGGAUAAUAUGGUAGGUUACCUGUUUCUGUUUGAUACUGUGAAGAAGCUUUUCUCCUAUUUUAGACAAGUGUUGUGCUUGUGAAAUAAUGUCAAGGGCAGCCAAGCUGUCUUGAGACGCCAUGGCAUCUAAGUAGAGGUUCACACAUUGUCAGUAUAUGUUCGACACAUCUGUCCUAUCUGUAUAUGUCAUAAUCAUCUCCAUUAGGGGCAUAAACAAUACAUUCAAGCACAAAUUGAGGUAAUCCCCAUUCUUGGGUAUGUGCAUGCAGUUAAAAGAAUAUGACACUACCAACUUGACAUUCCUUUAAAAGUUUCUCAGAUCAGGAUAUGAUGCACACAUUAUACCUAUUUUAAAUUUUACUGAAUUCUUGAUGAGUAUGAUGGUGAAAGAAGUUUGUGGCUAAGAACAAUGGAUUUGGGGUAGAUGGAUCAAAACAGAUAAGAGUCCAAGAGUGAUGAAGUCAUGAAGGAAUCUGGGAAAGACUGGAAGUUAACUGAAAUUAACUGAAAGUAUGAGCUAUGCUUCUGCUUGAUGCCAUCUAUAGUUUAGCACAAUUUCUUACUAAUUAAGCAUGCCUUCUAUAACCGAAGAAAAAUAAAAGCAAAGAGAUUAUGGACUUAUGGCCCACAUGACUAGAAUAUGAAAAUUUGCAGCAUAUAAGAUAUUGAUAUCCAUACCAAAAAAAGAAAAUGCAAAAAUAAAAGAAAUGAAAACAAGCACGUAUAAGUAGUAUACAUAUAUGUCAAAAGAUAUACCUGGUGAUAGCCAAGGUGAGGAGACAACAUAGCAAGAAAAGAAGCUUCAUGGUAGAAGACCAGGUUUGGAAACAACAUAGCCAGAACAGAUGCCAAUGCUCCGAGCACAGUACUUGAAGCCACUUGAAUUGGGUGCGUGAGUACCAUAUCAUACUGAUCAUGAUUCGGCUGUGAAGUACUACUAUGAACAGCAGUGCCCACAUAGACUAUCACAAUCUGCCCAAACGCAAUCCGCUUACACAUCAAGUCUGUUCCUUCUGGUAAUGCCACAACAAACGCAGACACAGCCACUGCCAAGGCUGCAAUCACAUGAGAGGUGAAGUGCGCGGGCCCAAUCAGCUGGAGGCUAAAAAUUGACAGAGUUAGAACCUGAGCACAAGCAUACAGGGCAUGCCAGAAGCCUUUCAAGGCAUCACCAAGGGUUGAGUCUGCUGAGACUGUUAAGAUUGUUGUCAGGUAAGAAUAGGCUGGGUAUGCUACCAAUUGUUUGAGAGUUUUCGGGGCAUAGAGGGUGGUGAGGUAGAUCAUUGAGCAGGCUAAGAUGGUUCGGAAGGCUGAGUGUAGCCUUACACGCCACAACAUACAUGUCCAGCCAGUAGUACCACUGCCCGGACUCAUUAAUUGAUCAGAAGUAUACUGUGUUCUGGAAAAGAGUAACUACUCUGCAAACUUCACAGGUACAAUUGAGAUCAUGAUCCUGAUAAUUUUUCCAAGUUGGUAAGUUGGUGGAAUCCCAUCUUCCUAACACAGUGGACUUAUUCCAAGUACAGACCUAGCAAGCAUAGUACUGCAACUAGAUUGCACUGGACAUUACAGGCAUAUAUAUUUGCUUUGGCACAAUACUGGUAUAAUGUUUUCCUGAUGCUUCUGAAUCCAGUGGUAGAGGAGUAUUUACCCAAAGGCCUUUGGAGUUCAAAUGCACCUAAAACUGUUUUGUUCCACAACGGGUAUAAUGCAUCCACUUAUAAGGAAAAGAAUUUAUGUACCAAAGGCUAAGCUAGUGAGUCGAAAGUUUGAAUCUUACUAUUGAUCAAAAACAGAACAAAUGCCCACCUGACAAGAUUUUCAACAAAUGGAGAAUCAUAGAAAAGAUGAAGAGCAUAUUUUGUUUAGGUCUGAAAAAGAUGCAGAAGCUAAGGCAUGGAUGAAAGUGAAUGAAUGAACCUCAAUGUUUGCGUAGCAUGCACAUCUUCCGAAUCUACUUUAUAUAAUUCUAACUUAAUGGCCAAAUUUUAAGUGAAAUAUUUUCUGGAGAACUUGGAAGAUUAUGGUAUAUCAGAAAGAUCCUAGAUUUCUUCGUCACCCAUGAUCGAUAUUGCAAUACAUUUCACCUGUACAGUGUCUAUUCGAUCCAAAUUAUUCAGUUAUACCUUCCCUUCCAGAAGGAAACAGCGGCAGCUCCACCAAAUUGUUCCUGUUACUAGCAGCAGCAGAAUCUGUCUUUUUUUUUUCUUCUCAUCUUUUGUUCUAGCCUCUAACUCUUUACCCAUUAUUCGUGCAUAUGUACCAGGCACCAGCAUAAGAGGUAAGAACAAUUUCCUAUAAAUGGUUCAACCAUAUUUUCUAAACUUUGGAAGAGCUGGCCGUGUUAACAAAUCAUUAACUGCGGACAUCAGAUGGUGACUCGACUUGGUGAGGUGAACUCUGAAGUCUGAAGACUGAACACUUAAUUUUGUGUCUUAACUAGUGUUGUAGGAUUUUCAAAUCUAAAUCACCCUGAGGAGGGAAUCAAAUAAGUUCCAGUGAGGAUGUGUUGAACCAAGUCCAAUCAUAGGUGACAAGAGAAAGAAUAUACCAUUAGCAUGAGCUUCACCCGAGAGUCCGACACUGAGAGGAACAAGGAUUUGAUACUAAUAGGAUGGAUUAAUCAUCCAACUCUUUUAGCCAAGUGAUUAUCCCUCCAAAACCUCCCCAGUACAAGUUGAAACCUGAUUUUCUUCUAUGAAGGUUUACUUUGAAAAUUUUACACUGAAAUUAGGUCGUGUUGUUCAUGUACCAGCACAGCACCUGUACCCCUACAAAGCCUGUGUCGGGCACAACUCUUAUGUAUGCUAGCCUACAACAGCGGACAGUAAAGCAAUAACUUGUAGAUAAUAAGUCAUGCAUCAGAAUGGAAAGGGGAUUAACGUCUCUGUAUUUGUGAAUUGCAGUCUUAUAAGAAAUGUUUGCCUUGUUAAGAAAGGUUUAGCUAAUGAGAAUUAUAUAUACACGAUGUUGGGUUACAGUGUUACACUGGUCUAUAUAUUCAUUUCCAACCGCUUAAGCAGGUAAAGCAUGGCCUAACUACUGCUUUUCAUAUCUUAUGACUUUUUAUGGACCUUUCUAAUCACUGUAAGACCCAAGUUACCCAACACUAGCUAUUAAAUAUGUAUUGAGUCGUUGCAGGUGUAUAUUUGAUCUUCAAAAUCAGACACUCAAAUAAAUCAUAAUAAACCCUAAGGGAUUACAUAUUUCUACAAACUUAUGUUCUUACAACAUGAGCAGACUAUUGUUUCAACAAUCUUUUACACAAGCAACCUAAGGGAGGCAUAGGUAGCUAGUACACUUCAAAAAGAGCUGAGACACUUCUAUAUCCUCAACAUCUACUGCAUUAGUUUAUAAACUUCAGUAUCAAAAGAAAACCUGAAAUCAUUUUUGGCAGUGGUAUAUGAAAGCAUCUAAAGACUAAUGGUAACAAAAGUACCUGGCCUUUCCUUUUGCACAGUUUGGGAAGUUAGAAGAGAUGGUUUCCCCAAAGCCAACCAAAGAAAUCCAGCAGCACUAAUAUAUUGAUUCCAAGGUUUAUGAUGAUAACCAAAACUGAUUGAAACUAAUUUCUGGUCCAGUAAGAUUUUCUGGGUCUUUGGCUAUUCAAAAUACCACCAAGAGUGGCCAAUGCAUCUUUAAAUUUACGGAUUUUGAGGAAACCCCUAAUCAUGGACGCUUCACUGUCUGAAACUCUUGCUUUCUCCAUGAUCAUAUCUACAAGCUUAAUCAGGGUAUCCUCCAUAGAUAAAGCAUAUAGUCCUUCGGCCAGCAUAGAAAAUGAUGAAAAUUCUGGUAGGUACCCUUUCUCCAUCAUUUCAAUCGCAAAGUCAACUGCUUCCCCAAUUGGUCCUCCACCAUUACAAAGCCCACGAAAGACAAUCCUAAAUGUUAUUGCAUCUGGAGGAUCACCCUUCUCCAUCAUUUCUCGAACAAGCCUCAUAGCUUCUGUUGUUCUCUUUCGUUUAAACAGUGCUUGUAUUACAGGGUUAUAAGCAUGUGGAGUCGGAACCAACCCUUUCAUCGGCAAACUUCUUAGGAGUCUACUCGCAACCUCAGUCCUACCCGCCUUACAUAACCCCUGAAUAAGGGUCCCAUACGUGACAAUGUCUGGUUCACACCCAUUCGAAGUCAUGUUUUGAACAAUAUCUGCUGCCUUCUUAAUAUCCCCAGACCUACAGAAAUACGUGAGCAGCGAAUUGUAGGUGAACUUGUCAGGCUUCAAACCUUCCAUUAUCAUCUGGUCCAUCAGUUGAGAAGCUUCCUCCACCCUCCUAUUCUGGCAGAGGCCAUCAAUAAGGGUAUUGUAUGUCACUGAAUUUCUUGAAAUGCCCUGGAGUUCCAUCUGAUCAAAAAUCUCCUCUGCAUCUUCAAUCCUCUUGUUUUUGCAGAACCCAUCAAUCAGAGUAUUGUAUAUUACAGCAUUUCGUGCACAGCCACUUGACUCCAUAUCUUUCAGCAAGCUCAAAGCCUCUUCCAGCUUCCCUCUUGAACAGUAGCUAUCGAUCAGCAAACUGUAAGUAAACCCAUCAGGUUGACACCCUUUCAUCUUCAUCUCCUCAAACAGCUCCAUAGCAACUUUAUGAUUACUGUUCAAGCAGAGACCCUGAAUCAGUGAAUUGACAGUACAAACAUCAGGUAUAAUUCCCUUGCUAGUUAGAACACGCGCUAGCUUAGUUGCCUCCUCCACCCGGUUCUCCUUGCACAAUGUGCUAAUCAGAGUAUUAUAUGUGACGGUAUUUGGGGAACAGUCCCUCGAAACCAUCUGAUCAAGAAUGUCCACCGCCUCUUCAAUCUCACCCAACUUACACAACCCCGAAACCAAAGCAUUAUACGUAUAGAUAUCCAGAUCAAACCCCUCCUGCAACAUCACAUCCAUAAUCUCCAAAGCAUGCUUAACAUGCCCCACCCUACACAAGCCCUUCACCAACGUAUUAAACGUGUACUGAUCAGGAGAAAACCCCUCCUUCGCCAUCUUCUCAAUGAAACCAAACGCUUCAUCAACCCUACCCUCCUUGCAAAACCCAUUAACUAACACAUUAACAGUCACAUUACUACAAUGACAACCAUACUCCACCAUCUGCUCCCUAAUUCUCAACGCGCCUUUCAUCUCACCUUCCUCGAUAUAACCCUGCAUUAUAGUAGUAAAUGUCUUCUCAUCCGGCUUCAAACCAUAGCUUCCCAUCUCCUCCAUCAACAAAAGUGCGGGCCUAAUCUGAUGAGCUCUACACAAAGCCUUAAUCAAAAUGUUAAAUGUAGAAACAUCCGGCUUAAUCCCCCUGCUAUUCAUCUUGGAAUUCGCAGUUUCGACUAGUUUAAGCUUAUUCCCAUCAACCAACACAUUAAGCAAGAAAUUAAAGAAAUGGGUAUCGGGUUCCAACCCGAACUCACUCUCCAUCACAUCCACAACGCCCAAAAUCUCAUCAUACAAAUCAAACGCAGCGUAGCUCUCAAUCAAAAUCAAGAAGCUACCUUUACUCAAACACUGAUGGUGACUCAUUUCAUCCAAUACGUCCCUCAUCGACUCGAAAGACCCGACCUUUCCGAGCUUGGUGAGGACCUCCUCGUAGACGGCGGAGCUGGGGGAGAAGCUGGGCUGCUUGGAGGCCCAGUCGAAGAGGCGGAGGGCGGACGACUCGUCGUUUUGGCGGCGGAGGGAGUCGAGGAGCUGCUGGGGAGUGAAGUCGUGAGGGAGGGGGUGGGUGGUGGAAUAGGAGAGGGAGGAAUGAACGACGAGUCGUUUGUGGAGUGGGAAGGAGAGAGAAGUGGAGGGUCUGUGAGGUGGAGGUGUUGGGGUUAGGGUGGGUGCGAGAGACCAGGAAGAACAUUGGGUGCAGAAAGAGAAGGCCAUUGGAGAAAGACGAAGGGAGUUGGUGGGGUUGGGUUAAGCCAGGAGAGAUGAGGAGGCUUUUGAAGCCCAGAAAGUGUUUGAAUUCUGGUGAAGAAAGCUAAAAAUGGUGAAGAGCGUACAGAAAAGCCAGAAAGAGGUGGACGGAUAAUUGUGUGACAGGAUUUUUAGAGGGACUCUAACGACGUCGUUCUGCUGACGUAAUCCUAGCAAUUUUUUUUCCCCCCGGGUAUUUACUCAUCGGUAAAUACAGUAUCCGUCUAUAUCAAAUACCAUCUACAAAAAAAAAAAAAAAAAAAAAAAAUCUAUAUCAAAUACAAAAGAUGUUACCCAACUGCAAAAGUAGGUAACAUAAGCACAGUUUUACUCAAAUUUGGAGCUCGAAAACAGUUGAAGAAGAUAAAUAUACGAUAAGCGAGAUGAAGAAGUAGAGCAAUGUCUUCCACUUCAAAAUGAAGAAUGAGUCCGUUUCCUUGCAGAAUCAUGGUUUUCUCAAUAUCACUUUUGUAUAACGUGCACGCUACUCAAAAGUAUAGUAGUACUCGUCCACUCAAACAAAGAACUCGACCAAGUUGAACUGACCAAAAAUGAGACAAGGUCAAUCAUCCGAAUAGCCUGGAGCAAUUGAGCCAAGUUCGAACUCUUUUACCGAGUUUACUAGUUAACCGAUGUCUGGGCAGUUCAGCAAUUGAGGCAUAGAUGACAGAUGCUAAGGAGAAACAUCAUGGGUACUGGUAUUUUUCUAUUUCUGGGUUUGGAUAUGAACAAAUCAUACGUAUUGGCGAGGUGGAUGUGUUGCAAAGACUGAAUCUAUCAUCAAUUCAAGUAUCCAUGUUCUGGGGUGGAAUCACUGGAGGGUAUAAUUUUGAAUAUGGGGCAUCUGCAAACUGGAAGUCAGGACCUAAUGGGAAGAAAUUCAACAUGAAUGUUUGCCCCAAAAAGUGCCACAUUACCAAUUGUUUAAGAGUGUCGCUGCCAAGAUAAAUAGCCUGCAUGGGGUAAGAACUCGACCAUGAAGGGAAAUAUGGAAUGUAAAAGGUGAAACUUGGGAAGUGGAGCUAGAAAUAAUCCAACCGAGUCCACAGACAACAGGAAAGAUAAAGGUGAAAAAUUGAUAAUCGAAGCUGGCAUACAUACUAGAUGAAAAGACUCAGCAUUCACAUAAAAGAGCAAUUGCAAUAAUCAACUUGUAAGGAACUGCCAACUACAAAUCUUCUACAAGAAAGAUCAAUAUCCAAUAAAAGCAAGGUCAUGGUCAUACAGAACAAGCCAAAUUAAUCAGCAACAAGAGAGGGGUCAUAAAAGCAUGAUCCUUUAUAAUGCUUCAAAGAAAAAUGACAAGGGUCAUAUACAACACUCGGAAAGAGGUAAGGUGUCGUCUAAACCCCCACAAACAACUACAUAUUAGUUUGUUGACAUAGAACUACCAAAGCAGCCACUCAAACAUAUAGGUUCUAUAAGAUCACAUAUCAUAUGAUAUACGACAAACCAGGGACACUUGUUCAAAACGAAUAAGAAACAAUGACAGAACUUGGAAAUUGAUGUCAUCAUUAGCCAAGUCGUCAUCCCACAAUGUAUAAACAUUCCACUCAAGUAACAAAGGCUGAAAGGAAUAACUUCCCACCAGAUAUCCUAUGUUUCAUAUUUAGCUGGCACGGCUCUUAAUGACAUCAAGGCCAAUCUCAGAUGAAUCAGUUGCCUGCAACUCAAUCUGAAUUCCAUCAAGCUCUCUCUUGAAUCUGUCCUUUGAGCUUGCGUAGAUCAUCUUGUUUCUCACCCUUGAUGUAUCAGGAGACCUUCAUCAUAUAAAUGAUACAAAAGACCUGAUUAGAUAACAAAGUAUUCAACAUAACUGGAAGUGAUAUAAGAAAAUGAGAGUUACCAUGCAAUGAAGAAUAUCCGACUUUUAGGGACACCCUCUGGUGUAAGGAAAUCGAAAUCAAAAACCGCAUAACGGCAUUCAUCAGUAGGAAGGCUAUCUGUGAAAGCCUCAUAGGUUUGUGCAGGAUCACCAGUUGCUUCAACAAUAACUUGCUUUUGCUUCUCCUCAAUCUUGAACACAAUCGAUCGGUAGGUCCUCUUUGUCUUGAGUUCCAGAAACUUCAAUUUGCAAUCAUCGUGCACAGCCAUACCAGAUGCUGCAUUGGCCUGUGAAUUGCAAGAAAUUAACUUAGUAAGACCACAUUUUACGGCAGCACCAUUUUUAAAUAAAAACCCUAUGUAGACAAAAAACAAAACAUUAAGACAAGUAAAGAAUGUUUCAUUAAUAAUCUAAACACCAGAGAGAGGAAACAAGAAAACAUUGUCCAUGCCCAAUUUGCAUUAUUCUUUGGUAAGAUUUUAUACCAAGACAUGAAAAUCAAAACUCCCCACUCUUUGUUCCCUACAAUGCCCUACCCUAAAGCACUAAAGGAGAAACAAUGAAUAAUUUAAAUUUGUUAGACAAACCUCCUCCCGAUAUGUAUUAUAUAUACGCACAUCAACAUUUUAAAAACAAAAAACAAAAACGUGGUGUAUGUGAUUCAUUUUGGAUCCAACUUAAGCUGUGAUCAAACCUUUGCGCUCAAACUACACAUCAUAUACAAUCAUACAUUAAUCACCAAAAAUAACAGAUCCACGAAAAAAAAACUUCUCAUCUCCAUGCUUAUAGAAUCACUACCGAGAAACACAUACACAAUUAAAGCUAGCACUAGCCAUCUCAACACCUGUGCUACACACACUAGAUCCACAAUAUUACUAACCAGUAAGUAUUCGAAACUUGGCUCCCAAAAUACUAACAUAUAUAGCAAGCAAAAGGAUACAUAAACCUCAUCAGUCCACAACAAAUCGCGAUCAAAACGUUCAUCAUCAAAAACAAAACCACAAUCAAAUCAGAUCUGGAAAGCUAAAGACUCAUACACAAACAGUAAACCAGCUAUCAAUUCCAUCCAACUCAGUUCUAACCAUCAGAUCGACCACAGAUCAACCUACACCGUUCAUAAAUCGAAUCCGAUCAUCCAUUUCGAAGCUAAGCAAUCGCAAUCGGUAAACAUGAUUCAAAGAAUCUUCACUCAGAUUUUCUCAGCAGUGAAAUAGGUAAAGAGUCAAACGCGUAAAUCGAUCGGAGAAAAUAAUAGGACUCACCAUUUUCGCGGUUCAGGUGAGGAGCGACGGAGUAGGAGGAGGAGAUAUAGGAGGUAUGUUCUCCGAUGACGACGACUUGCAGAGAAGAAAAAUGUAACAAGAGGGGUUUAUAUACGAUGGCUAUGUGAGUGCCACAGGGAAUAAUAACGUGGAGGUGGUCGUAUGACAGAGGAGCGUGUAAUAGAUGAUUGGACCAAUGGCGUGAGGCCACGACUCUUGCGGCAACAUGUCCGUGAAUGGCUAGAGCCAGCUGAUUCACUCUCAUUGUUUCAUCACGGCUCGCGCCGCUCCACACCACAUACUUUUUCUUUUUUUUUCUUUUAUUUAUUUAUAUGUUUGUAACCAAAUAAAUAUAAAUAAAAUUUAAAAAGAAAAUAGUGUAGAUAAUGAGUGAACUGCUCGGGCAGGUGAGAAAUCAUGAUCUUUACUUUAUUAUUUCUGAUUAAGGAUUACAAUUUCAAGAGCGAUUUAGUUAAAUGUUUUUUUUUAAUGAAAAAUAGAAUCUUCGUUAAUUUAGAGUGAUUGUAAUGAGAACAUAACUAAUCUUUUGGUUCUCUAGUGAUGAUGGUGUAGAGGUUUCUGAGUUGGGUGGGAUGGUGGUAGAGUUCAUUAGUUUGGUGAGUUUCCCAACCGCGCUUACAGCUCUAUACCACAACCCAAUUAGCUUUGCCCUUGGUCCUCCAUUUUUAUUCCGGAUUCCUUCGGAUGUAUUCUAUUAAAGUUCGAAACUAGUACGUGAAAGCUAACAAUUCACGACUUUUCAAGCGGUGUGAGUUAUUGGAGGCUGAUAAUUACUUCAAUAGCUCUCUAUAGUAUCUUAUUACUUCUAUAACUUUGUUUUUGUAUUAAUUUAGGUAUAGUAAGUUUGCCCUUUUUUAGUAUGAAUUCAUGAUUAUCGGAGUGUAUAAAUCAAAUAGGUUAUAUCUAUAGUUAUUUUGUUGUUUUGAAACAUGAUGUAUGAGAGGAUGAAUAUUUUUCAUAUUGAUUGUAGUAUUGUAUUGUAAAACUUGAGGUUGCUUGAUAAUCUAUUACCUACACAAAUGGCUUAUCAAAUAGAAAAUGAAUGGCCAUACGAGUGACCAAAUAGAAAAUGAAUGUGUAUACUUUUCUUCCGGACCAAACAGAAAAAGAAGCUAAUGGCUGGUUUAGAGGCGCUAGGCUAAGCUCAGUAACAAGUUAAUUAGAUAUUUUGGUCGUUGACCCACUGUAACAGUGCGCUUCACACUGAUAUUUUCGGACAAAUUGUAUUUUUUUUUUUUUGCUAACACGAAUUGAGAAGAAAAAAAAAGGCGUGUGGUCCACUGAGAUUCGUUUAUGCGUUGAUACAACGCUACCUAUAAUUUGAAUUAUUAAUCGGCAACCUUUUGAAAAAGAAAUUUCAGAAGAAAAAAAAAAAGGACAGAAAUAUGGACCUGCACUGCUGCACAUAAUCACAUUCUUCCACAUGAUCCACUCGUUCUCGAGGUCCUUUUCCUGAGGCGCACAAGUGUUCUCAAUUAUUGAUUUCAUUCCGCUUAGUCUGAAUCUUCCAUUUUUCUUUUGGUUUCUUUGUCCAUUUAAGUUAAAUAUUUUUUACCUUACAUUGUUGAAUAUGCUCUGUCAAAAAGUACUACACGAUCAACAUGUGCAUAUUGGGUGUUAUGAUUUUAUGGGUUUGAUGAGCGACGCCUGACAGUACACCACUAGGACUAUACGGAUCGUAUAGUCAUGAAUUUGGUAUUUUGAUUUUAUGAGUUUGAUAAUCAACGUUUAACCGUAAAUGUAUUAUUUUGCCGAUUAUAAAUUUUGAGAUCUUCUGAAUGACUAUAGACUAAAUGCUGAUAGUGUGGUGGUUCCUAAUCAUUAUGACGUGUUGAUGGGUGGUCUGGCGAGGCUAGAAGCUUGUGACAUUUCUAUUAAUGCCACAAAAUCACUUGCCAUCAAGAUUGGGCUUGAAUAUGCAACUGCUGCAGCUUCUAUCCUUUGUUAUAGAAUAUGUCAGUCUCAUUAACAAAGCAACCUUGUUUGAUGGGGGUUAUCACAGUGGCCGGAAAUCUAGAGUAAUGGAUUUCUCUUGUUGUCAAUUUCUCCGGUAUGGUGCCUUUGUUGUACUUUAUCCCGGGUUCUAUUGAAUUGGUAGUUUGGCACCAACCGGAUGAUACCUACUUAGUUCUUUGAUUACAUUCAAUUUUAAGUUUUAGUUUAUUUGUUACCUUUUGAUAUAUUUAUAUUUUGAAUUGUUACAAGUCAAGGCACGAAAAAAACGAAGUAUGUACAUGAAAAUAACUCAACCUUUUUGCUAACUCAUGUGACUCGUGUCAUUCAAUCAUUUCGUAUCUGACGAGAGUGAUAACCCAUAACACUUCUGCGACCAAUUGGUAAUGUCACAUUGAUGUGUGUCCAAUUAUUUGAUAUUUAGCAGUAGAUCAUAUAAUUUGAGUUAAAAAAAAAAAACAGUUCGAUAAAGACAUCAGAGUACUGUGGUAGUGUGGUGAGAGAGAAGAUAAGAAGGGAUUGAAACGAGUAUGUCCAAGGCUCCAAGCAGUAUAUUCCAAAAGAGUACCCUGUAAGGACGACCCAGAUUGUCCAAGAUGCUUCGGGGAACUGGAAAGCUUGCUCAUGUAUUUUAGGAAUAGCAGGGAGUGACAAACCCAGGUACGAGUUAUUGGGUGUCUCUGAAAUGGACCACGUACUCCAUACUUAUCCAAUAUAUGGGGGCCGUCCCUCAACUGGGUCAAGUCGAAGAAUGCCCAACGGUCAACAGAAGUAAAAGAAGAAAGAUAUUUUGACACACCUCGUAAUUUUUUGUAGUAAAUAACUCUGUUUUCUAGUGUCAUAUUUUUAGACAAGUAAACUUCUUAGAAGAUAUGAAUUAGGUCAUUCUCUUCCUAAUACUAAGGUUUGGUCAGGCAUCAUUCCUCUUCCGGCUCUAAAUGCGGUGUGUUUCGAUUAUACUCAAAUGGGUUGUAUGAUGAGAUUCUCGUUGUAAUUGCAUUUUUCUUUCAGCAGUGGUUUUGGUAAACAUUGACAUGAGAGUAACAUUUGAUUGUGCCAUAGAUAAAUUAAGUAAUAACAAACGUUUCAUUCAAUUAAAAUUCAUCCUAUUGUCUAAUAAUUCAUUUUUCCACCUAUGUUGCUGCUGGACUAUAGAUCUCACGCACUAAACUUCAGCCUACCACCAGACAGCAACGACUAUUUGACAAACCAUCAUAUACUUAAACGCUAUAAAUUUUUUAAUAUCAUUAUAUCAAAAUUGAUAAUUGAAAAAAAAGGUUCGAGUUCGAAAUAAAAGGACCAACAGAAUCCAAGAAACAAGCAGUAAUAAUUAGGUAUUCCAAACCCCAUCAUCUACUGCUAUAGACUGUAUAGAAUCAACCAUCACCAACACAGAGAUCACUACCACGUUCCCAUCCCCAUUCUUAAACCAAAACAGUCAAACACUCUGCUAACAAUAACUCGGUAGUUAAUUACAACUCACCAACUCUCGUUUCAUUUGCAGUAAAGUCUUCAAUCCUCUCCAUUCUUCCAUCACUCCCUUCCCCCAAUUCAAACCUCCCCACACUUUUUAGAGCCCUCACCAUUUAAAUUUCCCCUCAUAAAUCUCGUAUGUUCAUCAUUAUAUAACUACGAAAAACAUACAAUAUUAUUUGAUAUGAGUAUUAGUCCGUUGACAAUUAUAGAUCGGUCAUAGAUUAAAUUAACACCAAACUAGAUCUGAUAGUAAUGUUCACACCAUUAUGUGGUUCAACAUAUAUAGUUGAAAAAUUCACACAAUAAACAUGUAUAUAAGUAAUUCACACACAUGAAACUUUUACAACACUGUUGUUCAACGCGAAUACUAAGAUUCAGAUUGAUUAGACCAUUACGCAAUAAGAAAAUAUAUAAAGUCAAAAAUUAAUAUUCUAUCAGAAUUAGCUGAAGGUUGUAAUUUUAAUCGAGCAUGACUAAUUUGUAUUUCGGCAAAUUACUGCUCAAACGGAAAAUUCUUACAUACCAUUGUUGUUUGCAUCUCUCAAGCAUCGGAUCCCAAGCAGUACAAUGGUUUUAAGCAACAAUUUAUGGCAUACAUUGGAUUCAAGGAUCCGUUUUCUCAAAAAAACAAAGCAUUAAAUUUGAUGAAACAAAAAUAUAUACGCAAGAGCAAGAACCACAAGAACGCGUUGAUUAAGAUCAAAGAAAAUAUUAUCCCAUUAACGAUUUUUUUUUCCUCAGUUUCCAGGAUCAUGAAAAAGCUCAGUAUCUGAGACAUUCACAUUUCCAUAACAAAAACAUAACCAACACCGAUUGACAUAAAACGAAAACACAUAAGAUUUUUCCAUGACGAGAUUACAGGCAUUUGGUUCUCUAGUUAUUAGCUGCGUCUGUGGUUGUUGUCUUGUUCUCCUUGGCAUUCUCCGCACCGGUUUUCGCUGCCUCAGCGGACGGCGGGAGAGGAGGAGAGAUCAGGUUCGGUGGAGCCUGGUUGGUUGGUGCACCUCCUGCAGCAGCGGCCACCUUGUCUCCAGCCACAACAUCUUCGGAUAGGAGGAAGUCCGGGGACAUGAAUAUGCUCUGAGAUGGCCUUCUCUGGUGGCGAUUUGGCCUCUGAGACAUGGUUCUGGGUUUGUUUGGGAUAAGAAGCAGAGGGUAAUGGAGGAGGAGGAGUGUGUUUAUAGUGAUAGUGGUGUUGUCUGAGGUAGUUAGGUGUAGGGAGAGAGCACAAGGUGUUGACUGGUUUUUAUAGUGAGGGAAUGGGUUAAAAGCUGUUAGGUUGGGUUAAAUGGGAAAGUUAGACUUGCAAUCCCAUUAUUACCCCCCUCCUCUCAAUAUGAGGGUUGGUAGGAAUGGCAAUAGCAUCAAUUGAUUCUUAUCUCGAAGGGUUGUAUUUGUCUUUGUAACGAUUUACAUUAACUCUAUAUGUGUUGCUUACGUAAUAGAAUUAUAACGUUGAGAAAAAAAAAUGACGUGUGUAAAGAUCAUUGCAUUGCAUGUAGUCUAAUUGGCAUAGUAAAGGGUCGGUAGCAGUAAAUUAAUUGUAUUAUUGGGGGAUUGUAUCUGCCUAUGUUUCGAUUCAUAUCUACUCGUUACAAGUUACUCAUGUUUGUUUAUAAAUAACAUUUGUAAGGAGCGUUGUAGUGUAUUUGAUCUCAUUACGUGAGCAUGAGGUUGGUAGGAGUAAACUAAUUCUCUUAAUGUGGGAACAUAUUUGUCUUUGUUUCGAUUCAGAUCUACUCGUUACAUGUUACUCACGUUUGUUUAUAAAUGACAUUUGUAAGGACCAUCACAAUACAUGUAAUUUAAUCGUGUCAACAAGGGGUUGGUAACGGUAAUUAAUUUUCAUCUUAAAGAAUUGUAAUUGUUUUUAUUUCGAUUCAAAUUUUCUCGUUACGUGUUAAUCACGUUUGUUUAUAAAUGACAUUUGUAAGAACCAUCACAAUACAUGUAAUCUCAUUGUGUCAACAAGGAGUUGGUAACGGUAAUUAGUUUUCACAUCAUAAUUGUAUUUGUUUCUAUUUCGAUUCAAGUGUUCUCGUCCCAUUCUAUUCUAUUUGCAUAAUAAAAUGAUAACCUGGAUUUAUAACAUUAUGUAAAAAGUAUCUUAUUGUCAUGUUACUUACAAUCGCACGUGUCAAACGAAAAUUUUUGUGUUAAACUCUUUGAGAAAUGAUUAAACGUGAGGAAGAAUUUUUAUGUAAAUUCAAAAUUUAAAUCUCCAUCCUACAAAAAUUAUUGCGAGAAGUUGCUUACAAUCAAAUGUGACAAAUGGAAAUUUGUGAGUGUUAAACUCUUUGAGAAAUGACUAAAUGAGAGGAAGGAUUUUUAUGUAAAUUCAAAAUGUAAAACUCCAUCCUACAAAAGUUAUUGCGAGAAGAUUAUUACGAAUCUAGGGGAUAUGGAAAUAAUUUUAUUAAUUGUGAAAGAAAAAGAGAGAAAAUUAAUUGUGUAUUUACAUUAAAAUCUGUAAUUAAUAGAUAAAUAUUUGGUAAGAAAUCCAUGUGAUUUGAUGGAACAACAUUAAUGAGGGUAUGAGUCGUGGGUGGGUGUACGUGCAUAUAGUACUUGGAACUCCGCUUGGAACCUUCGUACCCGGUUUCAGAUCCACAUGAAUCUUGUGGAUAGACUUGAAGUACACAUUUUAUUUUAGUUUAUUUCACGUUUAUAUUUUCAGAUGAGAAAGUUCGAUGAACCUGUUAAAUGAUUGCUCUGUAAUAAUUUGUUGCUUAAAUUGAGUUGUUAAAACUAGAUCAAUAAAGUGAUUUGUCUUAAUUUUUGAAUUUAGAGAUAAUUAUCUUAAGAUAGUCAUUACGUCUCGUUUGAUAUACUUUCACUUAAAUCUAAAAAAAUCAGUCUUUAUCUAAAUUUUUAGAUUUUAUAGUAUUUAAUAAAUUAAAGAAAAACAUUUUUAAUUUUUUUUUUACAAGUCACUAGCAGCUGUUGUCAUUAAAAACUAAUAUUUGCAAUGUAACAUUACAAUGAUAUGCAAGAUAGACCAUCUAUAUUUGAAGACUAUGACACUUAUUAAAGCAAGACUACUCAUAUGAUCAAUAUCAUAGUUUGUAUGCGGAAAAUGAAAAUAAAAAAUUACCCAAGCCGAAAGCCCUACAUAUUUGAAUUGCUCAUGUGGUAACCGAAACUCGAAAACUUGCUCAUGUGUUCGUAUGCAUGUCUAUCAAUGCUGACUUAUAGCUUUAUACCUCAAUAUAGGGAAAUAUAUCCAUCAUAUGCAUGUCGACCAGGGCACUCCGACACAACUAUUUUAGACCCUCAUUAUCUUCAAUAGCAUAGGCAAUGCAAUUGCCUCAUCAACAAACCACAAAUUCAUCCAUAAGUGGUUGAUACCAGAUUGCCUCCAAAGCUAUUGCCACCAUAUUCAGGUUUACAAAACUCAACUUGCAUCUUGUGUUUAGCGAUGUAAUCCCAAAUGAUUGAUUCGUCUGAAUCGCAUACCACCGCUAGAAUUCCUAUACGAUCAUAAUGAAAAAGAGGCCAAGUCGCUCAUGGUCAAUGAUGAAAGCUUCACCUCAUAUCGAUGUAGAGGAAAAUGUGAAAGAAAUCGACGAGGAAGGUUGGAGAAUUAGGGUAGACAAAAGCGUCUAGUGCUUGAGCGACCAGAGCCACCGUUGUUGUUUUCGCCACCAAGGGCUAACCUGGAAGAGUUUAAUUGUUGGCGAUUCUUGGAGUAAAUCGUUGCGGUGAAGCCACCAUUGAAAUCUAGCCCAAGGCGGCUAGGGUUGGGGGAGAGACUAGAGAGUGUUUAUUCUCCUUAGUUUAUUGAUAUUUUAUUACUUUAAGGACUCGAUUACCAUUUUAAUAACAUAUUUUACCAUUUGAGAACUAACGUUGUAACUAAAUUUUGUACAACUUUAAUAACGCAUGUGACAACUUUGAAGACUAAUAUUACCACUUUAAAGACUCAUUAUACAAUUUUAAGAUAAAGCUGAUACAUGUCAUGCAUUAAUUCGACUUUAGCUCCGUUUAUUCACUUUUCUAUGGAUUUUUUGUUCGCAAAUAUAAGGACAUUUUUGUCCAACCAGUAAAUUGAGAAGUUCGAAUAAUUGAGAGAAGUAAAAUGAAGUUAAGUAGUUCAUUCAUGUCUCAUGAGAAAAGAAAAAGAAAAUAAAUGAAGUGUUGAAUCAGUAUAAGGACAUUGAAAUGUAGCAUAGAUACAAGUGCUCACACGAGAGGAAAUGAUGUGGUUCCAACGAUCGCUUGUUAACUGAUUGAAGUACAUUGAUCGUAAAAAAAAUUGUUUUUUCACAACUAUCCACGUUAAAGGGUGUAGCACAAGCAGAGUUGUUGGUAUAAUAUGAGAGGACAAUAAGUGGAAGACAUGUCAUGUGGAUGUGGUGGUGUGUUUUUGUUAGCUAUUUUGAACAAUUAUUUACCACGAAAUGAUCUAAACUGAAUGUUAGUGUUUAUAGGAGGUUACUAUAAGAUUUUAUGUUAAACAAUCAAAUAAACUUACUCGUACUUUUUAUAAAGGUGAAAUUGAAGCGGCUUUGAAAGAUAUCGGUCCAGCAAAAGGCUAGGAGCCUAGGACAUAUGGAAUGCAAGUAAUGUUUUAUCAAAGUUACUGGGCCGUGGUUGGGAUAAUGUUAAAGAUCAAUGUUCGAAGGUUCUUCAUUGUUAGGAAACGUUGAAUAACUUGAAUGUCAUAAAUCAUACUUUGAUUGCUUUGAUCCCUAUGGUGCCUAAUACGAAGUAAGUAAUAGUGUAUCGACCUAUAAGUAUGUGUGAUGUCCUUUAUCAGCUGAGUUGGAAGACCUUUGUUAAUCAAUUGGAACAUAUAUGUGAUAUAUGGGUUUAUUUUCAAGUUUCAAAGUGUGUAUUUGUUCAGAGUUUCAGAGCAUUGGAAGCACAUUUGGAAAGUCAAGGUUCUACCAAAAACGAGACACUUUUUGUGGGGAUGUUCGACGAGCCAAGGUUUAUUUCGUGUAUGUGGUAUUAGCGUCAUGUUUCACAUCACUCCAUAUGCCCGAGGUGCCAACUAACAAAUGAAGCACCUUUGUACAUAACUUGGUAUUGUCUUUUAUGUACGUGUUGCAGUGUUAGAGAAUGUGAGUUUUUAUUAUAAACCCAACUCGGGUGUGUUGGGUGAACAUUUUUGAUUUAUUGGAUCAUGCUAUUUAGAUCUUAACAUAAUGGAUAAGAUGAAGCUUUUGGUUGUGUUGUUGUGGAGUAAUUGGAGUGAAAGAAACAAAGUUGUGCAUGGUGAACAACCUAUACAUUAUAAGGUUAUGUUUGCACAAUGUGUUUCGAUAUGGGAAGGGUUGUUAGUUGUACAGUUAAAAUUUGAUGCAUAUGUUUCUAGUGACGAGAGUUAUGUGAGAUAGCGGUGGUGAGGGACAACCAUGGUCCAUGACGGCCUUAAAGAAAUAAUUAUAGGUUAGAAACUGUACAAGGGGCAUGGCUUGCAAUUGGAUGGAGUUGAGACUGCUUAUUUGGAGACUAUAAGGCUUGUGAACAAUAGUGAUGAGUGUUUUGCAACAUAAGGUGUCUUAAUGGAGAAGGUUAGGCUACUGUUGGGUGUAGUUGGUUCAUUUGGUAUUGUUCAUAUCCAAGACAUGCUAAUGGUAUGUAACUCCGUUGGAGGACAUUUAUCUUGAUCGGGGUCGGGACUCACUGGCCUACGGACAUUGGACAUCAUCGAUGGUGACAUACCGUCGUAUUCGUUCAAUAUCUUUUCACUCCGUCAAUAAUCGAAACAAAACUGACGGAAAACACAAACGCCCGUUAUCCAUAUCUUCCCGUACUUUUCCCGGCGAAUGACAGUUGGACUCACCCAUCAGUUAUGAAAUUCCAACCCCACCAAUAUCUUCUCCACACUCCCUGGGAUUCCGCCACCUGGACCAUCCAACGGCCCACAAUCCCCUCAUGACGCAACCAAAACAUAAUCCCCAAAACAAUAAAAGCAGCGGGAGUGCACAAACUUCAUCAACCACGCCACCAUCACACGUGUCCCUGACGUUACACUCCACCCGAACCGCCACGCCACGUGUCCCAAUCUAAUAGGCCAACUCAUAGGGCCCAUCGACUUUUAUCCACCUGCCUUCUCGUUUCUUCCAAAGCUUCGCAAUCCAAUUUAGAAAUAAAUGAAAUAAGUAAAGAAAGAAAGGACUCUAUCUUCCCCUCAAAAGUUGAAUCUCGAGCGCGAGCCAAGCUUUUCGUUUCGCUAUUUUGCCGCUCUGCACGUUACUCUCUCUCUGAAACCGAAUUGAAAAACCCUAACCCUUCUCUCAUCCCGCGUUAAAUUUCCACUCCCUCCGAUCUCACUCCCUCUUUUUCUCUCCCUCUCAAAACUUCCAGAUCUCUCUGAUUUCUUUGGAUUCUUCUCGAAUUCCUUUUGGAUCUCUCAGACCUUCUUUGGAUUUGGAGGCCUUGUUCGGUUUGAUUUUCUCAGAUUUGGAUCAGUAAGGUUCUACGACACCUUUUCUUUUCGAUUUUCGUCGCUGAAUUACGGUUUUUUAUUUUUAUUUUUGCGGUUUUGGUUAUAGUUCUUGAUUUUAGGAUCAGACUGACCUCGAAUUUAUGAGGUUUGAUUCAUUUCUGGACAGAUUUAGUACUGCAUGCGAAUUAGGCUUGGAUUUUGGACGUUUGGUGUUUGUUAUUGAAUGCUGUAUUGGAAGCUUGGUGUUGUGAAGGAGAGUGGAUUGUUUGGCAGUGGGGUUGGAUUUCCAGUGGAGUUGUAUGGGAGAAGAGGAUAGAUUGGAAAAUGGGGGAGUGGAAAUCGAGAGCUCUCCAAGAACUGAAUUGAAGCGAGACCAUCAGUGUCUCGUAGGUGAUACUGAGCCGGAUUCGUUUCCGAACAAGAAGCAAGCCAAAGAGGUUUCAAAUGAUGAUAUACGCUCCGAAGUUUCGAAUCCUGUUGUGUCUCCAAAAGAGAAUGAGAAUGGCUCGAGCUUUCAGGAUAUUACUAGCCAACCGGCGGAGUUAGCGAAUAGUAACCAAGUAGAGUGUGGAGAGGUUACUUCUUCGAGUUUGAGGAGUUCGAGCUCGGAGGAGGAGGAGGAGAGUUUGAGUGUUGGACAGCCUGCCGAGAAUGAUAAUGGCCAGAUUGAGACGGAGACCACGGAUACUACUCGUGUUGUGGUUGAGAUAGAUAAGCCGUCUAGUUCAUCUGGGAUUCGCAAGAUCACGUUUAAGUUCAGCAAAAGAAAGGAAGAUUAUGAGAACCAGUCAUUUGCUUCACCGAGUCAGACUGUACAUAAUGGGUUUGAUUGUGACUUUCCCUAUGGUGGGGAGCCUAGAACUGACUGUGGAGAAAUGGCUAGUAGGAGCUGGGGGUUCCGAGAAAGGUCAUAUGCUCAUGUCAGGGAGGUGGAAUCUAACAAGGUUCCGGAGUGCUACCCUAGCAAUGUCAAAAAGCUAUUAGCUACUGGUAUUCUUGAUGGAGCUCGAGUGAAGUAUAUUUCCACUGGGUCACAGGUAGAUGACUAGAUGAUAUAAUAAAAUUGUUUAUAAUUUUUCUGAUAUGCUGCAGUCUGAGCUUUUCUUUGUUGAGACGACUAAUAGAAUUGUAUGUCUGGCAGGUAAAGCUAGAUGGAAUUAUAAGUGGCGGUGGUUAUUUAUGUGGUUGUUCAUCCUGCAACUACACAAAUGUAAGUUUUAAUCACCGUCCAAUUUUGUUCUAGUUUAAUUGCGAUAUGAGUUUUAGCUGACUGGUUCCAUGAUAUUAACAGGUACUCAGUGCAUUUGAGUUUGAGCAGCAUGCUGGUGUCAAAACUCGCCAUCCCAAUAACCACAUAUUCUUGGAGAAUGGGAGACCGGUUUAUAAUAUCCUCCAAGAAUUGAAGACUGCUCCACUCAACAAGCUGGAUGAAGUAAUAGAGGCAGUUGCUGGUUCUGCUGUCAAUGAAGGGUUCUUCAGGAUCUGGAAAGGUGAUAAAUAUCUUUAGCAAGAUACUAUUCCCCGCAUUAUAGAUAACUAAGUGACUUGCUCAUAACUUUGGUGCUACGAGGAUCUAAUAUAUAUGUUAAUUUUUUUUUUUUCUGCAGAAUCCCUUUACCGAUUUGAGGGGGAUGAGGUGUAUAAAAGACAUUCAGUGAAACUUCCUAAAGUGCCUCGGCUUCCUAAGAAGCCCAAGCUUCCUAAAUUCCCUCAUUCACUUCCCAGGUAUCAGCCUUACACGUUAGGAUGUCCUUAUCCAUACAGUGCAUGUUUGACAUCUUAACAGUAGAUAAUAUGCUUUAUUUUGCAUGGGUAAGCUGAGACUGUAUCUGUUGUGCAGAUCAAGCUUCCAUACUCCUUACUCUGUUAUGCACCAGAAGAAAACUGCUGGACGUGGCAAUAAGAAAACGUAUCAUCUCCCCUUCUUCUUUUCAUUUUGUACUUGGGAUUUCUAUCAGUAGCUUUUCAAUAAGUUGCGAAUAUUCUUACUGAUCGGGAAGUUUGUGCUUUCAGUAGGGAUCAUGAUCUUCACCGGCUACUGUUCAUGCCAAAUGGGCUUCCAGAUGGGGCCAAAUUGGCUUACUAUAUGAAAGGACAGGUAUCUUGUUGGAUAUAUUUUUUGUGUUAAAGCUGUCUUCAGAUUUUUGUUAUAUGCAAAUUUCAAAAUUAGUGAUCUGAUGACUCUCAAUUCUCAGAGAAUACUUGGAGGCUACAAGCACGGAAAUGGUAUAGUAUGUAAUUGCUGUAAUACAGAGGUAAAAUUCUAGCUGCAUAGACCACAUUGAAUAUGAGUUAAGCAUUUUAUGCUAGUCCCUCUCUCCCUAUUCUCUCCCACAUCAAUUCUGUGCUAUGUGUUUUUGAACAGGUAAGCCCUUCACAGUUCGAAGCACAUGCUGGAAUGUCUGCUAGGCGCCAACCGUGAGUACUUUCUAACUAACUGUUGUAGUUUGUUGUCUGUAUAAUGUCUCAUGUAGGGAAAACCCAUGUCCUUUUGCAGUUACCGUCAUAUCUAUAUAUCCAAUGGAUUGACGCUACAUGAUAUAGCCACGUCAUUGGCAAAUGGACAUAACCUUACAACUGGUGCCAGUGAUGGAAGUGAUGAUAUGUGUGCAGUAUGUGGACAUGAUACUGGGAAGAUGAUUCUUUGUGAUGGAUGCCCUCGUGCUUUUCAUGAAGGUUGUAUUCAUUUUUGAAUUAUAUUGUUAGACAUUUAGUUCCAUUUUUGUUGAAAAUUGCACAUUUUGUUUAUUAGUUUUGGGCUUUUGGCACAACAAGUUUCAUAAUUUUAUCUUGACAUCCUCUGUCACAAGUAAACGAUGUGGUAUGCUAAAGGUUCUUUUUUAUCCAACAAUGUUUUCUGGGCUAGUAUGUCUUCCAUACUUUCCUUGAUCCCUUCUGUCACUCCCAUGAUUUAGUGUUUCAGUGGUAACUUUUUUUUUUUUUUUUUUUUUUACCCUUCAAGUUGAUAUGGGUGGUUUUUGUUACACAUGGCAUCAUUUUGUUUUCUCACUCAUGAAGCACUUUUUCUCGUUCUCUUACUAUUCUCUCACUCUCUAUUCUUUCAUGAAUCUAAUUAGUUUCAUAUUGCAGCUUGUUUGGAUUCAGAGUGGAUUCCUGAAAGCGAUUGGCAUUGUCCAAAUUGUAGAGAUAAUUUUCAACAUGUUAGUAAAGCUGCUGCUGGAGGAUCUUCAAGUAUUGCAAGACCAAUCGUCAUACGCUUGACAAGGGAAUUCAAAGCACCUGAAAUUGAAAUUGGUGGUUGUGUCCUCUGUAGGUGUGUUGCUCUAGCUUUUAUAUUUCAUUCAUUCUUCUGCACCAUGUUAGGAUGUUCUCAAGUGACAAAAUUUUUUUUUUCCUGGGAAGUGCAAAUUUUUCAAUGUAGUCUGGGUCGAAUGGGGUAUAAAGGUGUGCAUUAACUUGAUCAAAUUAAUUAGUCUGACUGCAUCACGUCUCACUGCCAUGGCUUCAAACAGUUACAUGGGAAUGCCACUUUCUAUUUUGGUUAUAUGGUUUGUUAACUCAAAGUGAAGAGUGUAGAUUGUAGGCGUGCACCGGAGAAGUGAUUUCCUUGAUUGAUUAACUCAUUUUUGGUUUGUUAUCAGUUAUUUAUAACUGCUAACUGCUUGUACUAUCUUUAUUAGGAGCAACGACUUCAGUGCAGCUAUAUUCGAUGAGCGAACAGUUAUAAUCUGUGACCAAGUAUGACCUGCCUUUCCAUUCUUCUGUUCAUAUACACGUGUUGUUAUGUCAAAAUUAUCCUUACCACCUAUGUCAUUGUUAAUCUCACCAUUGAUUUUUAUUCAGUGUGAGAAGGAGUUUCAUGUUGGUUGCUUACGGGACAAUGGAUUAUGCGACUUAAAAGUGAGUUUUCAAUCAUGCAAUGGUUUAUAUAUUUUGGUUGUUUGGGUAAUAAUUAGUUUUCUUUCACACUACUGCAGGAACUCCCCAAGGAUAAGUGGUUUUGCUGUGAUGAUUGUAAUAGGAUUUUUGAGGCUUUACAGAAUAUAGUAUUCAAAGAAGCAGAGCGGGUUCCAGCUCCAUUGUCAGAUCCAAUAAUCAGGAAGCAUGCAGAUAGAGGUAUAUUUAUUGAUGGAGUGGCAGAUGAUGUUCAAUGGAGAAUUUUCAGUGGAAAAAGUCGCUGUCCAGAACACCUACCAUUUUUAUCAAGUGCUGCUGCAAUUUUUCGAGUAAGUAUAUGUGAAUCCAUGAUGAUCUUUGCCGUCAUUAUUCUCCUCUUUUUCCAUUAUCUAAAGCACUCUGAAAAUUGAUGCCUUUUUCUGAAUUGGGACGUUUUUUUCUUUUUCUUUCCCAAAUAUUUUUUUUUUGUUAAAUUUUCUUUCCUAAAUGUUUGUUGCAAUUCCCUAACGAGUGAACCACAUGUGUAUGGGUCUGUUAGUUGAUGAUUCAUAUCUUUUCUUUCAUGCUCUCAGAUGCUACUCUUUGAUUGAUUUUUUGCUUCCUAAUUCAGUAUUAUGUAUUAUUUAUGUGUAAAUAAAUAAUCAAUAUUGUCACUUUAAUUUGCCUGAGAAAAUCUACUCUAAACAGUCAAUAUUGUCACUGUAUUUUGCCUAAUGAUAUGUUGCGUUCGUUAUUGCCAGGAGUGCUUUGACCCCAUAGUUGCCAAAUCUGGUCGUGAUUUGAUUCCUGUCAUGGUAUAUGGGUAAGUAAUUCAUUUUUGUCUGGUGACAUGUUUCUUAGUUUGGAAAGCUUGUAUAGGCAUAUAUUUAUUUGAGCCCGGAUAGAACAGUAAGUGUUGCGGUUAAGAUCAUUUGUGAACAUUAUGUUACCUCUUGAUUUCCAGCACAUAUUUUGUUAGCACAACACAUCCAAAAAAUUCAAAAUUGAAGUAGAAUAUUAUUGUUGGUCCAAGUACUUCAAUAGUCCCAAUAGAGGUGACAAAUUUUCAGGGCCAUAUACCUUGAUUUUGGUCGUUCUUGUGUACUAUCAUUGUCUUUGGUAGCUCAAAGUUAGAUUUCUGCUAACAAAACAAUUUUUAUUUAUGGCAUUUUUCAGGAGAAACAUUUCAGGCCAAGAGUUUGGAGGAAUGUAUUGUGUUGUUUUAACAGUGAGGUAUGUUGCUUCUGUUUUCUCUACUGCAACUCUAUUUAGUCCUGCAAAUUGAUAAUUAUCUUGUUUUCUGAUAUCUUUUGUUUGGAUAGGUCUGUUGUUGUAUCUGCCGGUCUUCUUAGGAUUUUUGGUAGGGAAGUUGCAGAGCUUCCGAUUGUGGCUACAAGUAGAGAACAUCAAGGAAAAGUAAGCAUGGAUUCCGGAUCUGAAACCCUCACGUUUUCAGUUGAUAUUACUAUUUGAGAAUGCUUGUUUGUGUCGGACCUCACAUUUCUGUUCUUUUUAUAGGGUUAUUUCCAAGCGUUAUUUUCCUGUAUAGAGAUGUUACUCCUUUCCCUGAAAGUGGAAAAACUGGUUCUCCCUGCUGCUGAGGAAGCCGAGUCAAUCUGGACAAAGAAAUUAGGGUUUCGCAAGAUGAGGGACGAGCAAGUAAGUGAAUUGCUAGACCUGUUUACAUGGUUGCCUACUUGGAAUCUUUUGUUGGUGUUUCAAAUGUUGAAUGUACUCCCUAACCGUUGCAUAUUGUUUUGUCUCUCAGUUAUCAAAAUAUAUGAGGGAUGUUCAGCUGACGGUUUUCAGGGGGACAUCAAUGUUAGAAAAGAUGGUGCAGUCGAUGGAUUGAUAACUUGUCGAUCUCUUCUAAAGUUCUGAAUGUUAGAUUUAGGAACAUGUUGGCUUUUGAUUUAUUUAUUUUUGAUAGUGAUUCAUGUAUCCGGCCGGUAUGGCCUUGUGGUAGUGUUUCACCCCUCUGAAGCAUCUGAAGAGUAGGGAAAUGAGUUGAAGAUAAAUGUGUAAAAAGAAAAGAAAAGUAGUGCAUGCUGACCUUUUAUUAUGCAUGCAUCCAGCAUUUUUUUUUUCUCUGUUUUAUUGUUUUUCACGUUUCAGGAUAUUGUAUCACGAAAUGUUCCUUUUUUUGUAAGAUAGGAAAAAAAAAAAAAAAUACCAUUUUUUUUUGUUGGUAAAAAAAUAAAAAUGAAGCUUGUGUUUACUCGGUCUAUCUUGGCUCCUCAUUCCGGCUAUGUCAUCAUUUUCGUCAAACAAUAUAUGGAUAUGCUAAAUUGCUUAAUUUGGUCGCAUUGUUCAGUCUUGUUUACAUGGGCGUUUUUGUUACUGGAUUUAUUUGUCUUAGUUCCGAGUGGAUGUUUUUGUGACUAAAUCAAUACUAGCAUGUAAAUCCACUGGGGUUCCUAUUAAUAAUGUAUCAAAUUCUUCCUCUUCAAAUGUCGAAUGAUACGCUAAUUUUCAAAUGUCCCACAAUAUUAUUUUUUCUAUUUUUUUUACCCUCUAUUUCUUGUUUUUAAAUAAUGGACCCCAGCCUGUUAAGGCCCACGAUGGUCUAGACCGCCUAGCCGCAGCCCGUGUCCGCGUAGCCCACAUUAACAUUUUUUUAUUUUUUUUUUAGCAGCGAGUGGAUUUUGCAGCUUUCACUGCGUGGAUCGAAACAUUAAAGAAGAAGUCUGAGCGUCAAUAAACCCUAAACCCCGAAAAUCCCCAUCAUUUUCUACCGAGUUCGGAUGGCGUUCAUGUCUAGCUUCCGUCGCGUUCUUGGCGUAUCGGCCUCUGCUCUUCCAUCUCAAUUCGCCGCCAUUCGUCACAAUACAACCCUCACAUCGCCUAAGCUAUUCAUCAGCGGUACAUUUCGUUCUCCACUCUCAAUUCUUUUGUAUCUGAUUCAUCUUCUUAUGGUUGCCCAUUAAGAAAUUAGAUUGAGUUUGCUGCAACGCAUAGUUUCGGUUGGUAAUUCAUUGGAUAUUGUGUGAUUUGGGUUAUUGUUUUGAUGGGUUUCUUUCUUUUCUGCUAAUGUAAAAUUCAGUAUAUGAUUGCCUCCCAGAUUAUCCGAGCUCUAUUAGCCGUGUCUGUGGUUUUAGAUACAUUAGGCCUGUUUGUAAUUUGCAUUCAUGUGCCUGUUUAAGUCCAAAUUUGCAUUUCUGUGUUCAUUUAUGGUUUUGUAAUUCUUGGUUAGAAGCUUUAGACUAAUAGGUUCCAACUUAAUCCUUUGUCAUAUGUCGUCGGAUUACUGGAAGAACUUUUGGAGUAUAGUGUUUCUGGGUUUUAAACCUGUUUUUAUUCCCCCAAAUCGAGUACUUAUCAAUCUGGUAGUGUUAUUUGGUUAUACCAACUAGCAUUUUAACACUUGAGGAUUUGAGAUUGUCAAAAGUUAGAGCACUCAACCCAAGUUGUUAAGCACGGCUUUUGAACUUUCAAUGCAAUACAAAGAUAUUGUCAUAUCAUCUUUACUAUAAUGUGAGAGGUUUGUUGGUGCAAUAUUUCUAGAAGUCUACUGAAGAUAGCACUCAGUUAUUCGUCGCAUGACUUUUGUAUUACAUAGGAAGUAUGUAACUGAUAUUUUUGCAAUGAACAGGACUUUCAAGAUUAACAACUGAUGAAAAACUUAAACAGACGUUUUCUGAAUUUGGUCAGAUUGAACACGGUAAGAGCUGAAGCAACUUGUUUCUUUUCUCCUACAGCCUCUCCCUUUCUUGUAUUGCAUCCUUUGAAGUAUUGCAUUUGCACUUAUGAAUCUGCAGCAAAAGUGAUAACCGAUAGGCAAACCGGAAGAUCAAAGGGGUUUGCUUUCGUCACAUACUCAUCGAUUGAAGAAGCUGAGAAGGCUAAAGAAGGAAUGAACGGCAAGUUCUUGGAUGGGUGGGUUAUUUUUGUUGACCCUGCCAAGCCUAGGGAGUAUAGACCCCCACCUCCAGCACAGCAAGAGUCUUCUGAUAGUGGUUUCAAAGUAAACAAGACUAUUGGAUGGUGUGGAUGAUUGCAUAUGUUACUUGUUCGAACUCAUUGUGAUGAAAAGGCAAUUUAAACAGGGCAACUCAUUGCUGUUUGUAUUAGUAUGAAAAACGUUUUAGCCGGAUUAUUUUGAACAGGGAAACCUCGUUAACCUUGUUCUGUUACUUCUGUAUGGGUACAUUUUGGCCUCUGUCCAACUAUUGUAAUGUUUUAAUUUAUAUGCCAAUGUAGGACUCCCUUCUUUUUUUGUGCCUUCAUUCUUCCAAUUGAAAGAUCAAAACCGAAUCAUUUCUUUGUUGUUGGACAUAUAGUUUCCGGUUUCUCUGUCAUCUUUUUUAUUCUUUUGUAUUACAAAUGCAAACGGGGGUGCUUGACAAGUAAAAUGCUCUAAUUAUGCAUUGCAGCAGAGUGCCUGACCAUUCGGACAGCUUUAUGAAUCGAAUCUGGGUUGAGGGUUCCUACCUGACCUCAAUCACUAUGCCAGAUUGCCAACUGCACUAGUUAGUUUUUCCUUUGUAACUAGGAGAGCAGGAUGACAGAUCAGGUAAUGGGACUUGGAUACGGGUCGGAGCUAGAGGAGGCCCGGAUCCAAUUCUUACACGGUGGCGUGAGAAUCACGUGCUGUUUCCACUAUAGUAUAUAGUCGCUCGUGCUUAAAACCCUACAGACUUUAAACCCAGAAACCGCAACGCACCGUUUUUCAAAUUCAAGUAUUCAACAGUGAUUUUCCGAUUCCGGUGCAGAGAUGUAUCUCUGUCUUCCUCACUACGUCUCUAUCAAAUUGCCUGCAUUUCACUCUCCACAGGUCAAGUUUCACUUUUGGCUUCAAAGCUUUACUAUCUAAUCAUCUAUCCCUCUUCUCCAUUCUCAGCUCGUUUUGGUUUUGGUUCGUCGCAGAGGGACUUUAAGCUUCGCGCGGUUUCAAUGUCCGCAACUGAAGUCGCCAAUCACGUUCCGCCGGCUCCGAUUUCGCUCCCUCAUGGGCCUUGGAAGCAGGUGAGUCUUGCAAACGACGCCGUUUUGGAUUCACUGUCAUUUUGCUCGCUAGUCGAUUUUGUUGUACUAUAUUAUGACUUUUGUAGAUUCCCGGCGGAGUUACGGCGGCGGAGGGGUUUAAAGCGGCUGGUUUAUACGGCGGAUUGCGCGCCAAAGGUGACAAACCUGAUCUUGCACUUGUCACCUGUGACGUUGAUGCCAUUUCUGCUGGUGAGCUAUGAAUUUUUUAUAUUUUAUAAUCUAAGUUCAAAUUAAGCUCCUUUUAAGCUGAUUAAUAUAUUGAGAGUCGUCGUAUCUUUGUUUUUGGUUACUUCUAGGAUCAUUUACUACAAAUGUGGUAGCAGCUGCACCGGUGUUAUACUGCAAAAGUAUAUUAAACACUUCGAAAACGGUAUGCCAGAGUAUUGUGUUUUUUGAAUGCUUAUUUUAUCUAUUAUUCGAUGAUGAUGAUGAUGAGAGUGAUCGACUUGUUUGGGGGCAAUCUCUGGUGAUUUAAUAUCAUGAUCGGACAGUUGUGUUAGUCAUCAAUAUUUUUUCCCUAAAUAAGAACACAGAUGUUUCUUGAUCAAGCUGGUCAAAAGUCGUGACUUUGAACUAUGCAUGGAAAGAUAGCAUCCAUCAAGUUCUAUCACAGUAUGGGUUUAAGAAUAUUGGUGCCCCUUUUGCUUAUACUAACUAGGUUGAGUGUUGAGAUUUUAACCUUUAGUGGGGGUUAGAACAUUCACUACCUUGAAUUGCAACUCCCUGAUAAGGGUACUUUAUUAUGUGAUAAUUUGGAACACUACUCUCCAGGGUCCACCUUGAAGCCUUAUACUUAUCAGCUGCAUAUUAGCUUUGUCUGGCAACCUACUUAUACGUUUAGUCAGUGUAUAUAUUCGUAAUGUGUUUAAUAAUACUGCUCAUGCAUUUUUUCAUAUAUCUGACUAAUCUUUACAACUUGUUAGGCGCGGGCAGUUUUGAUAAAUGCUGGCCAAGCCAAUGCAGCAACGGUAAGCUUCCAGAACAACAAGAUGCUCUGCAUUUUUUUCUGUAUUAUGUUUUCAUUAUCAAUGCAGUAGGUUGAUACAUGUGGUCAGUCUAUCGUUUAUUUUGUCCUCCAUGUAUUUGGAAUUUGAGUCACUGUCAAAUAUGCUGUUACUAUUGUUCGUUCAUGGCUAAGAAACCUUCCAAUCUUGUCCAGGGUGAUGCAGGUUAUCAAGAUGUAAUAGAAAGUGCCAGCGGCCUUGCAAAGGUAUGUGACAUUUAGGGUGACAGAUAUGAGAUAUGUCAAUCCAUAGAUAUUUCUGCAUAGGCUGGUUUGGGAUGUUGUAUUUAUGAAUCUUUGUCCUUCAGCUACUUCACAUAAGACCAGAGGAAGUGCUGAUUGAAUCCACUGGCGUGAUUGGGCAAAGAAUAAAAAAGGUAAAGUAUCGCUACUCUAUGCUUGUUUUCUUAUUAUGCUAAUCAAACUGAUGUCAACAACAUUUCUUGGAAGAGUAAACAGAUCAGCUAAUAAAGUGCAUGAAAUUUUUUGUAGACAUAUUAAAUGACCUGUGGUGUACAAUAUGAUUCAUUCUCUAGGCCUCAUAUGCAGGAAGCACUUUUAAAGUCUCUACCGAACCUGGUGAAAUCACUAUCACCUGCAACUAAGGGGUAAAUGUUAUACUGAUCACCUUAAACCAGAUAAUUGACAUAUUUUCUUGCAUUAGAUACCUGUUUGUUUCUAUUUUCCGUGGUAUAUAUUCUGUUUACUCCAUUUAACGUGAUUUCUUCUUCUUUCUUGGUCUGCAGAGCAGAUGAUGCAGCAGUGGCAAUCACAACUACUGACCUUGUUAGCAAGAGUGUAGCAAUUCAGUCUCAGGUGUAAAGAUCUUGUAUCUCUUACAUAUAUCUGCAUUAUUGAAAUUAAAUUAAUUACUGAUUUGCUGUAAAAGCUGUGUCUUGAGAAGAUUUAUAAGCACCUAUGUCAGUAUCGUGUUUCAGUUUAGUUUUGACCAUUCUAGACACCAGUCAGUCAUAACAGAAACUCAUGAAUUCAUCAGGUUGGAGGGACAAGCAUUAGAGUCGGGGGAAUGGCAAAAGGUUCCGGGAUGAUCCACCCAAAUAUGGCUACCAUGCUUGGUGUAUGUGUCUUCUGAUGCUUCUUUCUUGAUGUUGUUGUGUAGCUUAAAAGAUCAACUCAUUAUAUUAACAAUAUGACCUGGAACAGGUAGUAACAACUGAUGCCGUGGUUAGCAGUGAUGUUUGGAGAAAAAUGGUUCAAAUUGCUGUAAAUAGAAGCUUCAACCAGAUAACAGUAUGUAAAAAGUGCUCUUAACUAGAUUGAUUAACAUCAUAACUUAGUGAGGCUACGCCUAAGAUGGUGGAACUAAUUCCCACCUUGUUGCACUUUGUUUCGUAGUAUGAUAACCCACUUCAGGUAUGGUUUGCAGGUAGACGGAGAUACCAGUACCAAUGAUACUGUCAUUGCCUUAGCUAGUGGAUUGUCUGGAUCAACCAAGAUAUCAACCUUUAACAGUAAUGAGGCAGUACAACUUCAAGCAUGUCUUGAUGUGGUGAGCUCUGCUUCAUUUGACUGUACCAAUAAUACUGUCCUUGCCUUAGCUAGUGGAUGGUAGUGAGGCUAUGCCCGACAUUUAUUCUUCAAUGCCAAUUCUUCGGAUCCAAUUUAUGUAAAUCGUAAUGUAUUCAUUUUCCAGGUAAUGCAAGGUCUUGCCAAAUCAAUAGCUUGGGAUGGAGAAGGAGCAACAUGCCUAAUUGAGGUGAGCAAUCUUUCAAAGGAUAUUUUUAGGAACGGAACCUCAAUCAGUACUGUAAUAAUCCGAGUAUAACUAAAAGCUUAGUAAUGAGAACAAAAGUGCGUAAAUCUAGAAAUUUGAAGCUAAUCAGUGUGAUUUUAAAUUUUAUCGAGACUUAAAUUUUGUGAUGCUCUACGCUUUAAUCCUUUUCAUCUGCAACUUAAACUUAAUCUUUAAGAUGUUUUCCACGUUACAAAUUAUCCAUCUAGCUAUAGUUUCCCCGUACUUCCAAAUUGGGAAUUUGAAGUUUGUACCUCAAAUCCUCAACUUGUCAUGUAAAAUGCUCAAUGAUAGAUAUGCAAUUAUCUGUGCUCUCUUUUGUUGGGAUCUUCCAUAUAUGACUUCAUAACUUUGCUAACCCAGACUUGGAUUUGCAGGUCACAGUGACUGGUGCAGGCAGUGAGGCUGAAGCAGCAAAGAUAGCGCGGUCUGUGGCAUCUUCUUCGCUUGUCAAGGCAUGAAAUCCCAACUCUAUCUUUUGAUGUUUCUGUAUUGAAGGUUUUACUGACUUUGGAAAUGUCAACAGGCUGCAGUAUAUGGAAGAGAUCCAAACUGGGGACGCAUCGCCGCUGCAGCAGGCUAUGCGGGCAUUUCUUUUGAUCAAACUAAACUCCGAGUAUUGCUAGGUGAUACUCUGCUCAUGGAUGGUGGGGAACCACAAUCCUUCGACAGGUAACCGAACGGAUGACCCUUUACUUUUUUCUAUUAAAUGUUUGGACUAGACAGAGAACUGGUUUUUUUAGACUUUAGUUCCAUGUUACUCCUGUAUUUUACUUGUAUAACUCCUUCACACUGCCUUCAUACCACUUACGGUGUUUUGGAAG
rnacentral:lncRNA from 1 species